rnacentral:lncRNA from 1 species
GAGCUUUGAAUAAUUCACAUAAACCUCUAAUUUCAAAUUUCUGAAGCGCUCCGGCCAAAUUGAGCUUCCUGACUGGACCGACAUUGUGAAGACUGCCACAUUCAAGGAGCUUGCAGCAUAUGAGCCUGAUUCGUACUACAUUAGAUCUGCAUUCAUGGCAAGUAAAAUCUACUUGAGGGGUGGUCUUGGUGUUGGUGCCUUCCGCAGGAUCUAUGGAGGGAGCAAGAGGAACUGAAGGAAUACUGAGAAGUAUGCAACUCUUUUUGCUUUGCUUUAUCAUUUUUGUACUAAGCUUCUUCUGGACACAACCGCAUGGUAGUAGCAAAAGUUGGGUUAUACAGCACUUGCAAAGUAGAAAUUAUGCUACGAAACGGAUGUUUCUUGAUCAUCAAACAACAAAAAGACUAAAUAGAUGAUGAAUGACUUUCGGAAAACAAUUUUUAUAAUCCAAAAACUUGCUUGGUAUUGAGCUUAGAAACAUGCAAACAUGUAUAAUUUGCCUUGAAUUUCACUGAGACAUUUUAACAAACCAUAUCUUCACACUUUGAGCCCUGCAGAAAAUGAAAUGAAGAACAAUUCGCUCGUUGAAGACAACCAAGUUUCAUUGAAGACGUGUCUAGUGCCCAUAUCUAAAAUGUCAAAAACUAGUAAAUUUGUGUUUGGUGGUAAAAUUCUGUAAUAUAAAUUUUAAGAUAGUAACAAUGGGGGUGGUGAUGGUGUUUGCAGCUAGAGUGGUGUUGGUAGCAAGGCGGUUGAGGUGGUGGAAGAGGGGUGUUGGUACCAGUAUUGGUGAGAUAUGCACAUUGGGUGGCGGCAAGAGUAGGGUGGUGAGGGGAAAUAGUGGUAGGUGACGAUGGUGAUGCUGGUGCAGGAGGUGGAAAUUGUGGUGGCUAUGAUAGUAGGGUGACGGCGAUGGAGAUAGUGGUGACUGGCAUUGCCAUAUCUAUGGCAUCUGUAAACAUGAACUUUUAUCAGCCUGGAAAAAGAGUCUAGCAAGUUGGUCGUGCCAUAUUAAUUGUGAUCAACUGAGGCAAAUCGUAGAUGAUUAGUCUCUGCAAGUUAGGAAAUCCGACCUACAUACACACACACGCACACACAUUAAUCUUUUUUUGUGCGAUAGAUAAUCGGAAAUUGUUUGGACUCAAAAUAUACCAAUUUUUACUUAUUUGGGCAAUUUGGGUAAAAGAUGGUAUUUGAAGGAUUAAUGUGCAAGAAAACUAACUUGGAAAGAUAUUUGGCUAAAAGUGGGAGAGUUUGGCAUUAAAAUAAUGUUUUUCCCUUUGGUUUGGACGGUGGAGGUUUGCCAAAAGAAUUGUUUAAUCAAGACAAGUGCAUGCUUUUUCAUGCAAGUGGAUGAGAAUGCACCAUGAGAGCUUUCGGACAAGGAACAUGUGAAAUAAGUCAACUUACUUCUUUUAAAUGUUAGUUUAUUACAAGUGGAAAAACAUGUGAUGAAAGCAUGUGGUGGAAAUGCAAGUUCCCCUUUUAAUAUUGUUUCUACAUGCAAGCUGUCCAAGCAAUGAAAUGCAAGCUGCCCAAGCUUCUUUCGGGCAAGUACAAGGUCCUCAGCAGGGGGGUUUCCUCCAGACCUCUAUAUAAAGGAGCACAAGCACAAGGAUUAUGGACACUCAAACAACCAAACAAAUACAAGCACAAACUCUGCUCAAACUAGAUUUGCCAAAAGCCUUCUUUUAUCUAGUUUAUUAGCUAUGCUGUUCACUAGUAAUAUUGAUCUCAUUUGUAGUCUUUAUGUACAACUCAUUUUCAGUCAUUUAAUCUACAAGCAAUCUGCAAUAUUAGUCACUUUCCCCUGUUAUUUACAUUUUCAAGCAACCUUGUCAUUUACAUAUUGUUCUAUCUCUCCAUAUAAGUAAAAUCCUUAUUUUUAAGGCAAACAAAGAACCUUGAUUUGAGCAACUCCCACUCAAAUGGCACAAUCUCUUGAUUUGAAGUCAAAAGGCGCAACCUCAAUCAUUCAAAUCCCGUCUACUAGCGGCAUCUAGUAGUGGCACGCCCACACCCCACCACUCUCGUAUGUGAGCAAAUCCCCGGCAUGCCCACAAGGUCCAUGGCGGAUUUAGGGAGCGAACAGAAAUAAAUGCAUAAACAAAGAUAAAUGCAUGAAUAAUAAACAUUUUCAUCGAAAAGAAAAUAUUGUACAGCAGUCUCAAGAUUCUCCUUCCACCCAUUCUCUUCAGUUUCUUUGUGUUUUGUAAUACUUUCACCCUUACCAUCAAAUAUGAAUGCCCUCAGUUUAAGACAAUCUUCUAGAUGCAACAGCUUCAAAGCGGAAGUUCAAUAUGUAUAACUUCCUGCUCAGAAUCUAGCGGGAGAUAUUGCAAUUGUAGAUGUUUUAGCUUUCAAAACCUGUUAUCCGUAUUUACGUCACUAUAUUUGAGUUGUACAUUUUUUGACAUUUGGAUUCCUCAAGAUGUUUGAGUUGUACAGAACAUCUAGCCAUGGAACAUGAAAACAAGAAUCUUAAACCAUCAAGCUUGUUAAGUUGGGGCAUCUGAACCAGCUGUAUAUAAUACACAAUGUAAGUGUAAUUAGCAAGAAUGACAAUUUUCAUGGUUAUCAAUUAGUUGUAUUUAUUCCAAAAUGUAUAGACAAGAAAAGAUGAGUAGACAUAAAGUAAAGGUCUAAUAUGAAACAACUAGUAACCCAUUGCUAGUAUGCGUUUUGUUCUUUCUUCUUUGGUUAACCAAACCAUAUAAUCAUACAUUAUCCUUUAGGCACAUUAUUUUCUCUAUAAGCUGAGCUACCAUUUUGUUAGAGGUUUUUAUCACAAAUAGUCUCUGAAAUUGACCUUAUUUUUCACUUUGGUCCUUAAAAUUGAAAACCGAUCUACGUCGUCUCUAGUGUCCCAUUUUGUUAAUUUUUCAGUUACUUUAAUAACAUGUCACACAUGGGGACCCAUACGUCCAAUAGUGUAGUGCCACGUGGAUUAUACAUAAAAUACAGUUUUUAAUUUGAUUUAACAUUUAAAAACUCAUUAACAAAACUGAAAAAAAGUAAGAUAAAUAAACAAAAAUAAAAAUCAACCGAACACCUCCAUCUCAAAUCAAAUUGCCGAAAAUUAAAAUCAAAAUCGAUUUGCGAAAAUCGAAAUCCCAAAAAUGAAAUCAAAACACGUAUUACGGAUUCAUAGGAAAGAGUGAGAGUUUGUUAAUCACCUCCCCCACCCCACGCCAAACCGAACCUCUCCCGUAACCUGGCUGCUGGUCGCUCCUCACCCCAUCCCCUUGACUCUGGUGCUUUGGAGAAGAACAUGAAAUUAAAUUUGAAGAGGGUAUGGAGAUGAUAGUUGGCGAUGAGGAGCAGGUAGCUAGGUUAGUUUUUUCAUCUAUUUUUUUAAAACCCAGAAAAUGAAAGUCUCUUCUUGAUUUGAAGAAGCUUUCUUUUCUGCCGGUGUUUUGAAGCAGCUGGGUUGGUAACUUGGUAGUGCUCUUCCCCCACUCUUUUUUUUUUUUUGGGGAGUUGUGUUCAUGAUUUUAAAUCUUGUAUUUUCUUUAAAAAGUUUAGUCCAUGUGGCUCCACACAUUAGUUGUAUGGGUCCCCAUGUCUGACACCUCAUCAAACAACAACAAUACAAUAAUAACAAAGCAUUUUCUCACUAAGUAGGGUCGGCUAAAUAAACGACACCUCAUCAAAGUAACAAAAAAUAAAUGGAAUGGGACGGUAUAGACGACAUUAAUCGAUUUUCAAUUUUAGAAGCUAAAGUGAGGAGUGAGGCCACUUUCAAUAACAAUUUGUAAUAAAAACCCUUUUGUUAGCAGAAAUCCAUAUUCAUGAAAAGAAAAGAUCAUACCUCCCCAAUUCAGGAAAACUUUCGUAGCCCUGCAAAUUACAUUCUCCAUAGUGAUUUCUCCGGCUUCUGUAUAUGUAGUUGCUUCUGAGUCCGUGCAGUUACAAGUUACAACAGAGGUGCUGAAAAACCAAUGAACUUUGGUAGAUUCUACCACAUCAAAGACCGUAGUUUUUCAGAGGGCUAGUCUAUGAGAUGGCCACAACAUACACUUUCCAAACUAACAUUGUUGUAAAGAGAGUGACGCCAAGUUUGGAAAGCCAUUAUGAGAAUAUCUCCAUCUACUCAAGUUAAUGGAUAUGUAACUUGAUCAUUGUUUUGAACAUGGAGAUGCUUCAGUUGUUUAACACCAUCUAUGUCCAAUAAAUGGGAAAUAAUAUUUACACCCCCCUUCCCAUCCAAGUGCAAAUGCUCGGAUCUCUUUAGCGGCAAUUUUUAUAACUUGAUCGAAUUGAUUCUUUGUAUUUAGCUUGAGUUUUAGAAUGUUAGAGGAGGUUCCUUAGACAUCAGAAUAUAACCACCAAUCACCAACAAAGACGGUGUACCUUUCCAAACUAUCUGAGAACAAUUUGUUCGGAAGAAGGUUUGUAUCCAGAACAUAUAUAUCUAAUGCAGUUCACUGAGACAAAUGCUUCUAUUGAAUUUCUAUGUGUAUUUGAUACCUUCUAACAAUUACAAGAUGAAACUUAUAUAUAGGGAAAGAAAGAGGACAUAAGCCUAACUUGCCUAACUUGCCUAACACUUGCCUAACUUGCCUAACUUGCCUAACUUACACAAAGAAAGUUGACUAGCCUAACUUCACUAGUCAUCCAAUACCAUUGUUCCAACAUGUUUAUUUCAUGCAUUUUAACACUCCCCCUCAAGUUGGAGUGUGGAUGUCAAUGACACCCAACUUGCUAAGUAAGACUUCAAAUUGCGCCGAGCUUAGUGGUUUGGUGAACAAAUCUGCAGGUUGAUUCAAGGUUCGUAUGUAAGCUGUUUGCACCAUUCCCAUCUGAAUCUUCUCACGUACUAAGUGACAGUCGAUCUCUAUAUGCUUCGUUCGUUCAUGAAACACUGGGUUCGAAGCAAUGUGCAUGGCAGCUUGAUUAUCACAAAACAAUGUGACUGGUUGUGCAUGAUUCACUCGUAAGUCCUUCAAAAGGUUCCUUAACCAUAUAACUUCACAUCAGGUGAUAGCCAUAGAACGAUAUUCUGCCUCUGCACUAGAACGAGAUUUUGUGCUUUGCUUCUUCGUUUUCCAAGAUAUCGGUGCUUGCCCAAAGAAGAUACAAUAAUCGGUUAUUGACCUUCUAGUGUCUUUACACCGAGCCCAAUCAGCAUCACAAAAAGCUUGUAACUGUAGUGAACCUGUAGAAGGCAAAAGAAUUCCCUACCCAGGAGAUUGUUUGAUGUAUCUGAGAACCUUAUGCACUGCAUCAAGGUGUGGUUGUCGCGGCUUGUCCAUGAAUUGGCUUAACAUAUUAACCACGUAAGUCAGGUCAGGCCUCGUGAUGGUUAAGUAAAUUAGCCUCCCUACGAGUCUCCUAUAUGAAGAAGGAUCAUGUAGAAGCGUCCCUUCAGUUUGUGUAAGGGAUAAGUUUGGUUCCAUCGGCAAUCGUGGGGGCUUCGCACCAAGGAACCCAGCAUCUUCUAGUAUCUCCAACGCAUAUUUGCGUUGGCACAAGGCAAUCCCUUGUUUAGAUCUUGCAACUUCUAUCCCCAAAAAAUAUUUGAUUUUUCCCAAAUCCUUUAGCUUAAAAUGUUGGGAAAGGAAGAGUUUAGUCUCUUCAAUUUCUCUCAAAUUGUUACCUGUAAGUAUCGCAUCAUCAACAUACACAAGUAAUGCCAUGAAACUGCCUUGACGGUUUCGGACGAACAAUGAGUAAUCUGACCAUGAUUGAUGAAAACCAGCAGUCUUGAGAGCACUAGACAGCUUGAUAAACCACUGUCUUGAGGCCUGUUUUAAACCAUAAAUGGAUUUGUUUAAUUUGCAUACUCGUGUCUCCCCCUUUCGUCCGAACCCAGGAGGUAGGGACAUAUAAACCUCCUCGUAUAAGUCACCAUGCAAAAAUGCGUUGUUUACAUCAAGUUGGUGAAGAUGCCAACCACGGAUGGAGGCAAUACUGAGGAGGACACGGACGGUGGUGAGCUUGGCAACUGGAGCAAAUGUUUCCCGAUAAUCAAGCCCUUCAAUUUGACUAUAGCCUUUAGCAAUGAGACGGGCUUUGUAGCGUUCAACACUGCCGUCAGGUUUAAGCUUCACCUUAUAGAUCCAUUUGCAGCCGAUGGGAUGUUUGUGAGGUGGUAAGGGCACAAGAGUCCAAGUGCGAUUGUCAUGGAGGGCAGCAAUCUCUUUUUGCAUGGCGUCACGCCAUUUUGGAUCCUGAACAGCUUGCAAAAAACUGGUGGGUUCUUUGAUAAUGGUAAGGGUGGUGAGAAAGGUUUUGUGAGUGGUGGAUACAUGGUCAUAGGAUAAAUAACGAGAUAGGGAGUGAGAUGUACCUGAUGACUGAACCAUGCUUGUGGAAGAUGUGGGUGCAACACGGGAUGGGAGGGCCACCUCAACAUGAAAGUCCUGCAAAAAUGUGGAAGUUUUGGUUGGUCGAGUGCUACGACGGAGUGGAGGGGUUGGAUCUGGUGAUGGAGUGGUUGGAGGUGGGGAAGAGUGUAGGGUAAGUGAAGGUGUUGAUAAGGUAUCUGGUGGUGGAGUUGUAGAGGGUAAAGGAGAUGAAAGUGGUGUGAUGUCGGCAAGUGUGGGAGAUGUGGUGUUUAUGUCUGCUGGUGCAAGGCUUGAAUGCUACUCAAUGGGAGAGGUCGAGUCAAAUGGGAUAGGUGUAGUGUUUGAUGGAAACGGGGCAACGGAAGUGUUACAAUUUUGGAAUGGAAAAUGAUCUUCAAAAAAUACGACAUCCCUAGAAACAAAAGUCUUAUUGUGUUUUAUAUCAAACAAUUUAUAACCCUUUUGACCAUAAGGAUACCCAAGAAAAAUGCAUUGGAUUGCACGAGGGUCGAAUUUAAAGGGCCUUUGGGCAUGUGUAGAAGCAAAACACAAGCUGCCGAAAACCUUCAAAUGAGAAUAGUUAGGUGCUUUGUGAAACAGUUUUUCGUAGGGUGUUUUACCUUGGAGAAGUGAGUGGGUGUUCUAUUGAUGAGGUAGGCUGAGGUUAGGAUUGCAUCUCCCCAAAAACGUUUUGGCAGACAAGCUUGAAAGAGCAAAGCCCGAGCAACAUUGAGCAAGUGUCGGUGUUUACGUUCGGCAACACCAUUUUGUUGUGGUGUGUUAACGCAACUAGAUUGAUGUAUAAUGCCUUUGAGAGCAUAAAAUUGCUCAAGCUUAAACUCAGGGCCAUUGUCACUUCGUAUGAUUUGAACUCUGGUAUUGAAUUGAGUCUCAAUCAUUUGAAUGAAUUUUACCAAAAUGUCUUUUGUGUCAGAUUUAUGUUUCAUCAAAUGAACCCAAGUGCUUCUAGUGUAGUCAUCUACGAUGGUAAGGAAAUACUUGGCACCUGAAAUAGAAGCAACUUGAUAACCACCCCAAAUAUCAAUAUGCAAUAAUGCAAAACAUGAUUUGGUAGAAAUAGAGCUCAAAGGAAAGGGUGAUCGUGUUUGUUUGGCCAAUGGGCAAAUUGAACAUUUUUCCAAAUCACAAGCUUUAUUGUUAAAGAAAGGUAAUAACGAAGCGGCUUAAUGAGAUGGGUGUCCUAGGCGUUGGUGCCAAAGCUUUGGUGCGAUGGUUUGAAUAUUGUUGCAUGUUCCUUUCCUUGAUGAGUUGAGGUAGUAGAGUCCCUCCCUUUCAGUUGCCAUCCCAAUCAUCUUCCCCGAGCGAAGGUCCUGAAUUAGGGGUGGGUUCGGUUUAAAUCGGUUCGGUUUUUUGCCAAAACCGAAACCAAACCGAAAUUUCGGUUCGGUUCGGUUCGGUUCAAUUUUUUUUCGGUUUUUUUCGGUUCGGUUUUUUUUCGGUUUGGUUUUUUCCGGUUCGGUUUCGGUUUUUUGUUUUUUUUUUUCAAAAAAUGAAAAACAUUGAAAUAUUAAAAUUUAACAUAUCCAACACAAUCAUAACAUAAGCAUUCUAACUAGAGUCAAAGACAAUGAAAAUAAACAUUUAAAGUUGAACUAAAAUCAUCAAUCAAGUCUUCCAAAGUCCAAACUAACAACCUCACAACACAAAAAUCGUACAAAUGACUUAGAAAAGUUAAAUUGUAUGAUGUUGUUCAAAGAUCAGGGUUGUUUGCUUGUAACUACAUGUUGACAACUUGAUUAGUAAAAGUAAUGCAUGGGUGGAUUUAUUUAGUGUGUGUUGGAUUCUUUUCCAUAAUAAAUUACCCAAGUAAUCUACCCGAAAUAAAUGUUUAUGGAUUCUGUUACAUGUUAUAUGAGAGUAGAUUUGGACAAGAAAGCUGGGGCAGAAGUAGACAGUGCUAUGGAGAUGGAUGUAGGUACUUUAGGAGGAGGUUUGGUUACGGAACCUUAUAUGGGAGAGAAAUAAUAGGUUAGGGUUUAGAGUUGUUAUAGGCUUUUUUUAAUAUUUUGAGCUAAAGUUUGGCCACACAUUGGGUUUAGCACAUUUUAACUUACAAAUUGGGUUUAGAAAAUAAUACCCAAAACAAAUAAUUAAAUAAAAAAAUUAAUUUAAUUAAUUCGGUUCGGUUCGGUUUGGUUCGGUUUCUAGAUCACUAAAACCAAACCGAACCAAAAGAAUUGGGUUCGGUUCGGUUUUUUCAAUUCGGUUUGGUUUUUUCAUUCGGUUCGAUUUUUUCGGUUUCGGUUCGGUUUGGUUUUCGGUUUUUUUCGGUUUUCGGUUUUUUGAACCCACCCCUAUCCUGAAUGACACAAAAUUGGGUGAAGAAAAUUGUGACAUAUAAGGAAUCAUAGGCUAGUUUACUGAUGGAUAUUAAAUUUAAUUUAAAGAACGGCACACAUAGGACAUUGUCAAGGAUAAGAUUAUGAGAGAAAACAACUUGUCCAAUGUGAGUGACUUUGGCAACGGAACCAUUUGGCAGUUCAACUGUAUAAUUUUCAACAGCUCGUGAGUGUGUAAAGAGACUCGGGCUGCAAACUAUGUGAUCCGUGGCACCACUGUCCAGGAUCCAAAUACUUUCGGUUCUCAGAUACAUCAAACAAUCUCCUGGGCAGGGAAUUCUUUUGCCUUCUACAUGUUCACUACAGUUACAAGCUUUUUGUGAUGCUGAUUGGGCUCGGUGUAAAGACACUAGAAGGUCAAUAACCGGUUAUUGUAUCUUCCUUGGACAAGCACCGAUAUCUUGGAAAACGAAGAAGCAAAGCACAGUAUCAUGUUCUAGUGCAGAGGCAGAAUAUUGUUCUAUGGCUAUCACCUGUUGUGAAGUUAUUUGGCAACGGAACCAUUUGGCAGUUCAACUGUAUGAUUUUCAACAGCUCGUGAGUGUGUAAAGAGACUAGGGUUGCAAACUAUGUGAUCCGUGGCACCACUGUCCAGGAUCCAAAUACUUUCGGUUCCUUUACAGGAAAAAGAUAAGGCUUUACCUGAAAGUUCUUCAUGACUAGAAGGAUUACCAACUUGAUUGGCAAAUGAUGAUUUGUUCUUGUUCAACAUUUUAAGGAUUUGCUUGCAAUCCUCCUGAGAGAACGGGAAAUUGGGCAACAUCUCUUGCUUGUUACUUUGUGAAACUUGAUUCCCUUUUGAAGAAAAAGGACGACUGCUUUCCGUUUCUGUGGCUGCUUUCCGUUUUCGACAGAAAUCGAAGGUGUGACCUUUCCAUCCACAAAAAGUGCACUUGAGAUGUGCAUGACAGUUUUUGGUGAUGUGAUUGGUUCUAUUGCACUUUCCACAUCGCAUCUCUUUGUCUUCCGGUGUAGGUUCUUGCGACAAAUUCUUCACUGCAAAGACAACAGCCUCUGGUUGUGUACUCUUCCCAUUGGAAACCUCUGCCUGGCGUUCAUGUCGAAGGACCAACGCAUAUGCCUUGUUCACCGUAGGCAGUGGUUCGAGAAGAAGGGUAUUGCUUCGAACCGUAGCAUACGAUUCGUUCAAUCCCAUAAGGAACUUCAUGGUUUUCUGAGUUUCAACAUAUGAGUUCAUCUCAUUCUUUGUUCCACAACUGCAUGCUGGAAUGGAACACAAAGUAUCACGUUCAUCCUAUAAACUUUUAAGUUUAGUGAAGUAAGAACUUACACUCAUAUUGCUUUGGACGCAAUCAUGGAUCUCGUUCUCAACAUGGAACAGCUGAACUAUAUUCACAUGUGAGAACCUCUCCUGCAGAUCAGUCCACAUUUGUCGAGCAUCCUUGUAGUUGAUGACACUCCCUGAAAUCUCCUUUGACAUGGAGCCUAGUAGCCAUGUCUUGACCAAGUUGUUGCAACGAUUCCAUUGUUGCAGCUCCUCAGAAUUGUCCUCACUUGGUUUGUUGAUUGUCCCAUCAACAAAACCAAGUUUGUUCUUGACCGUUAAGGCCAUACUCAUGGAUUGAACCCAUGUGCUGUAGUUGUCUUCCACCAAUGAUUGUGGUACGAGGAUUGCACCAGGUUGGUCCGAGUGGUGGAGAUAGAGUGGGUGGUUGGGAUUUUCCCAUUUUGAAUGAGAAGCCAUGCCUGGAAUGGUUGACCUCGUGACUGCCUUAGAGCUUGUGUUUUGUGGUUUUCCCAGAUCACAGCUCUGAUACCAUAUUGAAUUUCUAUGUGUAUUUGAUACCUUCUAACAAUUACAAGAUGAAACUUAUUUAUAGGGAAAGAAAGAUGACAUAAACCUAACUUGCCUAACUUGCCUAACACUUGCCUAACUUGCCUAACUUGCCUAACUUACACAAAGAAAGUUGACUAGCCUAACUUCACUAGUCAUCCAAUACCAUUGUUCCAACAUGUUUAUUUCAUGCAUUUUAACAGCUUCAGCUCUGAAACACUAACAUUAUGUCUUCCAUCGGUCAGACAUUCACUCUCCCAUUGCUCAAAGCUGUUUAUUCCCAUUCUCAAGUCUGCUAGUCUUUUCAACCUUGAUGAAACGUUAGGUGAAAUCAGUACAAGUUCCGAGCAACCACUCAAAUCUAACAAGCGUAGACGAGUCAGUUCCCCUAUUUCAUUGGGCAACUCUCCAACCUGGGAGUGUGCAUGGCUAAGAACUUUCCGAGUUUAUUAGCUCUCCAACUGGAGCUAUAUCUCCCAACACGCACUGAUCUAAGCACAAUGUUUGAGGAAUGUUAGGUAUUUAAGAUAAGGAGGUCAUGAUGGAAAAUGAAGCACAGUUAAAUCCAACACUUUGAGCUCUUUCAUCUCUUCAAAAAAAAUUUGCAAAGGAUUUCUUGUCGCAGCCCGUCCCGAAAUAUUUAUUUUCGACAACGUGAAAUUACUUAUUUACCCUUGGACGUUUCGUGUGGUCAUGUGGGUGAAUUUUAUUUAGACCAAUUCAAAGAUUUUCCUAAGUUUUUGGAACACUUAGGACUUAUUUUUGUUGGUUGUGACCAACUAGGACCACACACAAGCACCCAUACUUUUCUCUCUCUCCCGUUGACUCUCUCUCUCCCUUCCCUCUCGGAUUUCUACAGAAAAUCCGUACAAACGUACGGACGAACCUCAAACCAACCCAUUUCUGCACAGAUCGAGCUCAUGAUUAGUACUUUCACUUUCAUCUCAUCAUCACGAACUCAAUCAUACCUUUUUAGGACUUGGAAGCUUCGGAAAACCUAUGAAAACCCUACCCCGAAAUUGACACUGUUCAUGCAUGUUCAAACGAAGAGUUUUUAGAGGAUUUUAAGCUCAUAAGGAGCUUUAGAAGGUCCUCACGAAGCUCGGGGUAGCUUGUUGGGUAGUUUUGGAUGUCGGGAUUGUGAGUUUCAAGUUUGGUCGGUUUUUCUCGAAUUUCUCCGGCGAGAUCCCGUGAUAUUUGGGCUUUAAACAGGUAAGGAAAUGUUCUACAAUUUAAGAGCUUCAAUUUGGUAUUGAUUUCAUGAAAUUUGGAUGAAAAACGACUAAGUUAUAAAGGUUUAAAGUUUUCCAGUUUUUUUCGGCGAUGGCGACGGUCCGGCGAACCAAGGAAGGAGACGACGGAAUAUUUCGUCAAGUUUGACAGAAUAUUCCAACGGCGUCAGGUUAGUUUUAACGGUAUAUGCUACUUUUUAACGGAAUAUUCCCUAACGUCGUUAGGAUUACCGUCAGUGUGCCAGGCACGUGCCUGCGCGUGGGCGGCCCGUCUGGCCGUGCCUUGGCCGGGGCGUGGGUGGUCGGAAAAUUUUUCUAAAAAUAUGGGGAUGUUCGUGAAGUUGUGUAGAUCACGUUGGUAUAUUCAAACAUCUCAUUUGAGCAAUGUAUGAGAAGUUAUUAGCUAGUAUUGGUUAUGUGCUUUAAAUUAACGUUUCUAUAGUUGUUUCGCAUAUAGGGGAGACUUAUCCCGAGGACGAGCGCAGUCAAGGGCGACUCGAGGGCUACGACCCUUCGACAUACCAGUGAGUGGGCUUUUGGUUUUCAGUAUUUAUUUAUAUACUUGAUAUUUUCCCAGAAAAUAUGUUUAAAUGAAAGUAUGCCUUGAAUUGCCAUGCAUAUAAAUUGAUAUUCAGUAUAUGAAAUAGUACAUGAUGCAUAUAUAUAAUUGUGGUGCUGUGGACACUCAAGUAAGCCAGGUGAGUUUAUGAAUUGUGAAUGUGAUUAACGUUUAUGAUUAAUUGAGAAGCUUAGAGCUCAUAAACCUUCACCCUGGGUGAUUGUGAAUUACUGGAGAUAGAAUACAGGUAUGUUUAUAAUGUCACCUCCCGCACCAUAUGCUCAUAUUGGAUCCAAUUUAGGUGCACAGUCUUGUCGUACAGACCAUCAUAGGUGUUCCGACUCGUAGAUGACUAGCGAUUUAUCGCACAUCUAUCAUGAGAAAGUAGCGUUGAGCAUAAUUAUAUUACACCCAGUCUUGUCGUACAGACCCUUUUAGUGGUUCUGACUUAUGUGCAGUGUAGUGCCGUAUAGGUCAUUGUAGUGACUCCGGCUAGAUUGACUAAUGAGCUAUGAAAUCAGCCGUACAGACUUAUACAGAGGUUCCGGCUAAUAUGCUAUUUCCAUGAAUUUAUUCUCACCUGAGUCAUUUAUCCUAUUUUCAUGUUUUGGCAUGGCAUACUUAUGAAUAUAGUUAUGUGAAGCAUGAUUUGAAUUGAGAUAUUUAUAUAGUUAUGCAUAUGUUUAUAUUCUAUCUUUGGGAAAAUUAUACAUGUUUUACAACGAGGGGUUAGAACAUUUGAAAGUUAAGUGUGUUUUCAAAACCUUUGUUUUUGCCCACUCACGUUUUCUGUUCUGCGCCCUUCUAGGUUUUAGGUAGACUUGUUGUUGGUGGCAAUUUGAGGAUCUCGGCGGUUCUAACAAAUUAUAUAAUUACUAGGACAUCUUUUGGUACUGUAUAAUUAGUACUUGUCCUACUGGACUGCAUCUAGACUUUCUAUGCUCUGAUUAGGAGUAUUUACACUUGUAUCUUACUCCUAACACUUCUGUUUAUUAGUGCACCUUAGUAGCUUUUGGUUUUGUUUAUUCAUAUAUUUAUUAUCUCUUAUCUCGAUUGCUUCCGCACUGUGCAUAUGGCUACGUCACCCUCACGUGACGGCCAGUACGCCCUGAUCAUGGUCAGGGUGUGUCAUUUCUAGCAAGCCAUCACUAUUCCUAAAUAAAAUAUUUUCAGUUCUGAGCAUUCCCAAGGUACUUGGAGAAGCGUGGGUAUGGACAGUACAGUAACGAAGAGAGACCAAUAUCAUAGAGGACUCUUUAAACAAAUCCAUGGCUGGCCAUUCUUACAACUCCGCAUAUGUUAACAAUCCGGACAGCAACAUCUCGUACAAGCUCGUGCAUUCUAGCACUGAUCAUCAUAACCGUCUUUGAAUCAACAAAUGAAAUGCAUUUCGUGCCUCUUCCACAGUAUCAAAAAUUUUAACCGACACUAAACCUAUAAUAUAUUUGAACAAGUCGGACAAAAAAAUUAGAGUCACUUUGUGCCACCAUUCCGCAGAGCAUGAAAAAGCUUCUCAUCAUCCAAUUGAUUGUAAGUUUGUAACUCCACUCUAGACCCAAGUAUGCCGUCUCUUUUAAUCCUUUUUUGUCAACUUUUGAAGCACUCCCUCUUAAAGUGCUUGCAAGUGCAACAACUAAAACCGGUAAACCCCCACAUUGUUCUGCUAGUUGGGUUGCUACUUUCAGUAUACGUCAUCUUUAACAACAUCACCGGCCAUCUUCUCAAACAAAUUCCACGAUUGUUCUGCUAGUUGGGUUGCUACUUCGCAUCGGUGCCCAGAGAAGUCCCACAAGGUCCAAAUCAUUUCUUCCCAAAACAUCAACUACAGUAACAAGUGUUCUUGUCUGCUCAAUGAUAUUAUUGUUUUUUUAUGCUCAAUAUCCACCUCAUUAAUUUCUGUACCCCAAGUCCAAUGUGAGAUGACUUGCAUAAGAAUCUUUUUCUUCUAGCUCUCAAAAUUUUUGACAAGGAGAAGUUGCACCUGUGAAUUUUGGUUCUUUAUCGAAACAGAUUUUUUUUUUUGAGGGAGGUAAUGGAGAUCGUACUGUCAGACAAAUUGAUUAAGAUAUGGAUGACGAGGAUUUGAUAUGAGCAGGCAAGAAAGUGGCUAUCAAAAUUGAAACAUGAGUGGUGUGUAUUUUUAGAAUUUGUGGUACUGUGGGAUCACGGAAACUUGAAUUAAUCAGCACAACCACAACAAACACUGAUUUGUCCCAUGCUCAAAGUUGUAGCUAAAACUACAAAAAAAAAAUCAUUUUAGGAGCUCUCGGAAAAAAUUGUACUCCAACCAAUGAAAUCUAGCUUUGUUUCCAAACGAAAAAGAAAAAUAUACAAACGUACACACAUCCAGUUAAAAGAUGCGAUUCGAUUGAUUCGAUUUUAGUAAAGAAUAAGAAGCACUCUCCAGUACAAAGCAGUUUUAGUAGACAAGUGCAUACAAGCACCACUUCAAAUGCAUAAAUGUUUACAGAAAUCACACUAGCAUUAUUUCCCAAACACCAAUACCGAAAAUGAAGUGAACAAAGCUCCAAAUACAAAUCACACUUCUACCACGAAACACUAACAAGUCAACACAAGCAUAACAUGACUUGGAAUAUGUAUCAGUGCCUACCCAAAUCACACAAGUUUCUGGGAUAGCUUUUCCGUUGAUGCCGUAGCUUGCAGGCUUAUACCAAACAAGAUGAGAUCGGCCUCGGAUACGAAGCUGGGCACAGACCGUUGAGGGGUGAAUAGAGAAUAGUCACAGCAAGUAACAAGAGAAACUAGCUAGAAAGAAGUAUACUGAAAGUAGCAACCCAACUAGCAACCACAAUAACGCUAAAGCCAUAUAGCCUGCAUCUUCAUGAUCUCCAAUGCCCUUCAUUAAACCACCACAGUAACGCCAAAGCAAAAAAGGUCCAAGCAAUCAUAUAACCAAGGCUAGAAUUGGCCUCUAGCCGACAGAAAUCACAUAACCAAGGCUUCUUCCUUGAGGCGGAAGCUUGCCAACUUAAAUCCGAUAUGGCGGUCGCUGACAAUAAGAGUGGUGCCCAUCUUGUUCUUGGAACUAUGACUAAUAGUCAUAGCACGACAUCAAGUAGCAUAGUUGUCUCCAUCCAAAAAAUUUGGACAUACCAAUGUGAUUUCUGGGGAAUGUGUUGUGUGGUCCAAUAGAUCAGAGAGCCUUCUAGUCUGCUCACCAGGAUGAUAUUUCUUCCUUUAAAAGGAAGAAGAAUAUAAUACACAAACAAGCAAUCACACACAGCCGGAAAAACUUAACAGGCCAGCCAAAAAAUGAGGAUUCCUCUUUGGUAGAGAGUGUUGCAAUUGUAACAUCUAAAUUUGUAUCUUCUGGUCCUGUAAAAAUAUAUAUUUAGUUGACGAUUACAAAUAAACACACAAACUGUUCAAUAAGAAAUCUGACUGAAGAACUAUGAAUAAGAUGAAUAAAUCAGACUUUUAAUUUUAACGGUUCAAGGUUCAGAAAAAGCUGGAAAAUUGGAGAGUGAAAUUAAUAGAUGCUUCAUUAGUGAAUGAAGUACUUACAAUUUGAUCAGGAUCACUCUCCUCUGAAUCACUUAGCAUCGAUACAUCAUCAGUUUCCUCUGCUAUUUGUAGUCUUUUUGGUCUUGGAUCACUUUGGAGUAACCCAUCAGGAGAAAUCUUCAGCUGGCAGUCCUCGACAAUCAAAUUGGGUAAGGAUGGGACUUUGAAAAUGCAAUUUCCCUUGCAAAAUCCUUGCAGACUUGGUAGACCAGAAAGUUCCAAAUGUUCCAAGCAACUGAAAGUAAUCUCAUUUUCUGAAUCAUCUUCGUUGCUUGCCACUAUUUCUACCAUUCUUUCGCAGGACUUAACUACCAACUUCUUGAGUUGCUGCAAAUUCUUAGCCACAGAAUGAGGUAUUAAGUAUUGCAGUCUGUGACAAUCCAAUAUGGUCAAAGUGGUUAGAUUCCAAAAGGAUAUCAAAGUUGAAGCUAGAUUAUCUAAUCUGCUACAUUUUUCUAGGCGUAGAAAUUCCAAGUUCGGAAAAACAGGGCCCCCUGGUUGGGAGUUCUCCCUUCCUAGAUGUAUCAGCUCCGGCAUAUUGCCGAGCCCCAAAACCUUUACACGUGGGAGGGUCUUAACUUCAUGUAUUUCCCCGCUACUACUUCCUUGGUAGUCGUGGACAAUUAAUUCUUUCCAAGGAGCAGAGAGCACACGGAGCUGUUCAAUAUUCUGUAAAUUCUCAAAGAAAUAAUCUGAUUUGGGAUGUGAAGUAGCAAAACCAAUAAAUCUUAGUUUUCUCAACAACUCUGACAGGAGUGGACCAUUCAAAAUCUCCGUCUUCUCGUCCAAAACCAAGUAUUCCAAGUUGAGGAAUGACUUAUCCUGAAAUAUAAUAAAUGGUAAAGGCAUGCUUUAAAAUAUUUUGAAAAACUGGAUAUCACAUAAUAACUUUAAUAUUAAAAACAUAAUAAAUGUAUUUACUUGAUGGUGUAUGUUUAACUAGUAUGUAAAAAUCACAUAAAAUUUCGAAUAUCAAGAGUUGUGUACAAGUAUGGUUACCUUCUCAAUUAAAAAGAAAGGUUGUUCUGUUGGUCUUGGGUGGCCCAACACAAACUUGUCUUGAUAUGUUGAAAAUUCAGCAGCAAAAAUCUCCACACCACCACAUUUCGUGAACUUUAAUUUGUUGAGUGAUGGCCAAUUACAAACAUGCAAUCCUGGAUAGAAACUCCGAAGUUGGGGCAAAUUAUCAAAUUCCAUAGAUGUUACUUUAGGGAACCCGAACUCGUAUGUCGUUUGUGGUCCUUCUUCCUUCACAACAACCUCCAUUAAACCACAAUUCUUAACCUUCAACUUGCUUAGUUGCUUAAGAUCUUUGGCCACUGAGGCGGGAAAGACAUUUUCCAAGCCAUCACAUGAGUCUAUCUCAAUUGAGCUUAGAUUUGAGCACUCAAAGUCAUUCAACUGGGUGGUAGACGAUAUGUCAUAUACCAUUUGUAGUGCUUGACAUUUAGAUAUCUUGAGAUGUUUGAGUUGUUUGAGACAUUUAGCCAUGGAACUCCAAAACAAGAAUCUUAAACUAUCACAUCCAUGCACAGUCAAGGUUGUUAGCAUUGAAACCUGCAUAGUAUAGAACAAAAUCCUGUUUAUUUUAGAAAAUUACUGUUUACAUUGUUGUAGCGGUAUAUGUUCCAAAUGUGUAGAUAUAAAGUAAAGGUCAUAUAUUAUAUAAGCUACUAGACAGCUGUAAGCCUUUCUAUUUUCAUUAAAAAAAAAUUGGUCAAAAAGAUAUAUUUUGUUAGAUAGGUGUGGUCAAAAGAUAUAUUUGAUUAAAAAUAAUUUGGUCAAAAGAUAUAUUGUUUUGGUCAAAAAAUUUUUUAGCCGCAGAAGAGGUUUGAACCCAUAUUGUUAUGUAAGAGUUCAACUCAUUUUUACCACUAUGAUAAAAUGCCACUUACUUUCUUCUUUCAUUAAUUAGCAAUUUAAUUCCAAAUUCAAACUAUUUUACUUAAAUUGAUACCAUGAAAUUGUGAUGACAAGUGAUUGAUUGUUCUGAUUGUUAAGAAUUGAGUUCAAAUUUUCUACGUCUAAAAUAGGUGUGGUCUUUCUAUCGUAUGUCUCAUUACUUGACACCCCAACAAGUGUAACCCUAUCAUAACCCUCUCAGCUCCUAACACUAUGUUUGGAUGAGGGAAAUAAAUUCAGAAUUUGGAUAAAAGUCAAAAUUUAUAAAUUGACAUGCACCAAUUCUCUUAUUUGGAUUCAUAAACAUAGAAAUUUAGAAUUUUCGCGUGGAAAAAAACUUGGAAUUUGGGACCUCCAAUUUCCAAGUUUAAAUUCUAUGUAAAUAUGUGUCAUUUCUCAAUUUUUAUGAUUGAGUGUUUAAAAAUAACAAAUUCCGUAUUCAAUUUCAUUGUUCUUUUAGGUUAACCAAACAAGAAAAUUUACAAAUUCUAGAAAAUAAAAUCCCGUCAUUUUAAAAUUUCUUAGUAAACUUAAAUUUCUUCAUCCAAACAUAGAGUAAGAAAAUUAAAUAAAAAUAAGAACAAAAGUAAGAAAAAAGAAGCCGCUCAUCCUCCAUUCCUCCUCUCUCUCUCUCUCACUUCCCCAAACACAACAGCAGCAAUAUCAAUUGCAUCUCCUUCGUACUUUAAAUCCAUAAAUCAAACCCAAAAGACUCACCCCUCAAUUUAACUGCUCCUGCAAAGAAUAAAUCCCUUUUGGGCUGUCAGAUUUGUGAAUAUGAGUUUCCCCUGAAAUUUCUUUUAGGUGCAAAAUUCGUUGAAUUUACACCCUUGUCGAUCGAGAGGGAUGUCGAUGUCACCACGACGAUCUCCUAUUGCAAAUCCUUGGGGUCCUUGCCGAUGACCGUUCCCGCGAGCUCCUUCGGCUAUGGAUCUGUUCCUCAUAACCUUGGCGAUCUCUAUGACGUCAUCAAGGGAGAUGCUGCUGCUGUGCUUGGAAGAGGUGGUGGGAGGGGGCGGUGAUUGGUGGCAUUGGGAUGGAAGGGAAAUGGGAGAGGUACACAGUGCGCUGGGCUACGCUCUGAUUUUUUAUUUUUUUAUUUAUUUUAUUUUAUUUGGAGUUAACACCAUUAGGUUUGGUUGAGUGAAUGGACAUGAAAUGACAUACAACAUGGGAAAAUAAAUGGUUUUGUCUAAGGAAGACAUUUGAAAAUUAAAACACGAAAGAAACCUGAUUUAACAUACCAUUUAAACAUUUUUCUAAUCUAAAACAUGAAAGAAUUAUAUGAUCGAAAUUCGAAGAAGAAAACUAUUUGGAGAAAGAAUCAUGCAAUCAUUUUGCUAGGAAAAUUACAGAGAAAGUACCUCUUCAUUAUUGAAAAGUCUCGAUUGUCCACCAGCUUCAUCCUCCGUAACGAUUUCGUCGGCUUCUGUAGCAAUUGUUAAUUGAUCAGAGAAACCAAUAAGCUUUGGUAGAUUCCGAAGUGUUAAAAAUUUUAACUUUCGGAAAGGCUCGCCUAUGAGUUGCCCAUAACAUACACUUUCCAAACUCACAAGGUCUUCAAGAGCUAGAGAUUCCAGGUUGGAGAAGGCAUUAGGAGAGUAACUCCAAUUGACGGAGUUAAUGACAUAUUUAACUUCGUCGUUGUUUUGGACAUGGAAAUGCUUCAGUUGAUUAACAGCUCCACUGUCAAAUAGAUAGGAAAUAAUAUUCACACUCUCCACCCCAUCCAAGUACAACUGCUCACAUUUCUUUACCAGCAACUUUAUACCUCCGUCGAACUGAUUUCUCCUGGUGAGCUUGAGCUUGAGCAUGUUAGAGGAGGUUGCAAGGAUGUUAGGAUACUCCCAACAAUCACCGACAAGUAUGGUGUAUCUUUCUAACUUAUCGGAGAACAAGUCGGUUGGAAGAAGGUUAGCAUCUGGAACGUGUACGUCCAAUGCGGAUAGAUGAGAUAAGUGCUUCAGCUCUGAAACGCUGGCAUUACUUCUACCAUCGACCAAACCUUCACCCUCCCAUUGCUUGAAGCUUUUUAUUCCUAUCCUCAAGUCUUCUAGCCUUUUCAAGCUUGAUAUAACAUUAGGUGCGAUCAGAACAAGUUUAGAGCAACAGGUCAAAUCCAAUAAUUGGAGGCUAGUCAAUUGCCUUAUUUCUUUGGGCAAUUCUUUAACCUCGGACUGUAAGAGGCUAAGGAUUUUCAAGUUUGUUAGUUGUCCAACAAGAGCUAUGUCUUCCAACUCGCAAUGAUCUAAACACAAUGUGUGGAGAUGCUUUAGGGAUUGAAGAGAUGGAGGUAGUGAUGGAAUACGGAAUUUGGUUACAUCCAACACCUUGAGUUCUUUCAAUCCUUCAAAAAAAUUGCUUGGGAUUUCCUGGGAGUCGCCAAUACUGUCAUUCCACAAGACCAAAAGUUUUAAUUCUGGGCAUUCCCAAGGUACUUCAGGAAGUCUGCGGAUCUUGCAACGACUUAAGGACAUACUUGUGCAUUUUUUAAGGAAAUCCUCAGUCGGCCAAUCUUUAACCUCGUCUCCAUAUGCUCUUGAAAAGGCCUUUUGAUCAUCAGAUGCGAUCCGGACAGCAACAUCUCGUACAAGCUCAUGCAUUCUAACAGUCCCAUAGUCAUAACUGUCCAGCAAUAGUCAAGAAUUUUUUAGUUUUUUAACCAUUCUAUUCAAUGAAAUCCGUGCCUCUUCCACUGUCUCAACACUUCCAACCAAACCCAAACCCAUAGCACAGUGCAACAAGUACAACAACAACAACAACAACAAAGCCUUUUCCCACCAAGUGGGGUCGGCUAUAUGAAUCCUAGAACUCCAUUGCGCUCGGUUUUGUGUCAUGUUCUCCGUUAGAUCCAAAAUCAAGUCUUUUCUUAGGGUCUCUUCCAAAGUUUUCCUAGGUCUUCCUCUACCCCUUCGGCCCUGAACCUCUGUCCCGUAGUCACAUUUUCGAACCGGAGCGUCAGUAGGCCUUCUUUGCACAUGUCCAAACCUCGGAUAUCCUCAUUCCCAAUCUUAUCCUUUCUCGUUUGCCCAUACAUCCCACGAAGCAUCCUCAUCUCCGCUACACCCAUUUUGUGUACGUGUUGAUGCUUCACCGCCCAACAUUCUGUGCCAUACAACAUCGCUGGCCUUAUUGUCGUCCUAUAAAAUUUUCCCUUGAGCUUCAGUGGCCUACGACGGUCACACAACACGCCAGAUGCACUCUUACACUUCAUCCAUCCAACUUGUAUUCUAUGGUUGAGAUCUCCAUCUAAUUCUCCGUUCUCUUGCAAGAUAGAUCCUAGGUAGCGAAAACGGUCACUUUUUUUGUGAUCUUCGCUAGAUUGCUCCGGUCAUUAGUGUGGAUAAGUAUAUAAAUGGAUAGAGAUAGGAAAGCAAACACAAGAUGUACGUGGUUCAUCCAGAUUGGCUACGUCCACGGAAUAGAGGAGUUCUCAUUAAUUGUGAAGGGUUUACACAAGUACAUAGGUUCAAGCUCUCCUUUAGUGAGUACAAGUGAAUGAUUUAGUACAAAUGACAUUAGGAAAUAUUGUGGGAGAAUGAUCUCGUAACCACGAAACUUCUAAGUACUGGAGUGUGGUAUCGUCUUGACUUUCCUUAUCUGUCUCAUAGGUAGAUGUGGCAUCUUCUCUGGAAGUACUCUUCAUCCAUCCAGGGGUGGUAUCUGUAACUGAUAGAGAUGCACAAGGUAAUGUAUCAAUGUCACUUGAAGCUUACUUGUAGUUUCAGGCUUGGUCAAGCGCGAUACAAACCAUGUAGUAGGAGUCCCCCAAGUCGCCGAGCUAGGGGAUCUGCUGAAAGAGGUGACAGACAAGGUAAGCAAUCAGAGCUCCGGCUGAUUGUUCACAUUCUCCCUAUCUUGCAGGCAGCAUGAAGGAUAAAGAGAAGAAAAAUGAGAAGAAAUGAUAUGGGAUACUUUUGCUUUUGAAGAAGUAACUUUCCACACCAGCUUAUUCUUGAACUGGGCUGGAGGGUUUUUCUGGUUUCCUCCAGAGAUAAGGCCGACUGAAGAAUUUGAGGGUCAAAAACAAGUCCAUCAAAAUCUAGAGUACGUUCGAGCCCUGCUGAUAUGGGAUACUUUUGCUUUUGACAGAGUAAUGGAUGUAUCGGCACGUGUGCUGUUACGCUUGUCUCCACAUGCUUCCUUGUAUCCUUCUCACUUGCCCUAUCUGUUCCUCAGGCAGAUGCGGGAUCUUCCCUGGAAGCAUAAGGUGUUGAAGAUGAGUACUCGAGAGCAAUGCCAGGUAAGUAAUCAGGUAAGGGUUCCAGGCAGUCAGUUCCUGGCUGGAAGCUUGAUUCCAAGUGCUGACUGAUUGCUCUCUUUCUCCUUGUCUUGCAGGUAAGAACAAGGCCAAAAGAAAAGACAGGGAAAAAGCAUGAUAUGGGAUACUCUUGCUUUUAACCCUGAUGAUAAUAGAUAUUCUUGCUCUAGUAUAGCUUGUUUACAAGAGGUAUAAUUAAUCGGGGGGAAAGAAAGCUGAAUAUUUGAAAGGCUUCGUUGGGAGUGCCCUCUUAGAUAAGAGGAAGGGUUGAGCAUUUUUGCCAGGUCUGCCUGUGUUGGAUGGAGGUCGACCAUAUAAUAGGAGUCUCCCUAACAUCAGUAUAAUGCUAUUCCUCUUUACCUGCUUGGUUCUCAGCACGGUAGUGGGAGCUGCCAGCUUCACAUUUAACCUGUUAAGCACUUUGAACAAGUGGCUUGUGGUAUCUGGAAAGCUGAUGUUGCGUUGGAAGAAUAUACAGACAAGCUCAUCCCAGGAGACCCUCUUGACGUUGUAAAGUGGGGUGCCUUUGAACGAAGCAAAGCAAUCCUGUCGGCGGAUCCGGCGAGAUCGCAGGAUGCCCUCUUCAUUUUCCAGAAAGCAAUCCUACUGGGGGUUCCUCGGAUUCGAGAACCCUCUUGAUUGAAAGCACAUUGUUGCCUCUGAGUUCGUGAGCUGUCUAUUUUUGAGAAAAGUAAUCAUUUGGGAGUUGGCUCUUGGAUUCGAGGGCGGUAUUUGCGGGAAUUCAAUUUGUUGGAAGUGUUUUUCUCGAAGUGAAUAAGUUUUUUGUUGCUAAGUCACUUGCACGAAGCACAGAGGUGAUGACGGACUUUUCCAAUCUCCGCAGUUUACUGUUCCUUUACCCUCCUCUUUCGAAUUUUUGAGAAAAGUAAUCAUGUUAGGAAGUCUGGGCUCUGAGAUUUCGGAGGGCGGUGCCUCAUUCCGGAUUUUUGGAGCAAGCAUCUGGUUGGGAGUGUUUUCUCGAAUGUGAGUAAAGGUUGGGCCAGUUUGCUAGCUUCUACCUUGCCACGAAGCACAGAGGUUGACACACAGACUUUCCGAUUAUCAGCCGUUGGUACUGUUUCUUUUCUACCCUCUCUUCGAUUUUUUGAGAAAGUCAAUCAUGUUGGGAGUCUGGCUCUCGAGAUUCCGGAAGGGCGGUGCUCUUCGUUUUUGGAGCAAAGCAACUCUUGUUGGGGAAGUGUUUUCUCGAAUGUGAGUAAAGGUUGGCAUGUUUGCUAUCUACCUUGCAAAGCACAGAAGGUUGAACACCGGACUUCAAUUAUGGCAGGGUACUGUUCUUUACACUUGGUGGGUAAAAAUAUGGUAGUAGACCUUUCGAAAUUUAUGGUUAAAACGUUAGUGUUUUUUCUUUGCUAAUCUUUUUACCCUUCUUCCUCGAGCAAUGUGGUGUGCAAGCUUCACGUGCCUCAACUUGUCAGAGAACUUUGGCAAAGUUAUACUGUGGUAGCAUGGCUAUUGUUGCUGGUGGGAAGUGGGUGAUUGACAACCGAUUAAUGUGCGCACUUCCGCAAAAUCUGAAAUGCCCAUAAUUUCCAGCAAAGCUGAGUUGUGCGGUUGACGGCUGCUGACAGGGCUGAAAAUAGGUCCUCUUCGAUCUUCGAGAAUGGCAGCUCUGGUCUCUGAGCAGCCAGCUUUUGAGAAAGCAAGCCUCUUCAAUUCUGAGUCGCCCCUUCGUGGUUUUGAGCCACCCAGCUCUGAGAGAAUUCUUCGAUUUCUGAGAGACCUAAGGCUCCUGAGCAGAAAGUUUAAAAGCAAACGCUCUUCUUUCUGGCGGCGCCUUCCAUUUCUGAUUAUCGUCUUUUAUAGCCAAUUUAAUCCUGCACCUUAAUUCCGGUACGAAUUUUUGCACUUCUAGCGAUUUGUCGCGCCUCUUUUGCAUACCGAAACUGUCUGGCCCCAAUACCGCGUUUGACGGAACCUUGAGAAGAGGAGCCCACCUUUCUCGCAGACCUCAUAUGGGCCCAUCCUCUCUCCCCACUUUUCUUACGAAGGGGAUUCCGUGAAUAGAAUGAUAUGGGCUGGGUAGUGGCCAGGAACUUCUACUCCAAAGUAACAGACCCUUUCAAACCUGAUGAGUUGGCUUUAAGAUUCUCUGGCUUAAGUGUUCAAUGGCAGGUUUGGUCUAAUAAUCCCAAAUAUUUAACCGCCAAUUGGAUCAUCUGAGGCUAAGUGAGAGUCUCAAAAAGGAGAUUAGAGGGCUCAAGCAAGAAUAACAGUUGACCGGCUCGCACAUGAUAUGUACAAACAGAGAGAAGCUUUCCAGAUGAAUAACUCUAAUUUCAGCAAACUUUUCAGAAUUUUUUUGUCCAAAGGCCCACCUUUUAUAUUGACGAUUGAAGCUCAAGAUCAACCCUAUUCCCUUCUUGACUGUCAGUACUGAAGCUAUCCAAUCUUCCCCAUCCGGUGCUUCCCCCUUCCUUUCGGGCUCUACCGACUGUAGAAGACUAUCUCCUAAGCACCUAAGCUCCUUUCUUGUUUAUUCAACUCUCAAGUAUAUGUACAUAUUUGUAACUUAGGGGAUCACAAUAAAAAGCUUCCCAUCUCAACGUAUGUUGUUAAAAAAAUACACCAAAGCCCUCGCUACAAGUCCUUUGAAUUUCUUUUGUUGAAGCUUGUAUGUUGAAGCUUUAAUGGAAGGAACUAGGUUGAGGUAGUGGUUCCUUUAAUUUCCCGAGUGAGAAAUUCCUCAGACCGAAAAAUCAAUCACUGAGUGUUCCAUAUGAAUCUUAGAAGAAAUCGUUUCUGUCAGGCCAUGUCCUGAAUCAAGUAUCUAAUCUUUGCAAGGGUCUCUUCCAAAGUUCCAGUCUUGUUCCUAACCCCUUCGGGCCCUGAACUCUGUCCAGUAGGUCCGCAUUUCUAAUCGGAGCGUCAAGAAACCCUUCUUUGCACAUGUCCAAACACCGUAACCGUUUUCUUUCUCAGUCUUUCCUUCAAUUUCGACUACUCCUACUUUAACCCCGAUAUACCAUCUAAUCUUAUCCUUUCUCGUGUGCCCACACAUCCAACGAAGCAUCCCUCAUCUCCGCUAUCAACCUUUUGUGUACGUGUUGAUGCUUCACCGCCCAACCAAUUCUGUGCCACUACCAGCAUCGCCGGCCUAUUGCCGUCCUAUAAAUUUCCCUUGAGCUUCAGUGGCAUACGGGCGGUCACCACAAUAACGCCGGAAUGCACUCUUCCACUUCAUUCCAUCCACUUGUUAUUCUGCUGAGAACUGGUUGUUUUUUAUUUUGACUCAAGUAUAUGUACAUUUUGUAACUUAUCGGGGAUCUUUCAUUUCAAAACGUAUUGUGUUAAAUACACCAAAGCCUUCUCGCUAAGUUUUGAAUUUUCUUUUGUGUUGAUAAUCCUAGGUAAAGCAUAUUAGGUUGAGGUAGUGUUCCUUUAAUUUCCGUCGGUUGGAGAAGCAAUCUUUGAGUAUGGCUAUCUAGAACGCCAUUGUGUUCUGUCCUGUGUCAUGUCCUCUGUUAGAUCCAAGUACUUCUAAGUCUUUUUCUUAGGGUCUCUUCCAAAGUUUUCCUAGGUCUUCCUCUACCCCUUCGGCCCUGAACCUCUGUCCAUAGUCGCAUCUUCUAAUCGGAGCGUCAGUAGGGCCUUCUUUGCACAUGUCCAAACCACCGUAACCGAUUUUCUCUCAUCUUUCCUUCAAUUUCGACUACUCCUACUUUACCCCGGAUAUCCUCAUUCCUAAUCUUAUCCUUUCUCGUGUGCCCACACAUUCCAACGAAGCAUCCUCAUCUCCGCUACACCCAUUUUGUGUACGUGUUGAUGCUUCACCGCCCAACAUUCUGUGCCAUACACAGCAUCGCCGGCCUUAUUGCCGUCCUAUAAAAUUUUCCCUUGAGCUUCAGUGGCAUACGGCGGUCACACAAUACGCCGGAUGCACUCUUUCCACUUCAUCCAUCCAGCUUGUAUUCUAUGGUUGAGAUCUCCAUCUAAUUCUCCGUUCUUUUGCAAGAUAGAUCCUAGGUAACGAAAACGGUCGCUCUUUGGUAUUCUUGAUCUCCGAUCCUCACCCCUAACUCGUUUUUUGGCCUCCAUUUGCACUGAACUUGCACUCCAUAUAUUCUGUCUUUGAUCGGCUUAGGCGAAGACCUUUAGAUUCCAACACUUCUCUCCAAAGGUUAAGCUUUGCAUUUACCCCUUCCUGAGUUUCAUCUAUCAACACUAUAUCGUCUGCGAAAAGCAUACACCAAGGAAAUAUCAUCUUGAAUAUGUCUUUGUUAACUCAUCCAUUACCAACGCAAAAAGGUAAGGACUUAAGGAUGAGCCUUGAUGUAAUUCUACAGUUAUGGGGAAGCUUUCGGUUUGUCCUUCAUGAAGUUCUUACGGCAGUCUUUGCUCCUUCAUACAUAUCCUGUAUAGCUUGGAUAUAUGCUACUCGUACUCCUUUCUUCUCUAAAAUCCUCCAAAGAAUGUCUCUUGGGACCCUAUCAUACGCUUUUUCCAAAUCUAUAAAGACCAUGUGUAAAUCCUUUUUCCCAUCUCUAUAUAUCUUUCCAUCAAUCUUCGUAAGAGAUAGAUUGCCUCCAUGGUUGAGCGCCCUGGCAUGAACCCGAAUUGGUUGUCUGAAAUCUGUGUCUCUUGCCUCAAUCUAUGCUCAAUGACUCUCUCCCAGAGCUUCAUUGUAUGACUCAUUAGCUUAAUACCCCUAUAGUUCAUGCAAUUUUGUACAUCGCCCUUAUUCUUGUAGAUAGGCACCAAAGUGCUCGUUCGACACUCAUUUGGCAUCUUCUUCGUUUUCAAAAUCCUAUUGAAAAGGUCAGUGAGCCAUGUUAUACCUGUCUCUCCCAAACUUUCCACACUUCGAUUGGUAUAUCGUCUGGGCCUACUGCUUUUUUAUGCUUCAUCUUCUUCAAAGCUACAACCACUUCUUCCUUCCGGAUUCUACGAUAAAAAGAGUAGUUUCUACACUCUUCUGAGUUACUCAACUCCCCUAAAGAAGCACUCCUUUCAUAUCCUUCAUUGAAAAGAUUAUGAAAAUAACCUUUCCAUCUGUCUUUAACCGCGUUCUCUGUAGCACAGUGCAACAAGUAAAAGACAUAAAUGGUGCUACCCCCAGUUGCAAGAAUUCCGCAAAGCAAGAACAAUUGCCGAAGCUCUUGAUCUUCCAAUCGUUGGUAACUCCACUUCAGAGCCAAGAAUGCUUUUUCAUCCAAUUCUUCCUCGGCAAAUCUUUUGAAGCUUUUCAACGCAUCUUUCCAUUCCUGCAAUCUACUAUCCUUUAAAGCACUUGCAACUGCAACAACCAAAACCGGCAAACCUCCACAUUUCUUUGCUAGUUGGGUUGCUUCUUUCAGUAUACGGUUGUCUUUAACGACGUUAUCUGCCACAUUCUCAAACAAACUCCAACUUUCUUCUUCGGUUAAAAAUCCAAGUGGAAAUUCUUUCUGCGUACGCAUAUCAGAGUAUAAAACUUUUCUUUCUCUGGAAGUCAACAAUAAUUUACAGUUCGGCACACCGACAAGUCCCACAGCCUCAAAGUUAAUUUCUUUCAAAACAUCGUCUAAAAUGACAAGAGUUUUCCCCUCUUUUAUCCUGGCUUGUAGGAGACUCGCCCUUGUUCCCAUGUCCUCAGAUUCAUCAACGUACAUCCUCAACUUUUUGGUAAUUUCCUUUUGAAUUGUUAUGUUGUCUUCCUUUUCUUUUACAUUUAGAAUUAUAACCACAUCAUCAAAUAACUUCUCUUUGACAGCUUCUGUGUAAACGUCUUUGGCAAGUGUUGUCCCAACGCCCCCUAAUCCGUACACCCCAAUCCUGUUGAUAUUAGGUUUUUUCAGUUCCGUAAUGAUAUUCUUCACCAUUGAAAUCCUUGAUUCAAAGGCCAUGUACCCGUCUGAGGGUGUGCCAGAUAUGUCUUCUACGGGAGCAUCGUAAUAAAGCCUGCUAAACUUUUCUUUUUUAUUUUCAUGUGCUUCAAUCUUUGCCAUUAGUUCUGUUGACUUCCUGCUACUCUGAUGAUAGUAUAUCAGAUUGGGACAUAUAUAGAGACACUUUGUCUUUGCACAGCCUUCAUGAACCAAUACUGCUUCUGCCUCUCGAGAGAUCUUAUCCGCUUCUGUCUGCCAGUUCCGGACAUCAGCUUCCACUUUUUGAUUAACUUUUCUUUCGACUUCUUCAACCGCAUGGUUCAUCCUUUGUUUGACAGCAUCAAAAUCCUCCAAUUUACUCCUUAGACCUUCAAGGUUGUUUUUGUAGGAAAUGAUAUAACCCACUUGGCGUGCAACUGGUAUAACUGUGUAGUCAAUUAUUGUAGGAAUAAUUGCAGUGAGUAUCUCCAUCGCCAUGGAACCUUCAGCUUACCAAUUAGUCUGCUUCUCCGAUCUGUAGAAUAUAUAAGAAUCCAAAAUAAAUAAAUAAAUUCAAGAUACAAGAAAGGAAUCCUUUAUUUUGAAAGCAGAUGAAAAUUAAGAAAAAAUGAAACAAUAGGUCAUACCUUAGCUCAUGAUCAAGACAAGGCUUGAAGAAAAACAGAGCAGUAUGCAAAUCUUUUGGUUUUCUUUUGCUUUUGGAGAAAUCUGCAUAGUAAAGCAAAAAAAAGGUUAUACCACACUUGCAAAGUAAAAGUCGAGAUGAACAAGUUUUCAUAUACAAUUAUUACACUAAAAAAACUUGCUUUGUACAGAACUUAAGCAACUAUUUUCAAAUCUUAAAAACUAUGAAAACAUAUAUAAUCUGUGAUGGAAUUUCACCGAGACAUUUUAACAAACACCAUAACUGCACACUGAAUGACAAAAUAGUUGAAAUGAUUUAUUAUUGAGAAAUAAUAUUGUGAUUUUAAUCAUUAUAUUAUCUUUUAGUAAUAUAUUAAAUUAUUUAAACCUAAUAUUUGUCUAAAUCCCAAUUAAAAUGAUGGUGGGAUAUUGGGAUAUGCACGGCGUCAGAUAAUGAAGCAAGUAGUGUGGUUCAAAUUGAUUUGGAUGUUUGGCAGUGGACAUGUAGAUAGAUUGAAAUAGCUUGGAGUGGAGAUCAGCAUAUGGGAUUUGAUGAUCUUAAAAUUAUGGUCUUGGAUAAUGAUGGGAUAAGGAAUCUAGGUAGACUAGGCAUUUUUGCAAGGUGAUGUCAGAUGGGUUUAAAAGCUACUGUUGGAGUUUUGAUGAUAAGAAGCCUAGGUGGGCUAGGCUUCUUAUGAGAUGUGAUAGGCCUAACUUUUAUUAGGUUUGAAAAGUCUUGGAACAAAUCCCACGGCUCAGUUUGAAGGAUAUGCCUUGGUUUCUGAUGUGGAUCAAUUUCAAUUCCACGAAUUAGAGUUGCAGUAGAACUCUACAAAAUUAUCUGGCCAUGCCAAGCAAAAGAUACAUCCCUAUAAAUACAGAGGCGCUGUGCAACGGAAGGGCCACCUCCAACUCAACACACAAACUGCCAUGCGCAAACCCUCGCUCUACAUGAAACCUCUCAAACACCUUGAGAUUUUUAUUUUCUUUUUCGCCAACACAUCUUCAAUUUGGAUAAACAGCACUGUAAAGGCAACCGGCGAACAUCUUCAGUUUGGAUAAACAACACUGUUGCCGUAGAAUCAGCCAACCGUGGAGCACCUUUAGUUUGGAUAAACAGUACUGCGUCGAGGCCGACUGGUUAUCUAUCCAAGUAUCGAUCGAGAAGGAUUUUCAAAUCCUUAUUGGCAGAGGUCAUCUCAUCAGUCUUCUCGGCAAAGUGAGGUGUUACAGUUUACUAGGGCUUGGCACAUUGAAUGCCGAGUUGUUUUAUGAUUGGAUACUCACAAGUAGACUUUAGAGUUCGCCAUUCUGACGGCCGAACCACGUUCACCAUCAAGACAUAUAUCUGUUUUGAGUAUCUGUGCCCCUAUACUCUGGUGUUGAUUCAGCGUGCUUAUACUUUUACAAAUAUAAUCACUAUGAUCGAAUCCGGCGUCGACAGUUUGUGAACUUCGCAGAACUAGCAGCCUUAUCUUCAGGUUUUAGAACCCGAAGGCCGAGAGUGUUCCUUCCUCGGUCGCAGUCGCAAGAUCGAGAUCUCAGCCGCGCGCUCAACGCAACAUCAACUCAUUUUACUCACUGGCCGAGCUCGGCCAUCGAGUUGGCACGCCCCGCACACAACCGAAGGACGUAGUUAGCUUAUUAAUUACUCGAUCUGCGUGCCACAUAGACUUUGUAGUUUUUAGGGUCAACAGAUACAUAGAUAAUGUCAAAAGCCAAUAAUUUUGUGUUUGAUAGUAAUAUCUUGUAAUGUAUAAAAUAAUGGUAGUGUUGCUGGAGAUGGUUGUUAUGGCAAGAGUUGUGUUGGAAGCAAUGGUGGUUAGGUCAGUGGUAUUAGUGAUGAGGACACGCCCAUUGGAUAGUGACAAUAGUGGAGUGGAAAAAGGGCAAUGGGAGGCUGGUAGUAGGAAUGGUGGUGACGGCCGACGAUAGUGGCAGAAGGUGGUUGUGGUAACAAUGCUAAAGAGGGGCCGUAUAGGUGAUGUUGAUUGAGAGGUGGUGACGGUGAUGACGGCGAAGAUGGUAGAGGUUGUGCUAGCCAUGGUGGCAGAGGUGAUGACAUGGAGAUAGUGGCAAUGGUGGUAGUAGUGAUAAUGACGGCAAUGGUAGUGGGAGGUGGUAGUGGUAAAGAUGACAGCGAUACUAGAGGAGAGGGUUGCAGCAGUGGUGAGGGUAGUGGCAGUAAUGAUUGUUGGAGUUGUGCUUUAAAAAUAUAAUAUCACAAUAUUAGAUAUUAUAUAACAAUUCCAUUAUAAUGGUAAGAUUUCGUAUUUAGAAAAUACGAUUUAGUAUUAUUAUUCUGCAAGAGCUAUUUUGAAUUGUUUUUAUAUUACAUUAGUUUAUAUAUAUAUAUAUAUAUAUAUAUAUAUAUAUGUAUGUAUUUUGAAUUGUUUUUAUAUUACAUUAGUUUAUAUAUAUAUAUAUAUAUAUGUAUGUAUGUAUUUUAUAUAUAUAUAUAUAUUAUAUAUAUAUAUGUAUGUAUGUAUGUAUGUAUGUUUAGGUUUGCAUUGUUUGCACCACGUGAUACUUUGUUCCAUAGGAUAGGACUGGACAUAGUUUUAUGUUAUUAGAAUCUUCAUAGCUUCCUAUCUAGUUUAGGUUAAGGUGGCAUUGUAUUAUGGUUCAAGCCAAGGUGCUUUAUCGGCAGUCUCCUAAUAUAUAGAUGAGAGAUCCACUAAUAUAGCUAGAGCGGCAUGCAUCCAAAUGACAGUUCAUUUGCAUGGGAAAAGUAGAAAGAAAGGGAAGGCAAUCACAGGCAGAGAGAAGGAGAGCAGCGAAUAAUUAAAGAAGGCAACAUUGCGGUAAUCAGCAGCAAGUAGACCAAAGCCACAAGAGAAGACAUUGUCAAAUCGAUAAAUUAAUCAAGAUAUAAUUAAGGAGAAAUUAGGUUCAUAUCAUUCUUUUUGCUACUCCAUUGAUUAAAAUUCUAUUUAUUUUCAAUUUUUGAUCAAGGUCAUUGGAUAUUAAUAACAUCAUUAAUUAUUUGAAUAAUAAAAUAUUUUUAUUUUUAAAUAUAUUCCUUUAGUGUUAAAAAUGUUACAAUUAGUAUAUUUAUAUUUAUGGCUAAAUUUUUUAUCAUAUAUUUUUAUUUUUAAUUUGUACCUAUUUUUAAUUUGUACCAAUUUUUUUUUUCAUUUUUAAUUUGUACCCAUAUAUUAGUUUCUUUUUGUGCCCAUAUUUUUUAAAGUUUUAUUUGUGUUUGUACCCAUGUGUAUACCGUCACGUGACAUUGUAUAUUUAAUCAAUGAUAGAAAAAUUACAUAUGGUAUAUUUAUGUUUUAUUCCUAAACUUUGUAUCAUAUAUUUAUAUUUUUAGUUUGCGCCCACUUUUAAUUUGCAACAUUUUUUUUUAAUUUGUAGUAUUUUCUUUUUAGUUUUAUUUUGUACCCAUGUAUUAAUUUCGUUUAGUGCCUAUAUUUUUAAAAAAUUCAUUUGUUCUCAUAAUUUUUUAAUCUUUUAUCUGUACCCUAAUUUAUUUAUAAUGUAUCCAUUCUUCUUUAUUAAUGUACCACUUUGUUAUAUGUGAAAUCUACCAAUUUUUUUUAACACUAUGGAUACAUUCUUUUGCCAUUUAUUAUUUCUUAUUUUUACAUAGUUUUUAUCCAUUUCUUCAAUCAAAAUGUUUGAAUUUUUUAUUGUAACCGUUUCUAAUGGCAUUAUAAUGAGAGAUUUUAAAUUUAUAGGAUUAUAAAUCUCAUAAAAUAUCAAACAAUUAAUGUCAAAACUAUAAAAAUAUAAAUAUUAAUUGUAAUAUAAUGAGGUGUACAAAGUCAAGGAACUUUGAUCAAACUUUGAAUAUCAUUAAGGUUUUAGUCAAAGAAUGUUAAGGAUUAGAGACCGCAUCCAAAAUUUCUCUAUAAUUAAUGUACAAAGUGGCGAGCAUAUAAUUGAAGAGCUUUUCUGUUUUUUAUCUUCUAAUGUUGUCAAUAAAUGAACUUUAAGCCGUUGUCACUUGUCAGUUAGGGAGAAGAAAAUGGAAACAGAAGAGGGAAAAGAAGAGACAACUGGUCCUGAAGAAGGACUCAGGCUUUUCCUGAACUUAGUUUUCUUAAGUUUAUUAUGCAUCUUUUUUUUCCUGAACUUAGUUUUCUUAAUUUUAUUAUACAUUUAGUGACAACUUCAAUUAUGUUUCGGAACUAAUUUAUUUUCCCUAGAGCAACGAGGUAGCCCAAUCAUGCUUGCUUAAUUCCUCAGUUUUGUUAUUUUUAAAUUUUCAGUAGUAUUAAGUUUUUUUGUUGUGCAUUAUACGCUUGAUUAUUAUCUUGUUGUUUUUAGAACAGUGAUAUAUUUAGGUACGAACAUUUUGGUACAAUAAGUUAGUAUAAUAUGUUUAGGUACAGACAUUUUAGUACACUAGUUUAGUAUAAUAUAUUUUGGUACAUAUAUUUCGGUACAUUAGUUUAGUAUCAUAUCAAAUUUUCGGUACACUAAUGUUUUUGCAUAUUUUCUUAUGUGACACUAAUUCACUACAAUAUAUUUAGGUAUGAACAUUUCGGUACACUAAUUUAGUAAAAUAUAUUAAUUAGAGGAAGUUCAAUAAAAUUAAUGAAUUAAAAUGUGUAUAAUAACAAAUUUAAAUACAUUAAAUACUGUCAUAUAGUACUACGGUCUAAUGGUAUUCUUCUUCACUUUUAAGUGAAAGAUUUUAGGUUCGAUUCUCGCUAAAGGAGAAUUUGAACCACAUUAUUGCUAGUCCAUUGUGAGGCUAGCCUCUCCCCCACCCUCUUAGUGUAGAUAAUAUCGUUGGUUAAAAAUAUAUAUUAAAUAUUAAAAAAAUAUAAGAUGAAUUUGAAUUAAGUACACAUUAAGGGACUAAUGUGAAAUCUCAUCCCCGGAAUUUCAUUAUUCAUUACGUAUCUUGUUAUUACAAACGACUAGGUACAUGCAUAGUGAAAAUUGGAACUUGGAACUAGAAAGAUUUUACAAAACAAGUAUCAAUUAUUUUAUUCAAAGUAGAGGGAAAAUAUAAUAUCAUUAGAUAUAAAAUAUUAAUGAUAGAAUAAAUAUUAAUAAUAAAAGAAGAAAGAGAGAAGGGUUUGAGAACCAUCGGGAAAAGAAGGAAAAGAAAAAAGGGGAGAACUUCCCACAAAUAUCUCUAUAUCAGUGUCCUGGGUUCCUUAAUCUAAUCAGCUACUCUCUCUCUCCCCCUGUUGUGUUUCUUCACCUCCAAAAUCAGGAGGUAGGCAAUUCUUCCAUUCCCCUUUACUUUUCUCUCAAAUUAAUUCGUUUAGAUUUUUAGUAUGAUGAUCAUUUGUUGCAUAAUUCACUUGAUAAUGAUAAUUUCAACUAUCUGGGUUGGUGAUCAUUCUAUUUUUUUUCCUUUCGUUGUUUUCUUUCUUGGAUGUGAGGGUCUAGAAAUUAAUUGUUCGAUUUUUCAGUUGUUCGUUCCAAUUAUGCUUAGUAAGUUCGAGAGUCUUUUACCAUUUACAUGAAGGAGAUAUAUAUCAUAUUUGAUCAUCUUGUGUAAGCCCAAUAAUUGAUCGAUUUCUCUGACAAAAUAAUGUAAUGUCAAGUAAAAUAUGGUGAAGUGCAUUUAGUUUUCGCAUGGUUCAUUAAUAAUUAAUUAAUAAACAUAAUACCUCCAUGACGAGCACGAGUUUAUUAAAGUUAGAAUUGCUGUUAUUACAGCUUGGCAGCAUGACUUUUGGUAACUCGAAGAAAACCACCAAAGGAAAGGGAAAAGAUUAGUAGUUUGAUUAUAAGUAGUGUGUUUAGCUCUUCGAAAAUGUAUUUUGCACUCCAACCUAGUGUAUAAAAUAAAAAUAUAUGUGGGGCAGAGAAUAUGGGUUUCGGACAUCGAAUUGGAAAUUCAAGUCCUGUUUUCAGUAAUAUUAGUACAAAUCGUUUAGGUUGCUAAUUAAAGGUUAUGGAAUUUUGGCUGUGAUUGAAUAGAUUUGGUUAGUGGAUAUUGGUAAUUGUGGGUUCUUCUUGGAAAGACAAAAUUAAAUUAAAAAGACGAACUACAAAUGACUUGAUCCCUAUUAAGGGUAUGUAGACAGUCUAACAAGAGGUUAGAUGCAGCCAUAAAGUGUACGACAAAUUACUACGCAAUUCGAGGCAUGGGAUGUGCUUGGUACUUAUUCCGGAGGAGGGUAUGUUAAAUAUAUGGUUAUCUGAUGAUGUCACAUGUCGAUCCUGGAAGUAUGUUGGGAUCAUGGCGUGACAAUUAAAAUCAAUAUAUAAUCUAACACCAGAUUUUUAUUAUAUUUUAAUCUUCUUCAAGGAUUAAAGUUCAAAAAUCUUUUUUUUUUAAAUCCUGUUAAAUCCUAUUUUGACAAUAACAUGAUUUCAAACUCUUUUAAAAUUCUAUUGACCACACCUUGAUUCUAAAAUCCUUUAAAAUCUUAAUUUGAUUAUAUCCCCAAGAUUAUAUUAGAGCAUUGGGACUUUCACCACCACAUUUGAGUACUCAUUUAAGAACUUAAAAGGAAUCUUUGUGUCCCUAAGGUACCGUUUGGUACGUGGGACAGGACGGGACGGAACGGGACGAGUCGUUCCGUCCCACGUUUGGUGCGCCUAAAAACUGUGGAACGGGUUGUCCCAUGGGACGAAAUUUGGCUGAUUUUUCGUUCCACCUCUUCCCUAUGGAACGACCCGUUCCACAUUCGUGGAACACAAAUUUAUAACAUUUUAUGACAAAAUUUCUCCUUAUCUUUUUCAAUAUUUACAUCAUCCGUUCCGUCCUGUUCCGUCGCGUCCCGUCCCGUCUGCGUACCAAACAGUACCUAAAGGAAUAUUGCCUCCAAUGGAAGAGUCAUUAUAGUAGAAUCCCAAAAUUUGAAGUUUUUAUGAUUUUAUAUGAUAAUUUGAUUAGGUGCACAUUUUUUGUUUAUGUUAAACCUUUUGAAUUAAUUAAAAGCUUCAAUCAAGAUUGUGGGUUCUACUCAAGAUUGUCUCCUUAUACAGUUCCUAUAUGUGGGUACAUACAUUAUAUAUCAAGUGAGUCUCUAUACUUUAGGGACUCACUUUCUGAUCCAUUGAAAAAUCAUUUUGUCCUAUAUUUGUUUUAUACCCAUUUUAUACAGUAGUUGUCCUUAUUUAGGGACUUCAUUGGAAAUCCUCUAAAGAGUCUAGUAAGUUUUUUAUUGUAAUUGUACAUACGAAUAUAAGUAUUAUUUUUCAUUAAAUAAAAUCGAAGGGUGUCUAGAAAAAAAAGUUGAGUGUAAACAAAACAUAAUUGAGGAAUGUUAGCUACCUUGUCUUCUUACAUUUCCCUACUUGCCUGACCUUUCCCUACUUGCCUUCCCCGGUCAUUAGUUGACAUGUGAACUCCACUAGUACUUUUUUUUUUCUUGAACAAAUAAUAGUAUCUACACUAAUGGGUGGAAGAUUGGGCUAAGCCUCAUAACAGACUAGCUAUAAUAAUGUGGUACAAAUUCGCCUUUAGCGAGAAUUUAACCCAAUACUACUAGAUCGUAGAACUAAGUGACAACUCCACUACUACUUAAAGGUCAAUAUUUAAUGUGUUAAAAUAUUAAUUAUUUAGUUCCCACAUAUGCCCUCCAUUAAUACACCAAUUUUUAACUCACUCAAUACUGCUUUAAAUUUUAUAAUUUCCACCUCAGGCGUUCCUCUUUCCCAUUAGGCAAUUUCCAACCGACCUGGCUAAAAGACUAUAGAGCUAAAAAUAGCUCGAAAUGACACGAAAAUCAUCUCCAACUGAGGGCUAGACCAAAGGACAUGUGGACCCCAUCGGGCCAAAACCACCAAAUCAAACCAACGGGCUGGCCAUUUCCAGCCAGCCAACCAGCCCGAUGAGCCCAGCCCAAUUGUUUUUUGGACGAAUUUUUUUCCUACACUAUUUCUCACAUACUUUUCACCAUUUCUUGCUAUCUUUCCUCAUUUUAUUUCAAUUCUUCACAUUCUAUUCUCUUCUAAUAAUAUUUCAUUUAAUGUUUUCAGUAAUUUUCAAAUGGCCACCUCUUUCUAUAAUCUUCCAAUAUGUCUGAAAAUCUUAUUUUAAUAUGGUAGUUUACUUUAAUUAACUAUAUUAAUUCAAUUAAUUCAAUUAAAAUAAUAAAUUAUGUUUGGCCUAUGACCCUUUUGGCCUUCUCGGUUGGAGAUGGUUUUUUUGUCAAAAGACUAUGUUUGGCCUAUGACCCUUUGAUCCUCUCGGUUGGAGAUAGUAUAAAAUAUAAUCUGACACUGUUCAUUAAAAUAUAAUUUCUUGUAUGACUAUAAGGCUAAACAUAAUCAUUUGGCCUUCCUUCGGGUGGAGAUGAACGUCUUCUUUUUUAUCCUAUUCAUGUAUUUUUUUUCCUUCUAUUUUACAGGACUUCUGUUCAUGUUCUUCUACCAAAAUACUAAAAUAGUCAUUUUUUUUUGUUAUCAAAUUUUUAUGUUUAUUUCAAGCAACAAACCUUUAUCACUGAACACCACCAUCACGCCAUUCCAGGCCCUUUCCAACUCCCCGAUUUGCCCUCCUCCCGGUUCGUCGCCCCAACCUCCAUUUCCCAGUCCGGCCCCCAUCCCCUUGAUCUAUCCCUCAUCUAGCGAUCCCACCUCUGGUUUUGGAGAUGGCGGAGGCAUGGAGGUGGCGACUGGUCGUCACAUUCCCUCUGAUAACGAAUCUAAUUGUUAAUUUUUGUUGUAUUGGUUUGGCUUUAGUGAUUUGGGUGGGCAGAUGAGUGUUUUCAGUAUUUUAUUUGUGUGGAUUUAGUUUGGUAUUUCUGUAAUUUGGGUUUUUUUUUUCUUCUGCAAUUUGGUAGAAUAAGAUGAACAAGAAACAAGAAAGGGAGACUGGGAAGAGAAAGACCAACGGGAGGUUUUGGUAGGUUAAAAAUUGGUAGAUUAAUGAGGGGAGGAGGAUUGUCUGCCCUCCAAGUUUCGGUGCCCUUCCAUGCCCUCCUGUUUUGUGUGAUCACGGUUAAGCCACGUUAAUAUUUUAUAUUAUUUUUUUAUAAAAAUAAUAAAACAAAAAUGAAUAAUAAUAUAAAAUAUUAACAUGGUUUAACCGUGAUCACACAAUCAAGAGGGCAUGGGAGGGCACGGAAACUUGAAGGGCAGACAAUCCUCCUCCUUAAUGAGGGAUAUAUGUGGAAAUAAAGUAAUUAGUUUUUUAACACAUUAAAUAUGAAGUUUUGUAAGUGAUAGAGGAGUUCACUUUGUUCAAAAAAAAAGUUAUAGUGGAAUCCACACGUCACUUAGUGAAUGGGAAAGGCAAGUGGGAAAAUGUGGAAAUCAUUCCUCUAUAUUUUCUUUGGAGAAAUGCUAGGGGACUCUUCCAAAAGUAAACAUUUUCUCUUAGCAUUUCUCAUUUUCUUUAAAGAGUCCCCCUAGCAUAUCUCAUUAAUGAGGUGGCAAAAAAUUCAUAGAGAGUCAUACUUUUGAGAGUGUCCCCUAAACAUUUCUCUUUCCUUUAGAAAACUUCAACUCCAACCACUCUCUAUCAUGUUUUUUUUUAACAAACGAUAUUAUCUACACCAACGAAAAGGGGAUGAGCUUAGUCUCACAAUGGGUUAGCAAUAAUGUCGUUCAAAUUCGCAUUAGAUGAAAAUCAAACCUAAGACCCAUCUCUUACAAGUGAAGAGGAAUACCACUUUUUAGUAAAGCAGAAUUGCUAGGAAUUCUUGAAUUUAGGAAGUGAGAAUGAAGCUCUUAAGGGCUCCUAUAGCGUUAAUUACUUUCUUUAAUAACUUUUUUAAAUAUAUGUUUCUAUCAAUACAUAUUUAUUAUGGCUCUCUAAAUUAGAUUAAUUACUAUUCCCUUAAUAACUUUUUAAUAAAUAAAAAAAACUUUGUUUCUAGUAGUACAUAUUUAUUAUGACUCAAUUAGAGAUUACAGUUUAGUAAAGAUUAUAGUUCAAUUGCAUCUUCGGCUCAGAGUAAGCCUUCCGUAACACCUCAGGCACGAGGCAGCAAAAGACUGGACAACAUAAAGGUAGACAGCCUGGAAGAGGUUAGUAGGGAGUAGAAGCUCAUAGUAGUGGAGUUGGGAUGCCACAUAAAGGUUUUCAACAAGUUGGCAAAGAUUAUGCAUUAUCUGCUUUGGAGGGUGAGGCGAAGCCUAACAAAGUCACAUGUAUUAUUCAUAUUGAUUCGCUCUUAGCUAAAACAACGUUUGAUCUUUGGAGCUACUCAUUCUUUCAUAUCUAGUACUUUUGCCGAGUCGUUGGGUAGAACUAUUAAGAUGAUAGAGGUAGCGUACUCCAUUUUCUCUCAUUUUUCGAGGUGUUAUAUUGUUGAUUGAGUAGUUCGAUCCUGUGAGGCUCGUGUGGGUCAAGGUGAGAUGACAGUUGAUUUGAUGGUUCCUCCAAUGCGAGAUCUAGAUGUCAUUAUUGGCAUGGAUUACCUAUCCAUGUAUCGUGUAAAUACUGAUUGUUUUGAAAACGUGGUGACCUUCCGACCACUUGGCAGACUUGAGUUCCAAUUUACUGAUGUUUGUAGAGUUAUUUCACCACCGGUGAUGAUAUCAGCCACCAAGGCUAGGUGACUCAUGAGACGUGGAUGUUAGGGUUGUCUAGCUCAUGUCGUAGAUUUUGAUUGACAAGAUAGUAGAAUUGAUGACAUACUAGUCGUUAAAGAAUUUCUAGAUGUGUUUACAACAGAGUUACUGGGCUUGCCUCUAGCGGGAAAGAUCGAGUUCGCUAUUCACCUCGUGUCAGGGAUAUCGUCUAUUGCUAAGGCCUCAUAUCAUAUGGCACUUUUGGUGCUUAGAGAGCUUAAAGAGCAGCCGCAAGAGGUGUUGCAUAAGAGUUUAAUUCGACCUAAUGUUUCACCGUGGGAUGUUCCCAUUCUCUUUGUGAAGAAGAAAGACAGAUCUAUGCAUUUGUGCAUUGAUUAUCUUAAGUUUAACAUAAUGAUAGUGUGGAACAAGUAUGCCCUUAUCGAGGAUUGAUGAGCUGUUUGACCAGCUACAGGGUGCGCAGUACUUUAGUAAGCUAGAUUUGCGAGCUAGUUAUCAUCAAUUGAGGAUUAGAGAGGAUGACAUACCGAAGACGGUUUUCUAGACUCGCAAUGGUCACUAUGAGUUCUUGGUAUUACCAUUUCGUCCGAUUGAUGCGCCUGUUACGUUCAUAGACGUGAUGCAUAUGGUGUUUCGACCGUUUAUUGAUCAUGUUGCGUUGGUGCAUCGAUGAUAUUUUAAUCGAUUCACGGAGUUUAACGAGCAUGAAGAGCAUCUGAGACUUGUUCUGUGUCUACCAAGUUAAGCAAGUGAGUUUUGUCUAAACCGUGUUGGUUUUCUUGGUCAUGUGAUCUCGCAAUAUGAUAUCAUGGUGGAUCCUGCGAAGGUUAAGGCGGUUGUUGGUUGGAGUCGACCAACUACAAUGAUUGAGAGUCUAUUUCUUACCAUUCAUAUUUUCUUUUACGAGACUAACAGGGAAGACUACUCAUUUCAUUUGGGAUGACGAGCGUGAGGCCAGCUUUGAGAAGCUAAAGAAGAGACUCGUAACUGCACAUGUUCUUACCUUUCCUUCUAGUUUUGGGGAUUUGUAGUUUACAUUGAUGCCUCUCGUAAGGGACUAGGUUGCAUUUUGAUGCAACAUGGUAAGGUAGUAGCCUUUGCCUCUCGCCAGCUGAAACCGCAUAAGCUUAACUAUUCACCCCAUGAUUUGGAGUUAGUUGUUGUGGUCUAUGCACUGAAGAUCUACUAUGCACUGAAGAUCUAACGACAUUAUCUUUAUGAGGAGUCUUAUGAGAUUUACAUCGCCUACAAGAGCCUGAAGUACAUCUUCACUUAACGGGAGAUGAAUUUGAGAUAGAGAUGUUGGCUAGAGUUGGUGAAGGACUAUGACUGUCAGAUUCUCUAUCAUCUGGGCAAGGCGAAUGUAGUUGUUGAAACCUUCAACCGCAAAAACUUAGCCAGUGCUGCCGCUUUAUUACUUUAGGUUGGUUAGUUAACAGAGGAUUUGAGGAUGAUAGAGAUUUAGACUAUUGAUCAAAGUGGUGAUCAUCUACUCGUAGCCCUUACCAUGUAACCUACGUUGAUCAAUCAGAUUGAGGCAGCUCAGAGCGAGGAUCCAAAUUUGGUUUGGAUCAUGGAUGGAGUUUGAGUAGUUACUCGCUUCGAAUUUUCCAUCUCUGAUAGUGGUGUUCUUUAUUUCUGGAUCAGACUUAGUGUUUUGAAUGUCAGAGAUCUAUGGAUGAAGGCCUUGAAUGAGGCUAAUACUUUUACUUUUUCUAUUCACCCCGAGGGCACGAAGAUAUAUCAGGGUCUUGGUGAGAGUUUCUGGUUGGGAAACAUGAAGAAAGAGAUUGCAGAGUUUGUGGCACAUUGAUUGAUGCACAUUGCUUAACUUGUCAACAAGUCAAGGCAGAACAUCAGCGAUCUGCAUGCUUACUUUAGGCAUUCCGUAUUCCCGAGUGUAAGUGGGAGCUCAUUACCAUCGAUAUCGUGACAAGGUUACGGAGGACUAAAGAAGGGCAUGAUUAUAUUUGAACAGAUUGACCAAAUUCGAUCAUUUUCUCGAAGGAGACCUAUUCUCUGGAAUGACUUGUGAGACUUUACAUGUAUGUGAUUGUGAAGUUGCAUGGAGUUCCAAUGUCUAUUAUUUCUGAUUAAGAUCCUCGUUUCACUUCUCUUUUUUUUAAUAGUCUUCACAGAGUUAUUAGGACUAAGUUGAGUUUCAGCAUAACUUUUCACCUUCUGACCUUUUCACCCUCAGACAGAUGGUCAGUUGGAGCGUACUAUUCAAACUUUGAAGGAUAUGCUUUAAGCCCACGUCGUAGACUUGAAGGGUAAUUGGGACACACAUCUUCCAUUGAUUGAGUUGGCGUAUAAUAACAACUUCCAUGCAAGUAUUUAGAUGCCACCUUACAAGGCACUAUAUAGGAGGAGGUGCAUAUCUCCCUCGUAUUAGGAUGAGGUAGGAAAGCGUCGACUAUUGGGACCAAAGUUAGUUCAGAUUACUGCAAAGAAGGUUGCUCUGAUUCGUGCACGUUUAUUAGCAGCUUAGAGUCGACAAUGAAGUUAUGCCGAUCCUCAUUGACGUGAGGUGGCAUUUGAGAAUGGAAGGUAUAUUUCCUUAUUGUUUCUCAUAUGAGAGGCGUCUUCAUAUUCGGGCGGGAAGCUUAGUCUGGGAUAUGUGGGAUCGUUUAAGGUCUUAGAGAAAGUUGGCAAGAUUGCCUAUUGCCUUGCACUGCCACCAGAGUUAUCACACAUUCAUUCGGUGUUCCACGUAUCUUCACUUUGAAGGUAUCGCAAUGAUCCGUCUCAUUUCAUUUCUUAUGAGCCAAUCCAAAUUAGAGAGAACCUCACUUAUUACUAGUGACACAUUGAGAUUCUUGAUUGAAGAGAGAAUGCUCUCUGCACCAAAGCUAUUUCUUUGGUGCUUGUCUUGUGGAACAAUCCUAGGCUGGUUGUGUCCACCUUGGAGACAGAAGACGAGAUGCGCUGGCACUAUCCACAUUUGUUUGAUUUAAGUAAAAUGAGUUUAGGGGACUAAACUCUUUUUUAAAGGGGGAAAGAUGUGAAAUCCCAUCCUGAAUUUCAUUAUUUAAAUUUUGUAUUUCGUAGUUGUUGUGACGCAUCCUUAAUUAUGGCGUAAUUUUUUUUUUCAAAUUUGUAAAAUGACGAAAAUGCUCCUGUUGGACUAAACGGAGUCCUACGUGCACUUUUGAGCUCAUUCGAUGUUUUGUCUCUUUUCUUAUCACAUUUGGGUAUCAUGUGUCGAUCCUAAACGUAUCCUAGGAUCGGAGCGUGACAUUUACCCUACUGAGCUGGAAGGUCACCUCUUAUGAAUAUUUGACAAGUGAGUCUUGAAAAAGUAGUCGACUUUCACAGAAAGUAUAGAGAAAAUUUUGCAAUGUAAUUUAAGAGAUGUUUGUUUUCUUUUUUUUUCUUUUAUUUUUUAUCCACGCAUCGAGUUCGGGAAUUUAAUUGUUCCGCCGAUUCUAAAUCUAAGGCGUUACAAUAAUAGUGGAUAUUAUUUAAUAGCAUACAACAUGAUGCCUUUUAGAUUGUCAAUAACAACCCUUUCUGUAUAAUACAUUAAUAUACAAAAAGCUCAAAGUUGCCGCAACCAUAUGCAAUUAUUGCGUUGCAACUAAUAUGUCAAGACUUGGUCUCAUCUCAUUGCACUAAAAAAAUAGUACUUUAACAAAAACAAUGUUUGACAAAAAAGAAAAGAAAAAGAAAAAGAAUGAGAAAUGAUAAUCACAUUUAAGGGAAUCAUAGAUGGAUCGCCUUAGGCCUACGACAUGAUAGCCUAGAUCAAUGUGACAUAGAGUAUUGAUUUGAGAGAAAUAUUGUAUUGUAUUGUAUUGUAGUUUAACUAAAUAAAUUUUGAUAAUAACAACAUACUACUUGGCAUCAUUCGUGACAUGUGAGAAUUAGAAUUUAUUUUAAUUUACUAAUCUUUGAAGAAAAAAGGUAUUACUCACUGCCUUGCUAAUUAAAAUAUUAUGGAUCUACACCCGUUUGAGAAAUAGAUUGAAGAAAUUAACAAGGAUAGUUAAGAUCAGUUUUUUUUUUUUUGUUGGAAUAGUUAAGAUCAAUUAAAAUAGUUAAUUCAUUAAAUGAAGAGAUUGAAAUAAAAGUCGAUUAAUCCUACAAAGUACAAACAUUGGGAAUUCAUUUGGGUUUGAAAUUAGUCACGGAUUUCAAAGUUCAUUGGGCCUAGACCCAAUUGGGGCCCAUGGAUUUAAGUUGUGAGACAACAUAAAUCCAUAAAGUCCAAAAGAGGCUGAAUGAAACUCUCUUAGCCGGUUAAAGAGGGAGGAGACAUCGUUAAGUCCGCUGCUAUAGCAUCUAAAAUGGGCUAUUUAAAUAAGGUCCCAACUUAAAAUUUAGGAAGAAUAUAGAAAAGAGAAAUUUUGUUUACACCCAACUUUUGUUUAUGGACAAGCACAUUCACGAAAAUUUAAAUUCCAACUAUGUUUGAACGAGGGAAAUAAACUUGAAAUUUGAGUAAAAAUCAAAAUUUAUAAAUUGACAUGCACUAAUUUCCUUGUUUGAAUUUAUAAACAUAUAAAUUUACAAUUUUCGUGUUGAAAAAAAAAAAAACUUGGAAUUUGGGAUCUCCAAUUCCCAAAUUUGAAUUAUACGUAAAUAUGCGUAAUUUCUCAAUUUCUAUGAUUGAGAGUUUCAAACUAACAAAUUCCGUAUUUAAUUCCAUUGUUCUUUUAUGUUUAAUCAAACAAGAAAAUUCACAAAUUUUAGAAAACAAAAAUCCCGUAAUUUUUAAUUUCAGUCAUUUUAAAAUUUCGUAGUAAUCUUAGAUUUCUUCAUCUAAACAUAAUGUUAGAUGUUUACUUUUCCAAACGUAGUGUUAGAUGUUUACUUUUCCGUUGCUAAGAAAAAUGUAAAAAUAUAAUUAAAAAAGUUGUACUUGAUGACAUAUUUCUUUGUAUACAAACCCUAGUGGCUCUUCAAUUUGGGUGUCAAAGAAAUUAAGAUUAUGUUAAAGAGUCUAGUAAGUCCUUUAUAGUAAUUUUACAUAUGAGCAUAAGUAUUAUUUUACAUUUGGGAACUUUAACGAAAAGCUCCCGGUGUUGUUCACUUUAACGAAAAAUUACAUUUUUACACUAAAAAGUCAAUCCUGGUACUAUUCACUUUACUCUUUAUUUUGUUUUUAUCGUUAAAACUCAAAGUUUUCAAGCCAUUUUCAUUAAUUUUUUUAAAUAAAAUUGAAAGGUAUCUAAAGACAAAAGUUUAGUGCAAACAUAAUUUCCCUUUAAAAAAUUCCAACGCCAAUCACACUCCCCUAUCAUAUUUAUAGGAUUGCAAAAUGGCUAGGAGCUCCUAAAUUUAAGAAGUGAGAAAGAAGCUUUUAAGGGUACAUAUUUUUAUUAUGACUCCCUAAAUUAGAGAGACUAUUGUUAUAUUAUUAGAAAUUUUUUAUUGGAGCUCCUAAAUGGCUUUGUAACCUUUUUAGCUAAAAUUUAACUAAAAAUAGAGUACGAACCUAAUUCUAGGAUUGUUUUUCCCAGAUUCAAAUGCUUGAUCGGAAAAACCGUAAUUGAUCGCCAUUCCAUUUUUGUGAACAGUGGCAAUCCGAUAGUUGAAUUGUCAUGAAUUUUAAAUAUAUUAUUGUUGGUGCUAUAUGUGACUUGUAAAAACUUACGUUCAUGUACCUGAAGUUCGUAGACUUUAGAUCAAAGAUUUUAGGGUUUAGGACCCUAAAGGUGCCGCUUUGACCAAAGGGUUGACUUUCGUAUUAGCGAUUCUCAUAGCAUCAUAGUGUGUCAUUGCCAACGUGUACGACUCAGAUUUGAUAGUUGAUGGACUUGAAUCUCAGCAUAACUAGUAAAGCAAUAAUCUGGGUUAAACAAAACGGACAAAAUCCACACAAAAAAAACUAAAAAACCCAUAAAGAGCAGAGGAAUGAAAUAAAAAACAAGGAAAAAAAAAAAAAUCAAAACACGUACCUUAUACCUUAUCUCUCCAGACUCCUUUGCCUACAGAAAGCCGAAGUACAAUCGGUCCGUAAAUGAAGCUAACAAGUAUGUAUGCCAUUUUUUUUCCUUUUAAAGUUAAAACUGAUCGACCGGAAGUUGAAAUUGGCAGAAAAUGAAAUCAAGAGAGACACAGAAAAACAACGAAAUUUGAAAGAAUGUAAUAUUUUUUUUUUGUUCUUCUGGGUUUACAGAAUUGAUUUUUCACUUUUAGAAGUAAAGCAAAGUAGAUUAAGCAAAAGAAGGUUGCUGUGAUGAAAAAAAAACAAAACCAAGUGUGUGCAAUUGUGCAAGAUGAUGGAGCAAAUAAUGAGAAGGGGGAUGGGAAAGAACAACUCUCUUAGCACAAGAAGAGAGAAGAUAAUGAAUGCAUGAGUGAGACAAUAGAGAAAACUCUCACGUAGUAUGUAAUUACCCUUACAAAAGACUUAAGCGACGACCUACCUAUGACGGCAAUUAUUUUCAUGGCAAUUAUUUUAGCACUUUGGUGUGGGAGUCAACAACCAACAAAUUAACAAUAUUUAUUGUAUUAUAAACAUCAAUGGGGUGAAUGUUCUCCAUGAAUGAAAAGAACAACCUACAGACUAUAGAGGUGCUAAAGACACUAAGUAAAUAAUUUAACCUUUUUUUUCUUUUUUUAAAUUAUUAUUAUUUAGGAAAGGGGGAGGAUUCAAAACUAUUACAAUAAUUUAGAGGUGGAGAGUUUCGAACUCUAAAUGCAUGGGUGGAAACCUGAUGCUCUGUCGACUAGGAUUUUAAACCACAUACAAAUACAAUAUUUAGCUUCCUAAACAUUUUUUUAAACUCUUAAACUCUAUACUGCUAAAAUUUAACACCUCAGUUUUACUAGAUGUCCAAAAAUUGUUUUACCGAACACAAAAAUGGGUGUCCAAAAUCACUCCUCAAACUAAUUAAAAUCUUCCAAUUACAUCUCCAACAUUGGAUGCGAAGCUAUUCUAUUCAAAUUUUCUUCAAUUUAAGUUACGUUAUUUGUAUAUGAUACACUUGGUCAAUUUUUUGUCAAUUCAUCUUGUUUUACCAGAAAAUUAGUUUAGAGACCUAAUUUUUAUUCAAAUGUUAACUCAAGGAUUAAGUUAACAAUUUAUCCUACCAAAAAUAAAACUUGAAGUAUAAUUCAAAGACUAUUACUAUAGUUAAGCCUUUGUAAUUUUUUACCAAUAUUUGUCUAAAUUUAGACUGGAAAUACAUGCACCGGUUCCUCGAUAUAGAAAUUAAAGCUGGGUUGGAGGUUUUCUCUGCUAAUUUGAGUAUUUGAUCCACAAAUUGAAGUUUUUCUCUAAUAUGGCUUGGAAGAAUAAAAGUUGACUGUUUUCAUUUGUGCUAUCAAACUCAAUCGUACAAUCUGAAUCCACGAGUUAAGGAGAACCACACCUUUAUCUCCUCCUGCCUAACAAUUUAAUGUGUUGGUUGUUAGAAAUUUAAUGUUGGUUGUUGGUUGUUACUAGUAAUUUAAUGUCGGUUGUUAGUAAUUUAAUUGAUAUGGGGCCAUUGACCCCAUUGACUCUUCCAUCAUCACACACGCUACCGUCAUUGAAACAUUUGAAAUUGAAUCACCAUAACACCGAAAGGGGUUCCCUUCGGGUUUUCUUUACGAGGAUUUUAGAAUCUUCUAAUUAUAUUCGUUUAUUGUAAAUCGUAUAGUCAGUUUUCAUUACAUAUGAUUUAUAUUUAAUUUUAAAUAAAAAAUAUUAUAAUGAUUUCUGACCGUACGAUAUUACAAUAAACGGAUGUGAUUAGAGGAUUUCCAGAAUCCUCACAAAGAGGAUCUAGGAUCCUCAUUCAUAACACCCAUUUGUUCACAUGUAAGUCCUUCCUAAUAUUCAACCUUACAGAAAAGAAUUUGAAAUCUAACAUUAUAAAAUAGAGAACUUUAACGAAAAACUCCCGGUACUGUUCACUUUAACGAAAAAUCACAUUUUUACACUAAAAAGUCAAUCAUGGUACUAUUCAUUUUACCCUUUAUUUUGUCAUUAUCAUUAAAACUCAAAGUUUUCAAGCCAUUUUCAUUAGUUUUCCUUAUAAAAUAAGGAUGUUUUUUCUGCACCAAAUUAUCUUAGAUUGAACUAGUUUCAGAGACAAGAACUAGGCUUAGCUUAAACUAAGUUGAAUAAAAAUAGUGAAGCAUUUAGUAUAGUGUCAAACUAAGUCGCAAACUGAAAUAUUUUAGACUAAAUAUUUUUGUUCAGGACAACAGAAAAUUAAGAAACAAAUGUAACACCCGGUUGUCCCACCAUCUAGCAAAACCAUUUCUAUAUACAACUAAGCAAUUAAAAUAUGUCUUCCCUCACAACGAAGCAAGUCAGUCAUUCGAUUCCAUGAGCACUAGUGCUAAUCCAGUGAAAGGAAAAACAGAUGAGAGAGGAAAAGGCCACCAAUUUAAUCAAACAGUUGGAUGAUCCAACUAGAACAAAUGGAACAUCCCAAUACUAAAUUAACCCAGUACACAGCAGAACAAGGUAAACUGCUUAAUUGUACAUUCUACAAUUUUUUACAAUAAACUCUGAAAAAUUACUAACUGCCAAUCAAUCAUCCGAGCUAUAUUCACCCGAUUCAGGAAGAACUGCAACAGUAGCGCAUCAACACAACUCUUUAUCCAUUAGGAGGAGACAGGUUCCAUCUGAAUUCCAUUUUAAAUCAACUAUGCUAAAUUGUGGUUGCGGCGAGAUGCUCACAUAGUAGGCAUCACCAGGAGUCCACAUGUACAGAUGAGAAUUUCCCUGAAAACAAGACGAGUGCACGUAGUCCACUACAACACACAUGCAAUGGACUAGGCCAUCUCCAACCGAAGGGCUCCAACGAUGGAGAGGCCGAGUUUAGCCCUCUGGCCCUCCAAGAUUCUUCAAGAUAUUAAUAUUUUAAUAACAGUACAAGGGCAUAUUUGCAUAAGGCCAUAUUUGCCGUCGUCCAACCGAGGGCCAGAGAGGGCUCGCUGUCUACAAAAAACCGUCUCCAGGACCAAAGGCCAAAGUUAGGCCAAAGGGAUAAUAUAUUUAUAAUAAAAAAAAUUUUUGUGAAAUAGAAGUUAUAGGAAAAAAAAUGGAAUUUAAAAAAACAAAUAUGAAAUAAAUUUUAUGAAUAAGGUAAGUUAUGGAAUUUAAGGAAUAUUUUAAAAAAAUAUGAAACAAUUUGAAAUAUUAAGUAUAAAAAUUAAAUGGAAAAAUGAAAAUGAAAAUUAUUAUUGUGAAAAUAUGAACCUUAAGUUAAUAUAUGAUUUAAAAAGUAGGUUGGAAAUUUACAAAAAAAAAAAUCUACCAGGUUUGUAAAUAAAAUUUGAAUAAAAAUUAGGAAUUAGUUAGAAAUUCAUAAAAAAAAAUUAUUUGAAUACACGGCUUAAUGGCUAGCCGGAAUUCAAUAUUAAAGUUGUACAGUUUCCGCCCCACCAAAAGAUUGCCAAACUAGAAGUAAUUAAAUCUUGUAAACUGUAGGAAUAAUAUUAAUUAUAGUAUAUUAUAGUAAGCCGACAGAAAUAACAAAGCAUUAAAAAAAAAAUAGCCAACCCUCCAGCCCUCUAGCCCUCUCCGAUCUCGUGGUGCCUUCCCAGAUUCCAGAGCCCUUUGGCCUAGCCCUCGGUUGGAGACGGGUUUCGGGCUAUUUUCGGCCCUUUGGCCCUCUGGACCCUUCGGUUGGAGAUGGCCUUAGAUACUUCCAUGUAAUUGCUAGGACUGAAUAGAGGAUCAUACUGAAUAGAGGAUCCUCUUCGGGUCCAUUUGUGGGGAUCCUAAGGCCAUCUCCAACCGAUGGCUGGCCAGAGGGCUCGUUUUAGCCAUCUGGCCCUCCAAGAUUUUCCAAGAUAUUAAUAUUUUAAUGAACAGUACAGGGCCAUAUUUGCCUCCGUCUCCAACCGAGGGCCAGAGGGCUCGUUUUAGCCCUUUCACAAAAAACCGUCUCCAACCGAGGGUCAAAGGGCCAUAGAGCCAAACAUAAUUUAUUAUUUAAAAACUACAACUUAAAUUCAAAUCCAACGGCUAAGUGACGUCAGCUAGCCGUUGGAGCUGACAUCAUGCUAGCCGUUGGAUUUGAAUUUUUUUUUGCUAUAAAUAGGGUGGAUAUUGGGAUAUAAUUCACACAACUUUGAAUUGAAUCUAUUUAAAUUCAAUCUCUUUCAAUUUAAGUUUACAAUGAAUUCCAACUUUGGAUCCUCUUUAGAUUCCAACUGGGGGUCCUCAUCCAAUUCUAAAAGAGAAGCAAAAUGGGCACAAAUGAGACGAGAAGAUGAGGAGUCUGAUGAAGAAGUUCAAGUAAGGCGCAACAAACAAAACAUAGCAGCAGCCAUGGUGUGUCAGCCAACUGAGGAACAACAUCAAUGGGGUGAUUCUAUUGUUGAUCGCUCUUACAAACCACAAAACAGAGCGAUGACGUAUGCCAAUCUGAUGAACAACUACUUCGACCCCAACUCGGUGUACACAGAAGAAGAUUUCAGACGUUGCUUUCGGAUGAGGCGUCAUGUCUUCGAGCGUUUACUUUGUGAUGUCCAGCAGGUCAAUCCGUACUUUUGACAAAAGCAGGAUAAAGCAGGCCGCCCUAGUUUCUCACCUCAUCAGAAAGUUACUGUUGCACUCCGAAUGAUGGCCUAUGGCUCCCCAGCUGAUUCGAUGGAUGAAACCCAUGGUAUGUUUGAGUCUAUAUGCCUUGAUACUCUUCAAGAAUUUUGUGACACAAUUGUUCAGCUUUACAAAGACGAGUACCUCCGCGAGCCAAAUCAAGAAGAUCUGAAUCGGCUCCUUCACAAAGCUGAAGACCUUGGGUUUCCUGGCAUGAUAGGGUCAUUAGACUGCAUGCAUUGGGAUUAGAAGAACUGUCCCACCGGAUGGCAAGAAGGCUUUAGCGGAAGGUCGAGAAAGCCAACUGUUGUGUUAGAGGCGGUUACCUUAUAUGACACAUGGAUCUGACAUGCUUUCUUUGGAGUCCUUGGAUCCUAAAAUGACAUUACAGUUCUUGGGCGUUCACCCCUCUUCAAUAACUUGACUGAAGGUAAAACACCUCAACUUGACUACUAAAUCAACGGCCGUCAAUACAAUAUGGGGUAUUACUUGGUAGAUGACAUCUACCCAAAGUGGGCGACACUUGUCCAAGCAAUUCCAAACCCUAGGAAUGACACGGAAAAGUUGUUUACCUUACACCAAGAGGCAUAUCAGAAAGAUGUUGAGAGAGCUUUUGGUAUUCUACAAGCACAGUGGAAGAUCAUCAGUGAACCGGCAAGAGGGUGGAGUCGAGAAAAUUUGGACUCUAUCAUGAUGUCUUGCAUCAUAUUACACAAUAUGAUAAUGGAGGAUGAGCGAGAUGGGUAUAUUGAUGGAAAGUCCGAUGACGACCAAGAAGAUCCAAAUAGGUCAAGAAGGGGUCGUGCAAAAAUAUAUGAUGAACCUAAUUUGCCUUUCAAUCCAAGAACUGGUAGUAUCUCUAUAGAUGAGUACAUGAGGCGCUAUAGAAUGAUACGUUCUCGUGCCACAAAUAAGUACCUACAACAAGAUCUUGUUGCACAUCUUUGGACCCAAAGGAGCAUGAAGUAGGCAUUUAAGUUUUAUGUUUUUAAAUGUUUUUAAAAAUGUUGUUUAAGUUUCAUGUUGUAUAAUUUUUAUGUUGGUUAAUGUUGUUUCAUAUUGUUUAAUGUUGUUUCAUGUUACUUAAUUUAAUUUAAUGUUGUAUAAUGGCUUAGGAAGUUAUAGGAAAAAAAAUAGAAUUUAAAAAAAAUAUAAAACAAAUGUUGUGAAAUAGAAGUUAUAGAAAAAAAUGGAAUUUAAAAAAAAUAUGAAAUAAAUUUUGUGAAAUAGAAGUUAUAGGAAAAAAAUGGAAUUUAAAAAAAAAUAUGAAACAAAUUUUGUGAAAUAUAAGUUAUAGGAAAAAAAUGGAAUUUAAAAAAAAUAUGAAACAAAUUUUGUGAAGUAGAAGUUAUAGGAAAAAAAUGAAAUUUAAGAAAAAUAUGAAACAAAUUUUGUGAAAUAGAAGUUAUAGGAAAAAAAUGGAAUUUAAAACAAAUAUGAAAUAAAUUUUGUGAAAUAGAAGUUAUAGGAAAAAAUAGAAGUUAUAUGAAAAUUUUUGUAAAUAAAAAAUAAUAAUAAUGUAAAAAAAAAAUCAAAUCAAAUGCAACGGCUAGUAGCCGUUUCAUUUGAUUUUUUUUUUAAAAAAAUCCUGUUGGUUAUAACUGACAGGAAUACAUGCCAUUAUUUAGUAUAUUAAAUAAUAGCAUGUAUUCCUGUCGGUUAUAACCGACAGGAAUAACAAAACAUUAAAAAAAAAAUAGCCAGCCCUUUGGCCCUUUGAAAUUCCAUAGGGCCCUCCUAGAUUCCCGAGUCCUCUGGCUUAGCCCUCGGUUGGAAACGGUUUUAGGGCUAUUUUCGGCCCUCUGGCCCUCUGGACCAUUCGGUUGGAGAUGACCUAAGGCCAUCUCUAAGGCCAUCUCUAACCGAUGGCUGGCUAGAGGGCUCUUUUGAGCCCUCUGACCCUUCAAGAUUCUCUAAGAUAUUAAAAUUUUAAUGAACAGUACAGGACCAUAUUUGCCUCCGUCUCCAACUGAGGGCUAGAGGGCCAGAGGGCUCGUUUUAGCCCUGUCACAAAAAACUAUCUCCAACCGAGGGCCAAAUGGUCAUAGGGCCAAACAUAAUUUAUUAUUUUAAAACUACAACUUAAAUUCAAAUCCAAUGGCUAAGUGAAGCCUCGAGUAGGCGUUUACGUUUUAUGUUUUUAAAUGUUUUUAAAAAUGUUGUUUAAGUUUCAUGCUGUUAAAUGUUUUUUUUUUAUGUUUUAUAAUUUUUAUGUUGGUUAAUGUUAUUUAAUGUUGUUUCAUAUUGUUUAAUGUUGUUUCAUGUUACUUAAUUUAAUUUAAUGUUGUAUAAUGGCCUAGGAAGUUAUAGGAAAAAAUAGAAUUGAAAGAAAAUAUGAAACAAAUUUUCUGAAAUAGAAGUUAUAGGAAAAAAAUGGAAUUUAAAAAAAUAUGAAACAAAUUUUGUAAAAUAGAAGUUAUAUGAAAACAAAAUAUGAAUCAAAUUUUGUAAAAUAGAAGUUAUAGGGAAAAAAUAGAAUUUAAAAAAAAAUUGAAACAAAUUUUAUGAAAUAGAAGUUAUAGGAAAAAAAUGGAAUUUAAAAAAAAUAUGAAACAAAUUUUGUAAAAUAGAAGUUAUAGAAAUUUUUUUUUUUUAAAAAAAUUGAAACAAAUUUUGUAAAAUAGAAUUGAAAAAAAAAUAUGAAACAAAAUUUGAUUCAUAUGAAAAGGAAAAAAAGAAGUUUAAAUUCAUAUUAAAAAAAAACAGUUAAUAGAACGGCUACUAGCCAUUAUAAUAAAAAAAUUUCAAACUAUUAGUGUCGGUUAUAACCGACACUAAUAGUAAUUAAAAAAUAAAUUGCCUUUGAAUAACUAUUACUAUCGGUUAUAACCGACAAUAUUAAAAAAUCCUUCUUUAAUGCUGUCGGUUAUAACCGACAGCAAUAGGAAAACAUUAAAAAAAAAAUAGCCAGCCCUCCAGCCCUCCAGCCCUCUAGCCCUCUCCGAUCCCGUGGGGCCCUCCCAGAUUCCAGAGCCCUCUGGCCUAGCCCUCGGUUGGAGACUGUUUUAGGGCUAUUUUCGGCCAUCUGGACCCUUCGGUUAAAGAUGGCCUAACCGAGGGCUGGCCAGAGGGCUCAUUUUAGCCCUCUGGCCCUCCAAGAUUCCCCAAGAUAUUAAUAUUUUAAUGAACAGUACAGGGCCAUAUUUGCCUUCGUCUCCAACCGAGGGCCAAAGGGUCAGAGGGCUUGUUUUAGCCCUGUCACAAAAACCGUCUCCAACCGAGGGCUCGAGGGUCAUAGGGCCAAACAUAAUUUAUUAUUUAAAAAUUACAACCAAAAUGUUGUUUAAGUUUCAUGUUGUAUAAUUUUUAUGUUGGUUAAUGUUUUUUCAUAUUGUUUAGUGUUGUUUCAUGUUAAUUAAUUUAAUUUAAUGUUGUAUAAUGACUUAGGAAGUUAUAGGAAAAAAAAAUAGAAUUUAAAAAAAAUAUGAAACAAAUUUUGUGAAAUAGAAGUUAGAGGAAAAAAAUGGAAUUUAAAAAAAAUAUGAAACAAAUUUUGUGAAAUAGAAGUUAUAGGAAAAAAAUGGAAUUUAAAAAACAAUAUGAAAUAAAUUUUGUGAAAUAGAAGUUAUAGGAAAAAAAAAAUAUGAAACAAAUUUUGUGAAAUAGAAGUUAUAGGGAAAAAAAUGGAAUUUAAAAAAAAAAUAUGAACCAAAUUUUGUGAACUAGAAGUUAUAUGAAAUUUUUUGUAAAUAAAUAAUAAUAAUAAUAAUGUAAAAAAAAAAUCAAAUCAAAUGCAACGGCUAGUAGCCGUUUCAUUUGAAUUUUUUUUUUAAGUCCUGUCGGUUAUAACCGACAGGAAUAACAAAACUAUAUAUAAAAAAAAAUAGCCAGCCCGGGGCUGGCUGGCUGGCCGAAAGCAGCCAGCCCUUUGGCCCUUUGAAAUUCCGUGGGGCCCUCCCAGAUUCCCGAGCCCUCUGCCCUAGCCCUCGGUUGGAGACGGUUUUAGGGCUAUUUUCAGCCAUCUGGCCCUCUGGACCCUUCGGUUAGAGAUGGCCUAACUGUUAGUCCAGUCCAAUGAAGUCUAUUGAAGGUAAACAAACACACACUAAAGGAUUAAGUACAAAUAACUAUUAAACUUUUAGAGUGAUUCCAAACUGAUCUAAUUCUUUUAAAAUAUUCUAAAUAGCUACAUAACGUUUUUAAAGUGGUCAUUUGUUAGACGACAAGCAUUCAGUGAUGAUGUCACAACCUUUAAUAGAUAAUGUCAUUAAGAUUAAGUGAUGGUGCGAACGAAUACUGAUACUCAUUUUUACUAACACGUGGUUUAUAAAGUGAUGAUGAAUCCCCAAAUGGACUCCUAUUUGUCUAGCUAAAAGGAAUCAUUUUAGAGAUCGAUAUUAUGCUUUUGCUAAAGAUCGCUACACCAUUGUAUUUUCUUAGUUUUCCAAGUAACUAGUGACUUUCAAAAAAUUGACAAUAUCCACUGGUACAACUUAUAGUGUCUCGACACCUUGCCAACAGAAAUCACACAACCAAGGCUUCUCCCUUGAGGCGGAAGCUUGCAAGCUUCCAUCCGAUAAGGCGGUCGCUGACGAUUAUAAUGGUGCCUAUCUUGUUCUUGGAAUUACGACUAAUAGUCACAGCACGACUCCAAGUAGCAUAGUUGUCUCCAUUUGAAAAUUUGGACACACUAAUGUGAUUUCUGGGGAAUGUAUUGUGUGGUCCAAUAGAUCGGUGAGCCUUCCAGUCUGCUCUCCAGGCUAAUAUUUCUUCCAUUGAAAGGAAAAACAAAACUGUUGGCAAGGUAUGCAAUUAAUAUAAAGGAAUUCGAUUAGGAUUAUACCUAGCGGAAUUAACGAAUUCUGAAGCAUCGUCUCGUUCUAACAAACUAUUGCACGAACCACGAAUAAGAGUGUCACCAAAGAAAGGAUUCAAUUGCAUCUAGCCCAGCUAGAUUGCCUACAUACUUUGUGAUGAAGGAUGAAGAGAGUGAAGACGACAGCACAGCUGUGCACGCUGGGAAGAAGCAGCAUCAAUUAGUUUCUUGAAAUUCCUCCAUUUGAAAUUACUAUAUUACCCUCCAACUUUACUCGUUUAUAAUUUCUUCGUUACAACUCUGUUUCGUGAACAGUUUUUCCUUGCGCGUUCGUGGGAUCAAGCUCUAUCAAAAAAUACUAAAAGUAACCUCGAAAGAUGUACAUAUUUUUAAUGAAAAUUCAAACUUUGUAACUACUUAAUUAAAGCUCUAAAUUAACGAAAAUAAAUUUGCAUAAUUACGAAAUAUGAAAAAUUAAAUAUUGAAAUUCAGGGAUGGGAUUUCAUACUAAGUGUGACAUGUGUUUGUUCUUCGGUAUCGGUAGGACAAGACAUGGACAAUUACAAAACAAUAAACUUGUUUUAAAUAUUACUACCACUAAGAUAUUGUGAGGUAAAGCAUGAGCAGCAAUUACUUUCACCUGCGUACCUUAUAUUUGGUAAUGGACAAUUCUGCUUGUCCCUGGUCCAUCUCCAAUAUUGACUUUGUUUCUCUUUUCGACUUGUUUUCGAAUCCCCUUUUCUUUUAACUUGAACGGGAUAUUUAACCACCUCCCUUUGAGAACUCCUACCUCCCUAUUCACUUUUUUUUUUUUUCCGACCACGGUUACCAAAAACCAAAGAGUUCAACUUCGACCACGACUACCUUCCUCCGACAUCAAUGCCUUGUCAAUAAGAUCUGGAAAAAAAACAGAGCUCUUGUGGACAUGAUUGAAGUGUCGUAUCUUUGCCUUCACUAUCCCAAAAUAAUAAUGGAUUCGGCGGUUGAAGCCACCUUUUCAAUAUGUAAGAUUGAGGCAGCAACUCUAUUUGUUUCAUUUUCAAAUAGGCCAAUAUGUGCUGACAAGGAAUUCCGCGAAACUCCAUCUCUUUGCAGCUACAUUCAGCAAUAUCUCAGACCGUAUCAAUCACCAUUUUCCUUGUCUUUGUCACUUAUGCAGCCUUCUCAAGUACUUCAUACACUUCCUCAUUCCCAUCCGCUAACUUCUCCCUCAAGAAACAAGUUAUACUCUUUAAUUCUUCCACUUAAAGCCUUUCAAACAUAAACCUGGUGUGCAAUUUGGCCAUUUGAGCUUCCAUCAAGGUGCGAAACAGCAUAAGGACACAUUUUUCAUCAUUAUGGUCUUUCUGAUGUUGGUGUCCAAGGGAUUGAUUAAAACGAAUGAUGAAUUCAAUUAAAAACUGCUUUCUAUGAACAUACUGCUUGAAAAAGGAAUAAGAACACUAUGCAUGUUGACUACUCAACAUUCUGACAGAAAAAGCGUGCUUACAAAAUGCAAAAACCCAAGCCAAGUUUCAUCAGCUCACCCAACAUAGCUUUAAGGAAUUCUUCAAACAAUCACUCAAAGCUCUCGAUUUUUUAUUUUUCAGGAAUGCACAACCCAAUACCAUGGUUUGAUCAUGGUUAUUCACUCUUAACAAAGAAGCAAAUAUCAUCCCGUCCACAAUGAUGUUGAAUGUAGUGUCAAACACAAUCACAUCACCAAAGUUGUUAUAACCACAUCUUGACUUAGCAUCCGCCCAAAAGAAAUUUCUAAGUAUUCCGCCUUAAUUCAUUCUCCAUCUUGAAAUAGAAUGACUUGUUUCUUUUUCUCAUCAUCAAAAUUCUCUUUGAGCAUUUCCGCAUCAUAUGCUCGAUUAGAUGAGCUCACAAAUUGUUGUUUGGCGUUAUAAUAUCCUUGGGGUGUAACCAAUAUUUCCAAUUCCUCCACUUUGCACCUCUAAUAAACCCACUUGUAUACUUAUGGAAAUAUUCGUUUGCGUAUAUUGUUCAAUCAUCACCUUCUUUCCUCUGAAACCCAAUGAUGAGAUUCAAAUAAAUGUGAUGCACUUGCCAUAAGGUGGUUGUGUCCUGACUCCUUCGUUGAAAACUGUUCAGCAAACUUAUCGCGACCAAUUCCCUUAUAUAGCACAAGUUUCGCGUGGCAGUCACUUCUAGCAUCUUCCCUACUACGUUUUUGAUUAGUUUGAGAUUAUCAUCUAUCCUCUUUUUGCCUUAUUUGCUACAAACAAAUUUUUUGUUUUAUAUUAAGGUUUAAUAGAAACAAACUCUUUAUUUUCUAGAUUAGGUCAGGGAAACUAUGAAGCAACAAUGCUUGUUUUUUAUAAACAUGAAGCAACAAUGUUAGGGCAACGUAUUGGAUAAGUACUCUAUGACUACACUAGAUAUUUCUAGUCGUUUAAUUUAGUUUCUUAUGAAAAUUUAAAAGAAAAGUGUUUUAUGCACACUUUUUUCCUCAUUUUGUAUACCUUUGUUUAUUUAUAUUGUGAUUCACUUUGCAUUAUUCAAUUCAAAUGUCAAUAAUGAAUAAGGGCAUGCAUACAAAGAGAAAAAGGUGUCUGAAAAUUAUUUCACAACUUCUUUUCUCUUUUCCCUUAGGUUUUUUUGUUUCUAUUAAACCCUCCUCCACCCUUCCUUCUGUUUGAAAUAAUUUUUUCAUUACGGAGGAAAUGGAGAUCAAGGGUCAAACGAAUUGAUUAAAGUAUGGAUGACGAGGAUUUGAUAUGAGGUGGCAAGAUAGUGGCUACCAAAACUGAAACAUGAGUGGUGUAUUUUUAGAAUUUGGGGCAUUGGGAAUCACAGAGAAACUUGAUUUUUUUCGUGUUAAUCUAGCAUCUUAAAUCAUGUUCUCUAUUUUAAAGUAAGGUUUUAGCUAAAAUUAUGAAAACGUUGUUCUAGGAGCUCUCUAAGAAACUUGUAUUCUAACGAUACUCUAUACUUCAGAGAGUCAUAAGAAUUAUGAGUCAAUAAUUAGUCAAUAUAAAUUAAUUAUUUAUUUUAAACAAUUACCAUUAAUUGUAGAGAGUCACUAGGAGGUACUUUCUCAUUCCCUACAUUUAGGAGGUAGAUAGGGAGCAUGAUUGGAGUUGAUUUUUUUUUUAAACCUCUCUAAAUUCUAGUUAGGAACUCAUUUAGGGAGCCUAUUGGAGAUGCUGUUAAGAAGAUGAUUGAAAAAUGAUAUUUUCAUGUGUCACAGUCAUGGGAAAAAAAUAAAAUGAGUAUUUCAUUAAGUUUAGUUGAGAGUUUAGAAGAAAAUUGUGGAAGUUGAGGUUCAUACCAAAACCAAUUCACAUAAAAUGGGGUCCAAAAUCAUUUAAACAAUUUAGGCCUGCAUUUUAUGAAUGCAAUAUGCACACAUACACACAUCUAGAGAAUUAACAAUUUAGUUAAAGAUGCAUCAAUGUAUACAGAUAUCACAUAAGCAUUGUUUCCCAAACCCUAAAACCGAAAAGCUCCAAAUACAAAUCACACUUUUACGACGAAACAAUAACAAGUCAACACAAGCAUAACAUGAUCUGGAUUAUGGAUUAGUGCCUGCCCAAAUCACACAAGUUUCUGGAAUAGCUUUUCAAUUGAGGCCGCAUCUUGCAGGCUUAUAUCAAACAAGUUGAAAUCGGCCACGGAAGCAAGGCUUAUAUCAUUGCCACCUUAAUCAUGCAUAGUUGUGAUCAUCAUCUUCUUCUUGUUCUUUCCCCAAUGUCUCUGCUAUUUGUAGUCUUUCUAUCUUGGAUCACUUUGGAGUAACCCAUCAGGAGAAAUCUUUAACUUGAUCGGCUGGCAGUCCUUGACAAUCAAAGUUAAGGACGGGACUUUGACAAUGCAAUUUCCUGUGCAGAAAGCCUUACAGAGUUGGAAGAUCAGAACGUUCAAAACGUUGCAAGCAACUAAAAGUAAUCUCAGUUUCUGAAUCAUCUCCGUUGCUUGCCACUAUUUCUACCAUUCUUUCACACAACUUAACUUCCAUAUUCUUGAGUUGCUGCAAAUUCUUAGCCACAAAAUAAGUUAUUAAGUAUUGCAGUCCGUGACAAUCCAAUAUGGCCAAAGUGUUAGAUUCCGCAAGGAUAUUAAAGUAGAAGUUAGAUUUUCUAAUUUGCCACAGCUUUUCAGCUUUAGAACUUCCAAGUUUGGAAAAACAGGGCCCCCUGGUUGGGAGUUUUCCUUUCCUGGAUGCAUCGGCAUAUCGAUGAGCCACAAAGCCUUUACAUGUGGGACAAUGUAUUUGGCCACAGAUCUGUUGUCCCCUACUUGGUGUCUCCUUUGUGUCUCAUUUUCUAAUUUUUUAACACCUGUCCCUCAACUUAACUCAAAUUUAACAGUGUUAACAUUUUAUAAAAUUAAAUAAAAAAAACUAAAAAUUAAAGUAAUACAAAAACCAAGAUAAACUCCUGAGUUCCACCCACUUCAACCCAUCGCCGCCGAUCGGCAUACUAUAGAACUAGCAAACAUUUUGUCAAGUUAUUAGGAUUUGGGGAUUGAAGGAAGAUAUCUAAUCAAUUGAAUAUUGUGAAAUCUGUAAGGAUUGAAUCGACGACGAAGGUCGAGAUUUAAACCGACGCAAAGACAUCUCUAAGAUCUGAUUCGCCUUCACUGACAAGAGGGAGGAAGAGAGAUAAAUCCAAAGAAAGGAAACCCAAUAGAUGGUGAAAUCUGCAAGGAUUGAACAAACGUCGAGAUUUGAACCGAUGUAAAGCCGACUCUAAGAUCCGAUUCGGCUUCGCUGACGAGAGAGAGAAAAAGUGAUAAAUAGAAAGAAAGAAUGCUUGGACUAUAAUUAGAUCCUACAUCUGCAACAAAGGAAACCUUGCCGAUGGUGAGAAAAUGCAGCUGAAAAGCAUGGUGGGGAGGAGAUUGGAGGUUGGUGGCUACGAGACAGUGUUGGUUGGGAAGGGUUGCUGUUGGGUUUUUGGUUUUUGUGUUUAACUUCAAUUUUUAUUUUUUAAUUAAACUUAAUUGAAAGUUUAACAGUGUUAGAUAUGAAGUUACAUAGAGGGACAGGUGUUAAAAAAUUAGAAAUGAGACACCAAGUAGGGGACAAAAGGCCUGUGGCCAAUGUAUUUCCCCCUACUACUUCCUUGGUGGUCGUGGAUUCUCUAAGGGUGUGUUUGUUUGCACUCACUAGCAUUCACUAGACUGGACUGGACUAUGUUUAGUCUAGUCCUGUGUUUUAUACAAACCUGGACAAGCUUUAAUGAGACUCGUCCUGACUAAAUGGGACUAAGCACUUCGCUAAAGGGUCUUAGCGAGACCCCUCGAAAUCGGCCGGAUUGCUAAGCCAACUCCUCCCUGCUUCGUCCCUCAUCUCUUCGCCCCUCCCAUCUACUUGUCCCUCGCAAGAUUCGGAACUUGCUUCGUCCAUAUAUAAACAAUGCCCUGCUUCGCCCCUCUCAUCUACCAUUUUCAAAUCUAGAUCUCGCAAAAUUCGAAGCAAAAUAGGCAAAAAUUCUGCAAUAUUUCCACUUUCAAAACCAGAUCAAAAUCCAAAAUUCUACACAAAAAAGCCAAAGUUUUUUCUACAAAAAUCGUUGUGUGUCUGAAACACAUAGCAAUCGCUCUAAUCACACUACACCUAGUCCAGAAUCCCUGAUUGUAGACCUUCGCCAUUGACACUGGAGAAGUAGACCCAUGAAUACCCAAAUGACUUAGACUCUGAUUUGGGUUUUGAUUCGCCAAUUGUGUCCCAGAAAAAUUAGGAAGAAAAAAGGAAGAUGAACGGAGAGAAAUACGAAGAAAAAGAUGGAGAUGAAGAGGGAGAUGGACGAAUAAAAAUUUGGAAGAAACAGAGGGAGAGGGACGGAGCAAAAUAAGGAAGAAAAGGGGGAUUAGCGGAAAAGAAUUGGGAAUAGAGAUGGGAGGUUUCUAGAAUGAAAAAACCAGAUAGUAGUAGUAAUAAAAUAUUAUUAAAUAUGUAUUAAAUAAUAUAAAAUAUUAAUAAAUAUGAAUUAAUUAAUAUAAUAUUAUAAUUUGUUAUUAUCCAGCUUUUUAGUUCGACACUGCAUCAAACGAUUCACUUAAGUUAAUCCAGUUUAAUCUAGUCUAAGCCAAUCCAGGUUAAUCCCUAAAGCUAGUCAAAUCCGAGAUAAUCCGGUACAACAAAUGUACCCUAAAUUCUUUAUAUGCAUCAGCUCCGGCAAAUCGAUGAGCCACAAAUCCUAACUCCUUACAAGGAGCUGAAAUCCACAGAGGUUUUCAUGAUUUUCUAAAUUCUCAAAGAAAGCAUCUGACUUGGAAUGUGAUGUCAGACGUUUUCUCAACAACUUUGCCAGGAGUGGACCAUACGGUUCAUACCAAGUUGAGGAAUGACUUACCCUGAAAGAUAAUCAACGGUAAUGGCAUGCUUUAAAAUAUUUUGAAAAACUGGACACCACAUGAUAACUUUAAUAUUAAUAAUUUAAUAAAGCUAUUUACUUUUACAAAGAACACUUGUAUGUAAAAAGCACAUAAAAUUUUGAUAACAAAAAGAUUGUAGAAGUAUGCUUACCUUCUCAAUUAAAAAGAAAGGUUGUUUCAUUGCUGUUGAGUGUCCCUACUCAAGUUUGUUGUGAUGUGUUGAAAAUUUAGAAGAAAAAUCUUCACACUACCGCAUUCAAUGAAGAUCAAUUGGUUGAGUGAUGGCCAAUUAGAAACAUACAGCCCUAAAUAGAAACUCCGAAAUUGGGGCAUAUUAUGAAUCUCAUAGAUGUUACUUUAGGGAACCCGAACUCGUGUUGUUUCUGGUCCUUCUUCCUUUGCAACAAUUUCUUCCAUUAAACCACAAUUCUCAACCUUCAACUUGCUUAGCUGCUUAAGAUUUUUGGCCACUGAGACGGGGAAGACAUUUUUCCUCUCACAUGCUUCUACCUCAACUGAAUUUAGAUUUGGGCAUUCAAAACCAUUCAACUGAGUGGUAGAUGAUGUGUCAUAUACCACUUAUACUAAUUGACAUUGAUCUAUUUGUAAUGUCUCUAGACCAUUCAAUCUUCCCAUGAUACUUGGCCCAAAGAUAUUAAUCAGACUGUGGCAUCUACAAACAUCUAUAAUUUUGAUCCUGGCAAAAGAGUCUGGAUCAUAUUGAUUGUGGAAUAUUAUCUUCACCUUGGGUAAGUCACAUAUGUAAAUCUCUCCAAGCUAGAAAAUCCUACCUAUCAUAUAUUCAUUUUAGAACUUGUGGACAAACCUUUUUUCUUUCUUUCACAAAAUUAGGACUUCUGCAUAAGUUGGAAAUAGAAAACUAAAUUUUAAUCCUUAAAUAAAAUGAAGUUUAGAAAAAUGUCUUACACAAGAUUAAAAUUUGAUUUUAGUCCCUAGACUCUAUUUAAUGUCAACAUAUUAAAUGUCUCUCUUUUUUUAUUUAUAAUUUUAUGGUGUUUAUAAAUUAAAUUUUAUAAAAAUAUUAUAAAUUUUAAUUCUCAUUAUGGUAAGUAUCUUAUAUAAGAAAAUAUUUUCGUAAAGAUUUGGUACACAUGUUUUUGUAUAUUUUCUCAUGUGCCACUAAUUGAUUACAAUAUAUUUAUAUACGAACAUUUCGGUACACUAGGUUACUAUAAUAUGUUUAGGUACGAACAUUUCGGUACACUAGUUUAGUAUCAUAUAUUUAAGUACGGAAAUUUUCGGUACACUUAUAUUUUGCAUAUAUUCUUAUGUGCUACUAAUUGACUACAAUAUAUUUAGGUAUGGACAUUUCGGUACACUAAUUUAGUAAAAUAUAGUAUGAUACGAACGUUUAGAUACACUAAUUAGAGGAAGUAAAAUAAGUAUAAUGAAUUAAGAUGUGUAUAAAAAAAUAAUUUUAAUUUUUAAUGUAAUGACAUUAAAUAAGAUAUCUAUUAAAUAUUAAAACAAAAAUAUAAUAUAAAUUUGAAUUAAGUACACAUUAUAUGACUAAAAUCAAUAUCUAAUUUGACACCAUAUUUUUAUUGAAUUUUAAUCUUCUUCAAGGAUUAAAGUUCAAAAACCUCUAAUAGACAACAAGUGAAGGUAUAAUUCACCUUUUCAUCUAAGAGCUUUGUUGAUGCACAAAAUCAGUGAGGAUUUUGGUACAACAGAAAGUGUUAAGUUUGUGACCUUCGCUAGAUUGCUUCGGUCACUAGUGUGGAUAAGUAUGUAAAUGGAUAGGGACAGGGAAGCAAACACAAGAUGUACGUGGUUCACCCAGAUUGGCUACGUCCACGGAGUAUAGAAGUUCUCAUUAAUUGUGAAGGGUUUACACAAAUACAUAGGUUAAAGCUCUUCUUUAGUGAGUACUAGUGAAUGAUUUAGUAUAAAUGACAUUCGGCAAUAUUGUGGGAGAAUGAUCUCCUUUUAUAGAAGAGAGUUUCUAGCUUUGUUUUGAUAUUGACACGUGUCGUGUUGUGAUUGGCUUCUGAUAUUGACACGUGUCGCGCUAUGAUUGGCUUCUGAUGUCGACACAUGUCGCGCUAUGAUUGGCCUCCUGGUUGGAGGGAAACUCUUCUGGGUCCUUGACGGUAUAACGUUGACCGGUGCUCAGUAGUUUCGGAAUUGGUCAAGUAUGGUACAAACAGUGCUCCCCUAAGUUCCCGAGUGAGGGAAACUCCUCGGUUGGGGACUUGGAAGAUCCAAGCCGCUAAGUAAUCACGAAACUUCUAAAUACCGAAGUAUGGUAUCAUUUUCACUUACCUUAUAUGUCUCAUAGGUAGAUGUGGUAUCUUCUUUGGAAGUACUUUUCCCCCAUCCAAGGGUGGUAUCCUUAACCAGUAGAGAUGCACAAGGUAAUGUAUCAAUUUCACUUAAAGCUUACUUGUAGUUUCAGGCUUGGUCAAGUGCGAUACAAACCAUGUAGUAGGAGUCCCCCAAGUCGCCGAGCUAGGAGAUUUGCCGAAAGAGGUGAUAGACAAGGUAAGCAAUCAAAAUUCCAAGCAAUCAGUCCCAGAUCAGAAGUUUGAUUUCGAGUUCCGGGUAAUUGUUUUCAUUCUCCCUAUCUUGCAAGCAGCAAGAAGGAUAAAGAGAAGAAAAAUGAAAAGAGAUAAUAUGAGAUACUUUUGCUUUUGAAGAAGUAACUUUCCACAUGCUUAUUCUUGAAUUGGGCUGGAGGGUUUUGGUUUCCUCCAGAGUAUAAGGCCGACUCAAGAAUUUGAGGGUCAAAACAAGUCCAUCAAAUCUAGAGUACGUUCGACCCUGAUGAUAUGGGAUACUUUUGUUGUUGACAAAGUAGUGGAUGUAUCGGCACGUGUUUUAUUAUGCUUGUCUCCACAUGCUUCCUUGUAUCUUUCUCACUUGCCUUAUAUGUUCCUCAGGCAGAUGUGGUAUCUUCUCUGGAAGCAUAAGAUGUUGAAGAUGAGUACUCGAGAGCAAAGCCAGGUAAGUAAUCAGGCAAGGGGUUCCAGGCAGUCAGUUCUUGACUAGAAGCUUGAUUCCAAGUGCUGACUGAUUGCUCUCUUUCUCCUUGUCUUGCAGGUAAGAACAAGGGCAAAGGAAAAGACAGGGAAAAAGCACGAUAUGGGAUACUUUUACUUUUAACCCUGAUGAUAUGAGAUACUUUUGCUCUGGUGUGGCUUGUUUGCAGAGGUAUUAUCGGGGGGAAAAAAAGUUGAGUAUUUCGAGAGACUCUGCUGAGAGUGCCCUCUCAGAUGUGAAAAAAAGUUAAGCAUUUUUUUUAUUUGCAGGUCUGCCUGGCUGUGGAGGAUGAAGGUCGACAUAUAUAGGAAUUGUCCUAACAACGAGUGGUAACGCUGUUCCUUUACCCUUCUCGGUCAUAGCAAUGUAGUGGGAGCUGCAAGCUUCACGUGUUUUAACUUUGUCAGAGCACUUUGAAAAAGUGGUCUGUGGUAUCUGGAAAGCUGAUGUUGCGUGUGAAGAUUGCAGACAAGCUUUAUCCAAGGAAAUAUGGCUUUCGAAGUUCGGAGAGCGGUGCCUCUUCGAUUUUCGAACAAGCUGUCACGCCUCAAUCCCGACAUACGUCCAAGAUCGAUACGUGACGUCCCUAAUGCCCGUAACUCAACAUACCCCGCCUUUUGGAUAUGUACAAAAUAUAAUUCAAGAUCCAAAUGCAUAAUAAUUUUGCGUAUACUUUAUGGCUACAUCUAACAUCUUCGUUAGAACUGCUUACGUACCUUCAAUAGGGAUUAAGCCAUUCAUAGUUCCACAAUCGUCAACUCUAAUCUUUCUAUAAAAUACUUCUAACAUAAAAUCAUAAGGCACCAUAUUACACAUCAACCUUACGUCAACAACAAUUAUCAUCUUUCAUACACGCAUGUAACCCAUUCUCACACAGAUACUUUCCAAUUCAUCCAUCAUAUAAAUCACUCUGUUUCACAUAAUACCGCAAAUCAUAGUAUGUAACAUAUCAAAGAACCAACGAAACACAAUGUUAUUCUCAUGUCACAUUAAUCAAUUAUUCUAAUCAUAAUAAUCUCAAUCAUACCCAACACCAUUCCACAAUCACAUCAAUUAAUUAAUCAUGAAUCAAAGAUACAUGAUCUUAGCAUUUAAUUGUUUAAUCAAUGAAUGCAGUAGCAUAUCAUUUCACAAAUUUAACCAAGGAACUCUAACAACUCCGAAGGAGUCACCCAGACAUCCAACGGUUCGUCUGGAACAAAUCACAACAGCUCAUAAUCAUAAUCUCAUACAACACCAUGAAAAGUAGGGCUAGAACGACACAAUUCGGCCGAAGCCUACAUCUCUGAAGCUAUCUCGAUCCAAACUCAAUAAAACCCAAGGUGAACACAAUCCCAGACCAUCUCUCAACGGAAUCACGAAGUAGGAGGGAUUCCGGACCAGCUCUUAAUGGAAUCCAAGUGGAUACGAUUCCGGACCAUCACUCAACGGAAUCGCGGAGCACAAUCCAUAACCACCACUAAAUGAAACCCAAGUUAGAUAUGAUUCCGGAACAUCACUCAAUGGAAUCGCGGAGUAUAAGGGAUUCCGGACCAUCACUCAACGAAAUCCAAACCAGGAUACAAUUCCGGAUCAUCACUCAAUGGAAUCACGGAGUAGAAUGUGUAACACCAAUCAAUAAAACAAGACACGGAUCAAGUUACUCAAGGUACAAAGACUCAACGAAACGAGGAUGAAUAAUGACACGAGGGUUGAAACAUGUUUCGAAGGCAACAAACCCCAUAACAAUGGUUAAUGGUCCACUACUAGCCCUUGCAUUUCAUCACAUCAAUCCAAUCAUACAAUGCAAACCAUAUUUCCAAUGCACAAGUCAAAUCAUACUUAAUGAAAAUAGAUCAAUGAUAAAAAAUAAAAUAACACUUCGAUAGAAUUCACAUUUAAUUAACAUGGGUCUAUGGCAUAUAUAUAAAUCACAUUUCAAUAUGCAAUUCGAAUCACUUUUCCACAAAUAAUACCCAUCCAUGAAUCAAAUCACAUUUAAUAAAAAUAGAUCGAUGGCUGAUGCGUAAAUUAUCUUAACACAUAAAUUUAACCCUCUUUUGACAAUUGUAGUACAAGUAGGGAUUGUUCUGGACCGGGGAUUAGGAGGGCUUGCUAAUAACCUCUAAAUUGACUCAAAAAUAUAAAACUAAACUUAAAAACACUUAACAAGACUCACAAGACUCAAAGCAAACUUAAAAUACUCAAAACAGCUUAAAACAACUAAAUAAACUUAAACUAGACACUAGGAAUGACUUUGGACGAAAAUUGACUUUUACUUGAAUCAAAACACUUAAAAACACAAACUAAAACAGAUUUGAAACACUUUGAAACAAAAAAACUAAAAGGGGGGUUUUGAUUUGGAUGAAGUUGUAACAAACAAAGAAGUAUGAAAAACUAGACAGAUUGUAAAAUAAAUUUGAGAAAUAACAUGAUGGAUGGGAUAGCUAGAGUCUUUUUCUCCACACAUGACAUAUAUGCAAAUAACUCGAUUUCCAGUUACUACUUCAUUGAAUUAUGAACGACAAUGCUCCAAAUUAACCGUGACAUCACUAGUUAACUCUCAGAUUUUCCUUGUUUUAUUGGAUUGGAUGACAUCAUUCGACAACCCAAAACAUUCUUUUAAAGUUCCCUACAUGACAUCAUAAUAGAGAUACAAUCAAAGAUCAUUACGUUUAAUGAAAAUCAUAAGCAUUGAUAAAGCACUUGCAACUAUGAUAUCAUGUCGCUUAUGCUAGGAAUUGAACUUAACGCGAUCGUUUAUAAGCGACCUUCACUACAUGUGAAUAUAAGUUUGUAACGAUUAUGUGAAACUUCCUUAUAUUCUAGCAACUGAUUUAUGCAUGCCAAUUAAGUGUCGACCUUUAAUUAACAAAUACAAAUAAGUUAUCAAUCAAAUAGUUAAGCCAAUUGCAUUCAUGAUUCAAGAGUUCAUAACUGGAAUUUAUCAAAUUAUAUUGCACACAUAAUCAUGGCUUUGAAAUCACCCCUAGCCAAGAGGGGUUUAGCCACUCAUAUUUACAACAAAACGAAAGGAAAUGAAUUUAAACAUUAGAAACAAAAGAAAGAAAACACCUAAAUGCUCCAACGAUCCAAGUUGGACAACAAGCACGUCCAAGCAAUUUCCUUCCCUUCCUUUACUACGGCACAAGGUGUUGGUGAGUGUUUGAAGGUUUGUUUGUAUGGAGGAAUGGAUGUGAAGAUGAAUGGAUGUGUUUGGAUGAAGGUUGUGUUGAAAUGGGAGUGAAUGAUCUAACCAAGUAUGAACUAAAUUUAUUUUACACACACUUCCUUUUAUAGAAGAAGUGCAUGGCAAUGGAGGGGAACAUGAAGUGGUAUAGCAAUUGAGUGCAAUGAUUCAAUGUAAUGAUGCAUGAAAUCUAAAAUGAUGGAGGGAACAAGGAAUGGUGUAGCAAUUGAGUGCAAUGAGUGGUGUUUGAAAUGAUUCAAAGGUGAAAGUGAAGUGAUGAUGCAAAGCAUGAAGGUAAAAUGGAGUGAUGUUGCAAUUGAGUGCAAUGAUUCAAUGUAAUGAUGCAUGAAAUCUGAAAUGAUGGAGGGAACAAGGAAUAGUGUAGCAAUUGAUUGCAAUGAGUGGUGUUUGAAAUGAUUCAAAGGUGAAAGUGAAGUGAUGAUGCAAAGCAUGAGGGUAAAAUGGAGUGGUGUUGCAGCUAAGGAACAUGAAUGAUUGUGCACAUGGUAGAGAAAGGAAAGGGAGGUGGAAUGAUGCAACAAAUGAGUCAAUGGAGGGAACAUGGAUGAUGAUGCAUGGCAUAGGAAUCCAAAGGGAGUGCAAUGGUGGUGCACGACAAUGAUGGAAAGGUGAAUGGUGGAGUGACACCCCUUUGUGGCUGAGCUCUUUGUCCUUUUUACAUUAAUUCUUCUUUCUCUUUAACACAUUCCUAGCCUCUUUAGUCUUCAAUUUCAUCCAUCCACCUUGCUCCAUGCAUGUGUUAUUCAUUCCAAGCCCAAAACUGCUCCAAAAUGCAUCUUAUUGCUUCAUAAGGCCUAUGGACCUACAAACACAUGAAAAUAGCUUAAAAUACAUAAUUAACUAAGAAAUAACAAUAUAAAUGCAUGAGAACAAGCUAAUUCAGUCGCAUAAAUAUGCUCUAUCAAUGGCCAAUUAUAAAAGAAUCACAUUUUAAUAGAAAACACAUUUAUAAAACCAUGUCAUAUCCACAUAUGAUAUUAAUACCAUCACUCAAUUAGUAGUAAAGAAGAUUAGAAAGGAAUCUGGAAAGAAACUAGGUGUGGCAAAAACAGUACUCUACUUUUCCACAAAAUCUGCAGAAAACAGCACCAUUGGACCAAGUUUAGGCUCCCUUUGGAACAUUCAAAACUAAACCAAAUCAUGUAAUAUUAUAUGGGUUUUGAAGCUUGUGUUCUGUACUUUAAAAGCAUACAAAGUUUGUAGAAAACGGAGCUCUACAUUGGAAGUUAUGCCAAAAGAAAAACGGAGUCUUGAAAUUGAACACCUAAUUUUCUGCUGCUGUUUGGCAGCUCGCGACCCAAGUUUAAAUAAGGUUUUGAUCAACCAAAACUUAACGGAUCUGAGUGAAAACAAUUGGGUUGCAACCAUGAACAUAUGUACUUUCAACACACUAAAAAUUUUCACCAAAGGAGCACAUAAAGGCCUAGAAAUUAAGAGCCAAAUAAGGCUACUCGAAACUUGAGUUUUCUUGGUCAAGAAAUCAAUUUUCUACAGCUUACGUAACAUCCCACUUCCAAUUCAUAUAACAAAUCCAAAAUACUUCUAGGUAGUCCAGAAGUCAUGUAUACAACAUCCAAAACUAACAUGACUCAAAAUUAACAAGAAAUUGACUUUUUGAACCAAACCCUUGAUCAAGAAAUUUGAUCUACACACCAAAUUCGAAAUACCCAACUCAUGUUUAGACUAGUUCAUUGAAUGAUAGAAACCCUAAAUAGAAUUAAGAACUCCAAUAUAUCAUGGCAGUUUCAAUUUAACUUAAGAAAGUUAAAUUCAAAAAUCAAGAUAAUGAAGUAACAAGGAAUUUACCCUUUAAAUCUCUGAAUCCUUCCUUCCCAAUCACGUUCUCUAACUCCUCUCUCUUGAGGAAUAUACCCUUUAAAUCUUUAAAUCUAUGUUCCGGCUUGAGGCCCUGUGAGGGCUUCACCCAAGGAAGUAGGCUAGCAUACCAGCCACCAUCCAUGACGCCAGGUUGCUUCCUCCUCUCAGGCUCCCUAUCGAAUUCGAUACAAAGGACCUCACAUUUCCCAAUCUUCUCUUCCAUGUGCUCGUCAUUGAUGUCAAUUUCGUCCCUCUCUCGCUGAUAUGGGGAUUUGGGAUUUAUAGGGUUUUUUUUUUCUUUUGAUCCCCCUCUUUUCUCGCCACAUCCGUGGCUUUCCUUUUUUCUUUUUUUGUUUCCUUCAGCCACUCCCGUGGCUUUUUCUUCUCUUUUCAUUUUUUUGCAACAACUUUAAACGUCCGUAACUAUACCGUUAUAAUCCGGACUUGUAAACGGCUUUCGCCUAUGCGUUCAUGAUCUCGAUAUCUAUUCAACAAUAUAAAUUGUGACCUCGAAUGGUCUACGGAUUUUAAAUAAUUAAUUUCCUGAAAAAUAAUAUAAAAUCUUUAUAAUACCAAUACGUAGAUUAUAAAAAAGAAAUCCAGGAACGGGAUUUCACACAAGCAAUCCUGUCGGGGAUCUGGCUCUCGAGAUUCGGAGAACGGUACCUUUUCAAAUUUUGAGAAAGCAAUCCUGUUGGAAGUCUGACUCUUGAGAUUCAGAGAACGGUGCCUCUUCGAUUUUUGAGAAAGUAAUCCUGUUGGGAGUCUGGCUCUCGAGAUUCGGAGGGCGGUGCCUCUUCGAUUUUUGAGCAAGUAAUCCUGUUGAGAGUCUGGCUCUCGAGAUUCGGAGAGCGGUGCCUCUUCGAUUUUUGAGUAAGCAAUCUUGUUAGGAGUGUUUUCUCAAAUGUGAGUAAAGAUUGGGCAUUUUUGCCAGUCUGCCUUGCCACGGAGCACGAAGGUUGACACACAUAGGGACUUUUCAGUUAUCAAGCAGUGGUACUGUUCCUUUACCCUUGUGGGUAAUAGUAGGGUAGCUGGACCUUCAAAAUUUAUGUGUCUAAACUUUGUCAGAGAUCUUUGGCAAAGUUAUUUGUGGUACCCGAAGAGCUGAGGUUGCGUGUGGAGAGUGGUGCCUUUCGAAAUCCAAAGAGUGGUGUCUCUUCGAUUUUUGAACUAACACCCAUGUUGCCCUUUCUUUUAUAAGGGCACCAAUUGUGUGCAAGAAGUACAUUAAGAUAGUUAUUGCUUGUAGGAAUUUUCCCCUUAUUUUUGUACUUCAGAGAUUUAUUGGACCUCAUUUCUCCUUCAUCAUUUCUGAAAAUGUCUGGCCCAUCCGAGUGUCGUUUUGACUUGAACUUUGAUGAAGAGGCAGCUAUGUCUCCUUAAGACAACAUAUGGUGCCCAUCCUUCUUAUCCCCUACUAGUUCUCUUACUGUUGGGGACUUUGUGAUGAAGAAUGAUAUGACCGCUGCGGUGGUGGCCAGGAGCUUUCUUACUCCCAAAGAUAACAGACUACUUUCCAAAUGGUCUGAUGAGUUGGCUGUUAAGGAUUCUCUAGCUUUUAGUGUUCAGUGUGCAGGUUCUAUGUCUAAUAUGGCCCAACGCGUAUUUGCUCAAACCUGCCAAGUUGAAUCAUUGGCGGCUGAAGUGAUAAGUCUCAAACAGGAGAUUAGAGGGCUCAAGCAUGAGAAUAAAUAGUUGCAUAAGAUCGCACAUGACUAUGCUACAAACAUGAAGAGGAAGCUUGACCAGCUGCAGGAAUCUGAUGGUCAGAUUUUACUUGAUUAUUAGAGGUUUGUGGGUUUGUUCUAAAGGCAUUUAUUGCCUUCAUCUUCUGAGGCUGUACCGCGUAAUAAGCUCUAAAUGAUCAUCCUUUGGUGCCUCCUCCUUCUGGGGUUCUGCCCAGUAUUGAGGCUCCGAAUGAUCACCCUCCGGUGCCUACCCUUUCUGGGGCUCUGCCGACUGUUGAGAUUUCUCCUGAGCAACCUUUGUGAAGGCUCCCUCUUGUUUGUUUAUUUUGAUUCAUGUAUAUGUACAUAUUUGUAACUUAUCGGAGAUAUCAAUAAACAAGCUUUGCUUCAUUUCAACGUAUUAUGUUGAAUACACCAAAGCCUUCUUCACUAAGUUCUUUGAAUUUUUCUUUUGUUGAAGCUUUAUGAGUGAAGCAUGUAUGUUGAGGUAGUGCUCCCUUAAUUUCCCGAGUGAGGAAAACUUCUCGAUUGGAGACUUGAAAAAUCCAAGUCACUGAGUGGUCGUGAGACUUCCGAGUAUCAAGGUGUAAUAGCAUUUGGUAGGAGUCCCCCAAGUCUCCGGUCGAGGGAGUUGACGAAUGAGGCAUUUCCUUUCUAAGUGGUAGCCCAAAACUCCUCUUUCAUAUAUAUUUGUUAUGAAAGUUGUUAAGCCCAAAGAAGAGGAGGCAUAGGCAAUUUUUUUUUUCGAAUUUCUGAAUUUUCGAAUUUCUGAAUAUAUAUAUAUAUAUAUAUAUAUAUAUAUAUAUAUAUAUAUAUAUAUUUUAAAAGCUUUGUAGGUGAAGCUUUGAGAUUGAAGCUUUGUUGGGUACCAUGAAUUGAUUUUGCUUCACACUAUCUUGAUUAAGAGUGUGUGAAGCUUUUGUAGGUGAAACUUUUGUGUUAAAGCUUUGUAAGUGAAGCUUUUGUGGGUGAAGCUUUUGUAGAUGAAGCUUUUGUGGUGGGUGAAGCUUUUGUGGGUGAAGCUUUUAUGUGUGAAACUUUUAUGGGUGAAGUUUUUGUAUAGGUGAAGCUUUUGUGGGUGAAGCCUUUGUGGUGGAUCAAGCUUUUGUGGGUGAAGCUUUUAUGGGUGAAGCUUUUGUAUAGGUGAAGCUUUUGUGGGUGAAGCUUUUGUAUAGGAGAAGCUUUUGUAUAGGUGUAGCUUUUAUGGUGGGUGAAGCUUUUAUGGGUAAACCUUUUGUGGGUAAAACUUUUGUGUUGAAGCUUUGUAGGUGAAGCUUUGGAGUUGAAGCUUUGUAGGUGAAGUUUUGGAGUUGAAGCUUUGUAGGUGAAGCUUUUGUGUUGAAGCUUUGUAGGUGAAACUUUGGAGUUGAAGCUAGGUGAAGCUUUAGAGUUCAAGCUUUGUAGGUGAAGCUUUUAUGUUGAAGCUUUGGAGUUCAAGCUUUGUAGGUGAAGCUUUUAUGUUGAAGCUUUGUAGGUGAAGCUUUGUAGAAGCUUUGUAGGUAAAGCUUUUGUGUUGAAGCUUUAGUAGGUGAAGCUUUGGAGUUGAAGCUUUGUAGGUGAAGUUUUGGAGUUGAAGCUUUUCUUGGGUACCAUGAAUUGAUUUUGCUUCACACUAUCAAGAUAGUGUGAAGCUUUUGAGAAUUUGUAGUUGUCCUCCAUUGAUGAAGUUUUGUUGAAUUUCCCAAUUUCUUUUUUUUUAAUUUUUUUAAUUUUUAAUUUUUUUUUUUGGGAAAACUAGAAAUUUGUUGAAUUUCCCAAUUUUUUUUUGUUUUGGGAAAAAUUAGAAAUUUGAAAAUGUGGAAGAGACAACAUAUACAAAUUUUGUUUCCACACUGUUGAGCAAGAGAUUGUGAUGCAAGCCACACCUUGUAGUAGUUGAAGGUUUGGAUGAACCAUAUAAAUUGAAUUUGCUUCAAACAAUCUUGAUCAAGAGUGUGUGAAGCUUUCUAUGAGUUGUAGUUGCCCUUCAUUGAUGAAGCUUUUAUUGGCACCAUAAACUGGUUUUGCUUCACAUUGUCUUGAUUAAGAGUGUGUGAAGCUUUUGAGACUUGUGGUUGAACUCCUUUGAUGAAGCUCUUGUUGGCACCAUAAAUUGGUUUUGCUUCACACUGUCUUGAUCAAGAGUGUGUGAAGCUUUUGAGAAUUGUGGUUGCCCUCAAUUGAUGAAGCUCUUGUUGGCACCAUAAAUUGGUUUUGCUUCACACAGUCUUGAUCAAGAGUGUGUGAAGCUUUUGAGAAUUGUUGUUGAACUCUUUUGAUAAAGCUCUUGUUGGCACCAUAAAUUUGUUUUGCUUCACACUGUCUUGAUCAAGAGAGUGUGAAGCUUUUGAGAGUUGUGGUUUCCCUCCAUUGAUGAAGCUCUUAUUAGCCCCAUAAAUUGGUUUUGCUUCACAAUAUCUUGAUCAAGAGUGUGUGAAGCUUUUGAGAAUUGUGGUUGCCCUCCAUUGAUGAAGCUCUUGUUGGCACCAUAAAUUGGUUUUUCUUCACACUGUCUUGAUUAAGACAGUGUGCGAAGCUUUUUAUGAGUUGUAGUGUUUGCAUUGUUACAGAAGAGAAAUGCCUGAAACAGAUGCAAGCGGGCUGAAUAGCUCGAUCUUCGUAUGCCAUGCACUUGUUGGCACCAUAAAUUGGUUUUGCUUCACACUAUCUUGAUUAAGAGUGUGUGAAGCUUUUUAGAAUUUUGGUUGCCCUCCAUUGAUGAAGCUUUUGUUGGCACCAUAAAUUGGUUUUGCUUCACACUGUCUUCAUUAAGAGUGUGUGAAGCUUUUGAGAAUUGUUGUUGAACUCCUUUGAUGAAGCUCUUGUUGGCACCAUAAAUUGGUUUUGCUUCACACUGUCUUGAUCAAGAGUGUGUGAAGCUUUUGAGAGUUGUGGUUGCCCUCCAUUGAUGAAGCUCUUGUUGGCACUAUAAAUUGGUUUAGCUUCACACUAUCUUCAUCAAGAGUGUGUGAAGCUUUUGAGAAUUAUGGUUGCCCUCCAUUGAUGAAGCUCUUGUUGGCAUCAUAAAUUGGUUUUGCUUUACACUGUCUUGAUCAAGACAGUGUGUGAAGUUUUUUACGAGUUGUAGUGUUUGCAUUGUUACAGAAGAAAAAUGUCUGAAGCAGAUGCAAGAGGGCUGAAUAGCUUGAUUUUCGUAUGCCAUGCACUGAAGUUGUUGUUGGCUUGCAAUAAGACUUUUUGGUGAUUAUAACUCUUGUUGGGCAUAAGUGCUCCCCUAGUUGAGUUGUCAAGCUUGAGGGUUUUUGAUUAUUUGUGAAUGCUAGGAGUUCACAUGUACAAGUUGUACCACUCGUCUUCUGGUAGGUGGAAUGAAUGGUGAAUUGCUUUCAUCACUUGGUUGGUGGUACGAAGGUGAGUUCCUUCAUCACCUUUCAUCAUAUUUCAUCACCUGGUUGGUUGCACGAAGAUGAGUUCCUUCUUCACCUGGUUGGUGGCAUGAAUGGCAAGUUGCCAAAUGAUAUUAGAGUACGGGUUGUACAUUUCGUCACCUGGUUGGUGGCAUGAAGAUGAGUUUCUUCUUCAUAUUUCGUCACCUGGUUGGUGAGAAUAAGGGCAAGGUGUCGAGGCACAUUGUAGCAAGUGUUGAAUGACACAAAGUAUGUUGAACCCUUUUGAAGCAUAGUUGGCUUAUGUAUGAAUGUGUUGGAAUGUAUGAUUGAACGAAUAUACUGUGAAGUUGUUCGUUUAUUUGUAUAGUCUUGUUGACAUAUACUUAGACUUUGUUUCAUGUUGGAAUCAUUCAUGUUGAAGCUUUGAACCCGAGUGUUUCACUGCUAGGAAUGUAAGAAGAUUAAAACCGAGUUGUCUAAAUCACCUUUUUAUUGAAUUCAUGCCAAAUAGUCUUCGUUACAUAGGAUGCCGAACAACUGAAGCUUAACACUUGUACAAUGUGAAUUUACUUGUAAUAGUACUUCAAGUGAUCAACGUUCCAUGGAUAGCCAAUGGUCUUGCUAUCAGAGCUUCUAAGCUUGUAGAAGCCAGGACGACUGAUGCCAACAACUUCAAACGGUCCAUCCCAGUUUGGACUAAGUGUUCUUUCACUCGGGACUCUGUCGCAGAGUAAUCUUUUCUUCAAUACCUAGUCCCCUACUUUGAAAGAACGAGGUUUAACCCUUGAGUCAUAGUAGUUGGAGAUGCGCUGCUUGUAGGCGACAUUCCUCAAGUGAGCCUGGUUUCUGUGUUCCUCGACUAGAUCUAAGUUGAGGGUAAGUUGUUUGUCAUUUUCGCUUUGCAUGUAGUUCUGGACUCGGAACGUUGCUUGCUCAAGUUCAACUGGGAUAAUUGCCUCUGUACCAAAGGUAAGUGAAAAUGGGGUUUCUCCUAUUGAUAUCUGAUACGAAGUGCGAUAUGACCAAAGAACUUGGGGUACAAAUUCUGGCCAGCAACUGUUAGCCUUGCCCAAGCUGGUUUUCAAAGUUCACUUGAUUAUUUUGUUGAUGGCUUCGACUUGUCCAUUAGACUGGGGAUGAGCUGGGGAGGCAAAACAUAAGUUGAUGUUGAACUUAGAGCAGAGCAUCCUGAACUUAUUGUUGUCGAACUAUUACCCGUUGUCAGUGACUAUCGCAUUGGGAAUGCCGAAUCUACAAAGGAUGUUCUUCCAUACGAAGUCUUCUAUUUUUGCAUCAGUAAUGGUUGCCAAGAGUUCUACUUCAACCCACUUUGUGAAGUAGUCAACUGCAACGAUUGCAUAGCAGACCUUGCCCUUCCCUGUAAGCAUUGGGCCUAUCAAAUCAAGUCCCCAUUGGGCGAAGGGCCAAGGGCUGAUCAUAGGAGUGAGCGGCUUAGGAAGGGAGUGAGGAAUAGUUGCGUAGCAUUGACACUUAUCACAUGAGCGAGAUAUUCUGAUGGCAUCUUGGUAGAGUGUUGGCCAGUAAUAUCCUUGGCGAAAAGCCUUGUGUGCUAGGGAUCGAGAUCCAGCAUGAUCUCCACAUACUCGUUCAUGUAUUUCCUGAAGAACAAUUUCCGCCUCUGCGGGCGUAAGGCAUCUUAGGUAUGGUAGGUUAAAACCCCGUUUGUAGAGUUAGUCAUUAAUGAUCAAGUAAUGGGUAACCUUGUAUUAAAUCUGCUUACCUUAGACUUUAUCGUUUGGGAGGGUACCAUGCGCAAGGAAUUUAUAAAUCGGGGUAAUCCAACUAUCCCCUUGUUGUAAGUUGCACACUUCUGCGGCCAUGGUGCUUGGUGCUACCUACAAUUCGACCUGAAUUUUUCUCUCAAUUUUGUCUUCCAUUGUUGAGGCGAGGUGAGCCAAAGCGUUUGCAUGACUGUUUACUGCUCGAGGAAUUUGGGUGAUCCGGUAGUGGAAGUGCUUGAGGAACAAUUAUGUUUGUGCCAGAUAUGCUGCCAUGGAGCUAUCUUUAGUGUCAAAGUUGUUGGUGACCUGGUUAACCACCAAUUGAGAGUCACUGAAGAUAUUAAUUCGUUUAACCCCAAGGUGUUUGGCCAAACGUAAGCCUGCUAGAAGGGCUUCAUAUUGGGCCUCAUUAUUCGACGCCUUGAAUUUGAAAUGAAGAGCAUACUCCAUCGCCACUUUGUCAGGGGUCAUAAAGACUAGUCCUACUCCACAACCCUGUUGGUUGGACGAGCCAUCAACAUAUAGACUCCAUGUUAGGUCUGUUGGUUCUAUUUUCUGAGCUUCCGAGGGUAAUGAAACCAGUUCUGUAGGUGUAAAAAUAAUGUCAACAUGAUAUGUGAAGUCGGCGAUGAAGUCUGCCACUGCUUGGCCCUUCUCAGCUGGUUUUGGUUGGUAGGAGAUGUCAAACUCACCCAAUGCUAUCGCCCAUUUGAUCAUUCGCCCCGUAGUGUCAGAACUUUGGAGUAUCUGUCGAAGAGGAUGAUUGGUAAGCAUAAUGAUGGAAUGUGUUUGGAAGUAAGGGCACAUUUUUCGAGCAGACAUGACCAAUGCUAGAGCCAAUUUCUUAAUGUUGGAGUAUUGUGUCUCCACAUCUUGUAAGGCCUUGUUAGCGUAGUAAACAGGUCGUUCGACAUUACCAUCAUUUCGAAUGAGAACGGAACUUAUUGUUGAAUUCGAUACUGAUAGAUAGAUAAUGAGAGUGUCACCAACCUCAGGUUUAGAGAGUAGAAGGGCUUUACUCAUGUAGUCUUUGAGGUUCUUGAAUGCCUCGGCACAUUCAUCAGUCCAUGUAAUGUACUUUUUACUUCUCUUAAGUGUUUUGAAUAAAUGAGCAUAUUUGUUUGUGGCCUUAGAGAUGAACCUAGUUAAGGCUGCCACCUUGCCAGUAAGGCUCUGGCUGUCUUUUGAAGUUACCGGUUCUUUCAUGUCGAGGAUUGCUUUGAUCUUCUCGGGAUUAGCAUCAAUGCCUCGUUGGUUUAUCAUGAAGCCUAAGAAUUUUUCAGAGCCUACGCCGAAGGCACAUUUGUUGGGGUUCAACCUCAUUCGAUACCUCUUCAGAAUGGUGAAAGUUUCAGAUAGGUUGGUGGUGUGUUGGUCAGUAUGUUUGCUCUUGACUAGCAUAUCAUCAACGUAAACUUCCAUGCUCUUCCCAAUCGGUUAGGUGAACAUCGAAUUGACUAGUCUCUGAUAAAUUGCCCCUGCAUUCUUUAGGCCGAAUGGCAUGACUUUAUAGCACUAUAGUCCCAUGUUAGUAGUGAAGGUUGUGUGUUCUUGGUCUGGAGGGUUCAUGAGGAUUUGGUUGUAUCUUGAGUAAGCAUCCAUGAAGCUUAGGAGUUCACACCCUGUCGUAGAGUCUAUAAGUCUGGUAAUAAGAGGAAAGGAAAGCUAUCAUUUGGGCAUCAUUUGUUUAGGUCGGUGUAGUUGACACACAUUAUCCACAAGACCUUUUGGAGCAUGAGAUUUUCUUUGGUUGAAUUUUUCUUAACAAGGACCACAUUUGCUACCCAUGUUGGGUAAUUGACUUCACGGACGAAGCCUAUGCCUUUGAGUUUUUCAAAUUCUGCCUUCAUUGCUUUGUAUCGUUCAGCGUCAUAAGAUCUUCGCUUCUGGUCUUGGGGUCAAUACUUAAGCGAUGACAUAUGAUAUCGGGAAAGGUACCUGGCAUGUCCUCAUAUGACCAGGCGAAGACCUUAGUGUUCUCUUGCAAAAAAAAGAUCAAUGCUAACCUAAUGGGUGGUGACAAGGUGGUGCCAAUCUUCACCAUGCGAUCUGGAUAAUCUUUUGAGAUAGAAACCUUUUCUAGCUCUUCAGCGGGUUGUGCUUGCUGGGUGAAAGAGUUAUCUCGAGGAUCGCGGGUUGACUGUUGCCACCAUGAAGAUCCAAGUUGGCUUCGUCCGGGCUGGUCUUUAUGACUUGGUCAUGUAUAGAAAGGGUUUCCUUGGGCACAUGCAGGUGCUGUUUCUUGACCGAAGUGUAGUAACAUGAUCGUGCACUAAGUUGAUCUCCUCUGAUGUAACCAUUGCCAUAGGGGGUUGGAAAUUUGAUCAACAACAUAUGUAUGGAUACCAUGGCCUUGAGAUCAUUGAUGCUUGUACGUCCAAAGAUGACAUUGUAUGCCGUUGGACAACUAACCACCAGAAAGUUAGUGGUAAUAGUAGCUGUGUAAGGGCAUGUACCAAUGGUGAAAGGUAAGUGUAUGCUUUUUAAAGGUUGCAUAAUAUCACCAUAGAAGCUUAUCAGAGGAGAAAUCGAGCGAUCGAGCAAGUGUUCAGCUACAUUAAGUACCCUGAAAGCUUCAGCAAACAUGAUAUUGACCGAAGCCUCCGUGUCUACCAGGAUUCGUCGUACUUUAAAGUUGGCUAUGUGAGCUUCCGCGAUCAGUGGGUCGUUGUGAGGGUAGAUGAUACCUCUUUCUUCCUCAGGGUAGAAACAUAUUGGAUCCUAGUUAGGCUUUUGAUACUUGUCUCCCCUGAUGUCUUCCACGUGAAACACUUGGUGGCCAGGCCUUAAAGCUCGUUCCCUGUUUUUCAUGGCCCUAUCGGAAGAUUCAGAUAUGGGUGUGUCGCAGCUUAUGAAAUAUAUCACAUUCACUUGGCGUUGGUUAUGGUUAUCCUUUGAAGGGUGAAGGAGGAAUCGAUCAAUUUUUCCUUCACGUGCCAAAGCUUCAAUAUGAUCACGAAGGGUGAUACACUUCUCGCCGUCAUGGCCGUUAUGCUUGUGGUAGCAGCAAAACAUACCCAUGUUCUUCGUGGGCUUGUAACCCAACUGCCUCGGUAUUGACUUCGGUAUCAGGUGUGCUAUACUGAGGUAAAUGGCCACGCAUGUGGCGUUCAAAGGCGUGUAUGUCUCAUAUCUCGGGGUUGGGCCUAUCCUGACACGUGUUUGGCCCACUGUGUUGACUGCUUGGGGGUGGGCAUUAUCGUGGCGAUACCCUUGGUUAUCGUGAUAAUGUCCCUUUCUUCUUUUACUAAAAUGAGACUGGUGAGGAUGGAAAUCUUUCCUUUUGCCCUGAGAUUGAUAUGUCUGUUGACUUGGCGAAGUAUUAAGUAAGGUAUGGGGAGUUACCGCUGCCGUUUGGAAGGUCGAGGUCUUCUCAUUUGGUUGGAUCUGGCUUCCACUUCCCACUUGCUGAUAGGGGAUAGUUAUUGGGGGUUUCUCUUGGUAUGUCCUUGCCUUGGUGGAGGCAUGGUUAUAAGCCUGCGCCAUCACCUCAGAGUAAGUCUUCCAAGUGUUGGCAUUGAUCAUGUACUUAAAGAAACAGUCACGUAGGCCUGCCGUGAAGGCUUUGAGGGCAGUCUUGUCGUCUGCCUUGGCACAACGAGAAUACUCAUGACUAUAGCGGCCAACAUACAUACGUAAUGACUCGUCUGGCUUCUGACGAAUAAUGUACAAGUCAUCCGCAGAGUGCAAGCGAUCGGUCUGGAAAAUGUGUUGAGAAGCAAAUAGUUUCCUCAAUUCCUCAAAUGAGUCUACAGUCUCAGGUGGAAGGCGGCAAUACCAGUUUAGAGCUCCGCCAGAGAGGGUGGAGGGGAAGAGAAGACAUCGCUCUUCGUCGGUAUGCUUCCGGUAUGCCAUGGUGGACUCAAAGAGGUUAAAGUGUUCAAUCGGGUUCUCCUUUCCAGUAUAGAGUUGCAAGCCAAGCUUCUACUUUGUCUUUGCUUGGAGGGGGGUGUCGAGGAUCCUCCUUGUAAGAGGGCCAGGCCUAGGUUGGUUCCAAUUAGGUAUCUCAGCUUGUCGUUCAGCCUUCAACUUGUUUACUUCCUUAAGGAGUAGUAAAACAAGAGGAUCCUGAGUUGAGUCAUGUACCAGUGGAGCUUUCUUUCAUAAAUCUCUAUCUCCUCUUGGAAGUAGGAAGGUUUGAUCAAGAGCAUGUGAUUUUUCCCUAGACUCGCCGUAUUGACUUCUAAGGUAUGUCUGUCGGAACAUCUCUGAGUCCCUUAUACCUUCGUGUUCUCUAGGACUUGUUGCCCCUUCCCUAAAUUGGUAGCCGGCCUGGGACAUAUAAGGGGACUGAGUCUUUCAGAGACCCUUGGGUCAUUGAUCUUCGAGCUUACAUGGACGGGAUUGUCUCGACAUUGCUUUAGGAAGUCUCAACAGUCGCGAAAAACGGCUUUCGAUCCUUCCACUCCUUCUGUAAGGAGGUGUCUUUCUUCACUCCUGCUUCGGGUCGAAACAGCUGGGUUGAGAGAAGUCUCAUGUUGGUCGCCAUUUCGAUGAGUAGCUCGUUCCUUAACAGAAAUACCCAUGUCGAGGGCAAAUGACCCUCUGCGUUGGGGGGCACCCAGUUGAUGGUUGACUUCCACAUAGGUGAUGAGCUCGUGUGUUUUAGUAUAUCUAGCCUCGUGGAGCAUCUCGAAGACCUUCUCACACUGCUCUUGGAGGAUCUCAUUCUUCAUCACUAUCUUUUGUUCCUUCUUUCAUUGCUUCACACCAGGUGCAAAAGGGGUGUCAUUCUGUGUGUUGUGGCUUCCUUCACUCCCCAUGUUGGAAAGGGAUGCCUGGUCAAAAGAAAAUGUACGAAUGUUGGAAACUAGCUUAACAAAGCUGAAGAGAGUGGGAAUAAGUGUCGUUCCCACAGACGGCGCCAAAUGUUGAUGCACAAAAUCAGUGAGGACUUUGGUAUAACAAAAAGUGUUAAGUUUGUGACCUUCGCUAGAUUACUCCGGUCACUAGUGUGGAUAAGUAUGCAAAUGGAUAGGGACUGGGAAGCAAACAUAAGAUGUACGUGGUUCACCCAGAUUAGCUACGUCCACGGAGUAGAAGAGUUCUCAUUAAUUGUGAAGGGUUUACACAAGUACAUAGGUUCAAGCUCUCUUUUAGUGAGUACUAGUGAAUGAUUUAGUACAAAUGACAUUAGGUAAUAUUGUGGGAGAAUGAUCUUCUUUUAUAGAAGAGAGUUUAUAGCUUUGUUUUGACGUUGACACGUGUUGUGUUGUGAUUGGCUUCUGAUGUUGACACGUGUCGUGCUAUGAUUGGCUUCUGAUGUCAACACGUGUCACGCUGUGAUUGGCCUCUUGGUUGGAGGGAAACUCUUACGGGUUCUUGACGGUGUAACGUUGACUGGUGCUCAGUAGUUUCGGGAUUGGUCAAGUAUGGUACAAAGAAACUCAAAACUUUCUCAGUCAAUCUCUUUUUUUUUUCUUUGUUGAUUGUAAUGUUUGCACUCUUAGCAUCAAAGAUGAAUGUCUCCAGUUUAGUACAAUCGUCUAGAUCCAAUUACUCCAAAGAAAGAAAUUCAAUGUAACUUCCUGAGCAAUCUAGUGAGGUUUGGAAGAUUUGUUCAUAUGCACCUUAAAUGUUAUAAACUUCUUCUUCAAAAAAAAAAAAAAAAAAAAGCACUACAAAUGUCUCAAAUCCCUUCGAAUUCCUCAAUUUUUAAAAUUCUUUAAAAUCAAUUCUUAAUUUUUAUACACUAUGAAUAUUAUAAACUUCUUUAAAACCUUAAUUAAAUAUACCCAUAUUUUAAAGAAUGAAUGAGGAUCCUCUUCGGAUCCUCUUUAUGAGGAUCCGCUCCGGAAGAUCAUCAAAUCGUAUCCGUUCAUCAUACAUGCUGUUAGAAAUUAUUUUAAAUUUUUAUUUAAAAUUAAACAUGAAAAAUACUUAACGAAAGCUAACCGCACGAUGUACGAUAAACUGAUACGAUUUAAGAAUCCCAGGAUCUUAACAAAAAGAAUCCAAAGAGGAUCCUCAUUCUUUAAGAAUUUUAAUAAAUCGGCUUAAAAUCCUAACAUUGUUGUAAAAUCGACGGUGUGUGCAGUGGAAUAAAUAAACAAGACACAAAAUUUACGAGGUUCCUCUACAGUCAGUGUGACUGGAGUACGUCCUCGGGUCAGCAGUGAUGCUUUCAUUAUAAUCUGAAAUAAUAAGAGUACAAAGAUAAGUCUCUCUAUUAUCUCCUCUCCUCUUCCUCAUCUUUUCUCUCUUCCUCUUCUCUCCUGUGAGUCCCUCCCUACUUAUCUCCUUGUAAUGCUCUAUUUAUAGAGCAAACAUUAUGAAAGCAAACAAAAAGUUCACUAUUUAACUUGUGAACCUUUACUAUAUACGUGUGGGCAAACAUACCCAUUGGUUUACAACACUCCCCAUUGGAUGCCCACAUAAGUCUUCAAUUAACUUGUUAAAAUCUUGAUCUGUUUUGGAUGCUCCCCCUGAUGAGUAUCUCCCCUUGAUCUCAAAACAUUUAGGCUGAUCGUUAAUCAUUCUACUUCAGUCUCUCAGCAAAAAGAGUUACCAAAAUAGGUGUUUUACUUAUUGUUAACUUUCCACAUGCUUGUUCUUGAACUGGGCUGGAGGGCCUUCUGCUAGACUUACCCCAAAGGUCUGAAAUUACUCAUUUUAUCUGGAGCGAAAUUUGAUUCAAGGGUGGUGGACACUUGAUUUUGAAUCGGACUUGUGAUUUCUUCAAGGACCUUCGAGGCUUGAUCUUGAAUGAAAUUGGACCAUGAGAAGCUUCACGUGGCAAGUGAUCUUCGGUUUUGUCGAGGAUGAAUCAACACGUGUUUGUUGCGCUUGUCUCCACAUGCUUCAAUGUAUCAUUUUCACUUACCUUACUUGCUCCCCUUGCUUAAGUAGUAUUUUCCCUGGUUUUUCCCCCAUGCAUGUGUGGCAUAUUCUCCUGCAGUAUUUGCCCUCUGAUGCAGGAGUAGAAUGCAACCCUUGCAUUUGGAUGGUUCAUCACUUCUUGGUGACUAGAAACCCAGCUCCAACAAUAGUUGAAAAUGACUACUCGAGAGCUAGGUAAGCAAUCAGGAAAGGUUCCAGGCAAUCAGAUCCUUACUGGGAGUUUGAGUGGAGGUUCCGACAUAUUGCUUUCUUUAUCCUUGUCUUUGCAGGUAAGAACAAGGACAAAGGAAAUGAUAGGGAGAUUGCAUGAUAUGAGAUAAUCUUACUCUCGUCCCUGAAGAUAUGAGAUAAUCUUGCUCUAGUGUGACUUGUUUGAAGAGGUAUUCUCGGAGAUGAAGAAAAUUGAGUAUUUUGAUAUGCUUUGUUGAAGAUGCAUUCUCGAAGAUGAAGAAGAGUUAGGUAUUCUUGCAGGUCUGCCUUGUUAUGGAUAACGGAGGUUGACAUAUAUAGAGAUUUCCCCAAUAACAGGUAGUGGUGUGGAUGUGGUUUUUUCAUCCACACUUGUCGGCAACAGUGUUGUAGUUGGAAUAGUAAGAAUUACGCAUUUUCAACUUUGUCAGAGAUCUUUGACAAAGUUGCACGCGAUAUCAGAAAAAGCUAAGAUUGCGUCUGAAAAAUGCCAACAAACUUUAUUCAGGAAAAUCUAGCUUUUGAAAUUCGGAGAGCGGUGCCUCUUCGAUCUCUGAACGAGUGGCUCUGUUGCCUCUUCUUUUAUAGAGACAUCAAUUGUUUUCAAGAGUAUGCUCAGAAAGUUGCUGCCUGUAGAAAUUUCCCCAUUCUUGCACUUCUAAAAUUUUAUUUGACCUCUUUUUUCCUUCAUCAUUUUUUAAAAUGACUUGCCCAUCUAACAUUCGCUUAGAUUUGAGUUUUAGGAGUGAUACAGACGAGCAACGUCAGGAUAAUAUAUGGCGUUUGUCCUUCUUAUCUUCUAAUGGUCAUUUUACGGUUGGGGACUCUGUGAUGAAGAAUAACAUGACCGCUACUGUGGUAGCUAGGAAUCUUCUCACUCCAAAAGAUAACAUGAUCCUUUCAAAACGGUGUGAUGAGUCGGCCGUUUAAGACUCAUUGGCUCUCAGUGUUUAGUGUGCUGGCUCUAUUUCUAAUAUGGGCCAACGCCUACUUGCUCAAAUUGGCCAAGUUGAAUCAUUGAUGGCUGAGGUGGCAAGUUUUAAACAAGAUAUCAGAGGGUUCAAGCACGAGAAUAGAGUGUUACACAUGCUUGCAAAUAAUUACUCGACAAGCAUGAAAAGAAAGCUCAACCACCUGCAAGAAUCUGAAAGUUCGGAUUCAAAGUGAUCACCAGAGGUUCGUUGCUAGAUUCCGAAAGCAACUGAUGCCUUCCUCUUCUGGUGUUUUGCUAAGUACUGGGGUGCCACAUGAUCAAUCUCCAGUGCAUCCCCCUUCUGGGGUACUUCCGAGUACUGAGGCUUCACAUGAGCAACAUUUGUGAAGGCUCCAUCAUGUUUGUUUGUUUUAACUCAUAUGUAUGUACAUAUCUGUAAUUUCUCGGAGAUAUUAAUAGAUAAGCUUUUUUUCAUUCAAUGUAUUGUGCCAAAUACAAUAAAGCAUAUACUUCACUAAGAUGUAGUACUUCUAGACCAAAUAUUAAUUUAUCUUUACCCUCACGAAGAUAAAUGAUCUUUCUUAGUGUCAACAUCAUUUGAGUAUUCAACUCAUAAUCUUCAAUCCAUAUGGUUCUUUUAAUAUUAUAAACAUCAUGGAUAAGAUUCGUGUUGGUAGAUUGUUCGAUCUGCAGUUCGAUACAAUAUUUCCUUCAACACUUCAGGAGUCCCAAUUUAAUAUCAUCAACUCUUCAGGAGUUCUAAUUUAAUGUCAUUGACUCUUGCAAGAGAUUUUAGUAUGUUGCAACAAUAUCAUAAUGAUAAUACUCACUAAGGCAAUUUAUACCAUCCAUUGGUAUUGAGUACAUAAUUUAUGCUUCACCCUUCGGGGGCUUACUUCAAGCAAUUUGAAUCCUUCAAGGAUUUUCUACACUUCAUGACACAUUUUCCUUUGGAAUUUAUACAGAGCAAUUUGCUCCCAUGUAUACUUAAGGGAUUUACUUAUGGAGAUAUGAUGUGUGUGACACAACCCUUCGUAUAUAAUUCUCCAUUCAUAUGAACUCGUUUACAAGAGUAUAAUUAGUAACCUUAUGUCAUAUCAUGUAAGUGUAAUUCACUGUAUUACAAAUGCCCAUAUGUAACCCCCUUGGUUCAACAUCUUUUGGCUAUUUGUAUUGUAUUCAAGUAUAUAGGUCCAUUUUUCCAUGUUCUUACAAAAUUGUAAUGGAAUUGCCUUUCUCCAUUUUUGGCCAAUAAUUUUUCCUUUUUUGUCAACGGAAAAAGAUUGAGACUCAAUAUCAACACAGCUCAUUGAUGAUUUUGUAGCUACUUAUAAAAACCAAAAUUACCAUUGGUUAUCAUCAAUCCGUAAUCCCAUAUUCUCAUGUUCAUGCGCAUGCAUAAAAGCUUUUCAUUUCUUUGGAUAUCCAUUGCCUCUUCAAAGACAUUACACUAUCUCUUCCAGGAUAGUCAUAAUUUAGAGAAUGCGAAUCAUAACCUCCUCUUAAGCGUUAUAGAGCUUGGAUUUUAAUCUCCACUUCCGGGGAGUUGAGUCAUUGGAACCUAUAUGUCUAUCAUGCUUCAUGCGCGAGACAUCAACAUUCCCAUAUCCGCAGAUUGUCGUAUAUCUAUGCGGCGACUGUCAUGCUUCUAGCAUGCAACAGUUAUGCUUCCGGAAUGCAAUAGUUUAGGAGUGCAAUAUUCUUCCUCUUUUGAAUGAAUGAACCUUUUGAGUCUAAGGGUCUGCCACGCUUCAGGUGUGCAACAGAUAAAUUAUUUACUGCCAUAUUAUUUUGUCCAACAGGGACAUCAAUUCUUGUAGACACAUUUGCAGCAAGUAUAUAUGAUUUCAUCACUUUCGUUGCAUCAUUCAAUUAUUCUUACUUCAUUUUCAUAUUGAUUGUUUCGUGAAUCAAAAUAAGACAAAUUCUCUUUGUUCUUCUGGAACGGUCUUUUCUUAUCAUUCUUCUGGAAUGAUAUUUUCUCAUUGUUCUUCUGGAACAAUGUUAUUUUCUCCCCCUAAUGGCAGGAAAACUGUCUUAUCAAAAUCAUAGUCCGCAAAUCAUGCGGUAAAUAUAUCCCCAGUUAAGGGUUCCAAAUGUUGAAUGAUAGAUGGUGGAUUGAAUUCAACAUAAAUUCCCAGUUUGUAUUGAUGCCUUAUUUUAGUACGUUAUGGCAGUCUUACAGGCACAUAGAUAACACAACUAAAAACUCGUAAAUGUUAAUGUUUGGCUGGUGCCCAAACACGAGUUGUACUGAGAAAUAUUGAUGGUUGGCAACUGGUCUCAACCAAAUUUAAUAAUGAAUUAUGUAAAAUUACAUGUCCCCAUGUCAAAACUGGGAAUUUCAUUUUCAUGAGCAGAGCGCGGGUAAUCAAUUUCAUCCGCUUAAUAAAUGUUUCUGCUAAACCAUUUUGAGUAUGGACAUAAGGAACUUCUGGUCCUUAUUAAAUAGUUUGUAGACUGAGAUUCUUAUGGCUUUUAUUACAAUUAAGUUGAGGCACUGUGGCACUUCAAACUUACAGUACUCAUCAAGGAAUUUCAUGUCUUGAUCUUCAGGAUCAAGGGAUUUCAUGCCUAAUCUUUUUAUAUGAUGGAACUUCAGGUCCAAUCAUUUUAUAUGUUGAGGAUCAAGAAACUGCAAGUUCUAAUUUGAUCAAUGAACUUCAGGUCCUAUAUAUACUCAUUGUAACAAAAGAUAGGUACAAUGAAUAAAUUGCAUUUAAGUAAAUAAAGCUUGUGACAAGGGCUUUAAUUCAGCACCAUUCACAUAAAUCAAAACUUAAACCAACAGGCGGUAAAACCGUCCAUGGUAAAUAAAUUGCUUUAAAGUAAAUAAAGCUUGUGACAAGGGCUUUGAUUCAGCACCAUUCACAUAAAUAUCAAAGCUUUAAAGUAAAGGGUAAUAAUUCUACCCACUGUAAAUAAAUUGUUUUAAAUAAAUAGAACUUGUGAAAAGAUUUUAAGCCAUCACCAUUCACAUAAAUAAAUAGUAUCAUAACCUUUUAUUUUGCCACUUCCUUUUGUCCCUUUUAUUUUUUAAUUAAUUUUUUUUCUUUCUGUCAGCACCAAGCUUCAAAACCUUUUCUUUUCUCACAUGCUGCACAAUUCCAAAAAAACAACUUUACCUUUUGUUUUCUUUCACAUGGUGCAACAUAUCUUUUCAAGGCUUUGGUCCCAUUUCCCUUUUUAUUUUUGUUUUCACAGUUCUGAAGUCAUUUUGGUUACUCAAGAAAUAAUAGUAACAAUAAGUUCCAAUUGGUGUUCCUCCUCCGUGAGUUUCGAAAAAGUCAAAACAGUUUCUAUAAGUUUUGGAGUCAAUAGUGUCUGCAACUUAUGAGAAGAUCAAACUAUUAGAUUUAGCUCAAAUUUUAGUAUGAAAUGGAUAAAAGGAUACCGAACAACUUUCAUGAAGAAACAAUUUCGAUUUGAGCUACAGAAAUGGAGUUGUGGUACUCAUAAGAUGGUUGUCCAGUUUUCUGCGGAAAUUGGAAACUGGUUUGGUAUUUCAGACAUCUGCGACGAUCGCACCGUUAAAGUUUUCUGAAAUUUAGAUAUGUUGUAGAUACUGAGCGGACGAACAACUUUCAAGAAGAAAGUAUUUCAAUCCGAGGUCCGCAAGUUGGAGUUCCGAGGCUAUUUACAUGGUUGUCAAAUGCUCUACGAAUUUUGAGUCUGUACUCUUUUGCUUCUGUAAAGAAUGAUAUACAGUCAUGCAACAACAUAUAUAUAUAUAUAUAUAUAUAUAUAUAUAUAUAUAUAUAUAUAUAUAUAUAUAUAUAUUUGCUUCAGGAAAAUCAUUAGUACAAAGAUUUUAAGAUGAAAUGAAAAAAAAUUCUUAUAUGUGAGAUUCUAGCUGAAGGAGGUGAACAUGAUUUGUGGCGCUAUGCUUUCCACUGACAUGAGAGCUUCUCGUGCUGAUAACGUGUUGUAAAAUCGACGGUGUGUGCAGUGGAAUAAAUAAACAAGACACAAAAUUUAUGAGGUUCCUCUACAGUCAAUGUGACUGGAGUACGUCCUCAAGGCAGCAUUGAUGCUUUCAUUAUAAUCUGAAAUAAUAAGAGUACAAAGAUAACUCUCUCUUUUAUCUGCUCUCCUCUUCCUCAUCUUUUCUCUCUUCCUCUUCCUUUCUCUCUUUUAUUUCUUUCUUUUCCUUCCUCGCUCUCCCGUGAGUCCCUCCCUACUUAUCUCCUUGUAAUGCUCUAUUUGUAGAGCAAACAUUAUGAAAGCAAACAAAAAAUUCACUAUUUAACUUGUGAAUCUUUACUAUAUACAUGUGGGCAAACAUACCUAUUGUUUUACAACAAACAUAAGUACCAAAUGCCAUCAAGAAUCUAUCGCUCCCCUUUGAUUUCAUUUUAAGCCAGACCAGAGAAGAUGAACGGCCCAUAACCUCAGACAGAAGAGGAACGUUUGGUUAUAUUCUGUUUUGUCGUUGGUUUCCCUCGGCUGCACCAGUCUCAGUACAACUCGGCAGCUCCUCCCUCUAGUCUACGCUGCCGGCAUCCCGGCUCCACCCUCCACCCGCCUUCCGUCCUUCCUCCGGCAACUGUUAAGUCCUUAUUCAGUUGUUCUUUUUCUUAUUUUCCUUUUUCUUGUAAAUUAAUUUAUAAGAUUGUUUCUGAAUUCUGAUAUUGUGAUUUUAGAUUUUUUUUAGGGAUUUUAGGACUUCAAUAAAUGCCCAGUUUCUAAUUUCACAUAAUUCCUAACUUUUAAGGGAUUUAAAGGUUCAGUUGAGUAAACAGUAAAGAUGGGAGUUUUGAAUAAUUUCACUUAAACGUCUAAUUUCAAAUUUGUGAAGCGCUCCGGCCGAAUUGUGCUUCCUGACUGGACGACGUUGUGAGUACGGCCACAUUCAAGGAGCUCGCAGCAUAUGAGCCUGAUUCGUACUACAUUAGAUCUGCGUCCAUGGCAAACGAAAAUCUACUUGACGGGUGGUCUUGGUGUUGGUGUCUUCUGCAGGAUCUAUGGAGGGAGCAAGAGGAACUGAAGGGAAACAGCGAAGCAUGCAACUCUUUUUGCUUUGCUUUUGCUUUUUUAACUAAGCUUCUUCUGGACACAACUGCCUAGUAGAAGAAAAAGUCGGGUUAUAAAGCACUUGCAAAGUAGAAAUUAUGCUAUGAAACGGAUGUUUCUUGAUCAUCAAACAACAAAGACUAAAAAGAUGAUGAACGACUUUCUGAAAACAAUUUUUAUAAUCUAAAACCUUGCUUGGUAUUGAGCUUAGAAACAUGCAAACAUGUAUGAUUUGCUUUGAAUUUCACUGAGACAUUUUAACAAACAUCAUACCUGCACACUUUGAGCCCCGCAGAAAAUGACAUGAAGAUCAAUUCUCUUGUUGAGUGUCUAGUGCCCAUAUCUAAAAUGUCAAAAACUAGUAAAUUUGUGUUUGGUAGUAAAGUUUUUGUAAUAUAAAUUUUAAGAUGGUAACAAUGGGGGUGGCGAUGGUGUUUGCGGCUAGAGUGGCGUUGGUGGUGGUGAUGGUGGCGUUGGUGGUGGGAGAUGGUGGUGACUGGCAUUGCCAUAUCUCCAAGGUGUCUAGAUUAUUCAAUCUUCCCAUAAAGAAAGAGAAAUGCACGAAUAAUUUACCUUUUCUUCGAAAAGAAAAUAUUGUACGGCAGUCUCAAGAUUCUUCUUCCAUCCCUUCUCUUCAGUUUCUUUGUGUUUUGUAAUACUUUCACUCUUACCAUCAAAUAUGAAUGCCCUCAGUUUAAGACAAUCUUCUAGAUGCAACAGCUUCAAAGACGGAAGUUCAAUAAAUAUAAUUUCCUGAGCAGAAUCUAGCAGGAGAUAUUGCAGUUGUAGAUGUUUUAGCUUGCAAAACCUGUUAUCCAUACUUACAUCACUAUAUUCUUCGUUUGCUACAAUCUCUUCCAUUUUCUGAAUUUGGAUACCUCAAGAUGUUUGAGUUGUACAAGACUUCUAGCCAUGGAACAAGAAUCUAAAACCGUAAAAGUUCCGUAAGCCCGGCAGUUUCAUUCACCAUAAUGAUUUCUUCGGCUUUUGUAUAUGUUGUUAGUUGUUUUUGAGUCCUUGCAGUUACAACAGAGGUGCUGCGGUUGGAGAGAAACCUAUAAACUUUGGUAGAUUCCACAACGUCAGAGAUGGUAAUUUUCAAAACUAACGAGGUUAUAAAGAGAUAGUGACUCCAAAUUUGGAAAGAUAUAGCCAACAAUCACCAACGUGGAUGGUGUAGCUUUUCAACUUAUCCGAGAACAUGUAUGUUUAAUGCAGUUAGCUGAGACAAGUGCUUCGGCAUCAGGAACAUUAUUUCUUCCAUCGACCAGACCUUCCACCCUUCCAUUGCUCAAUGCUGUUUAUUCCCGUUCUCUAGUCUUCUAGUCUUUUCAAGCUUGAUGAAACAUUAGGUGGAAUCAGUACAAUCUCAGAGCAACCACUCAAAUCUAACCGUAGACGAGUCAGUUGCUCUGUUUCAUCAUGCAACUCUUUAACCUGGGAGUGGGCAAAGAAUUUUCAAGUUUCUUAGCUCUCCAACUAGAACAAUAUCCCCCAACACGCACUGAUCUAAGCACAAUGUUUGAGGAAUUGGUAGGUAUUUAAGAGAUGGAGAUAAUGAUGGAAAAUGAAGCACAGUUAAAUCCAACACUUUGAGCUCUUUCAUCUCUCCGCGAUUCUUCUUCGCAAAGUCAAGCUGAAAAUCUUUUUGGGUAUGCAUCUCAUAUACACAUUUCGCUCUCUAGAUGUCAAAAGUAAAUUACAAGUCGGUGCCCGGCGAAGUCCCACAAGGUCCAAAUGAAUUCUUCCCAAAACAUCAUCUAAAAUAACAAGUGUUCUCGUCUUUUAUCCUGUCCCAUAAACAAUUUGCCCUUACCGCCAUACUCUGAGAUUCAUCAGCGUGCAUACCGAACUUUUCGGCAAUUUGAUUCUGAAUUUUCUCCAGGUCUUCUUUUUCUUUGACAUUCAGUAUUAUAACCACAUCAUCAUAUAACUUAACUUGUGCAGCUUGUCUGAAAACUUGUUUGGCAUCAAAUUAGAGGACAAAUGAAGCAUGUGUUCUUCAAGUGACUCCUUAGGUUCGAAGGUUGAUUCUGUAGUGAAUUACGAAUCCCACUUAACGUCCAACUGGAAAAACUGGGUACUUGAUUAUUUUUCCGACGACCUUGGGAAUAAUUGAAGGUAAGUCGAAACUCCAUGCCACUUUCAGUUUAGUAAUAUAUCUGUUGAACAUAAACGAAGCCAAAAACAUGGAAAAAGAUGUAGAAAUUUAUGCAACAAAAUAAAAUGAAAAUUUGAAAGACAAGAAUAAAAUGUGAUUGAAAUUGAAUAAUGGAACAGAAGACAUACCUUAGCUCGUGAGAGCGAGACUAACGGCAAAGUAAAAGCAAAGUGAAGGUGAAUGACAACAGCAAUUGCAAAGUUGAGUUGUGAAAUGAAAUUAGAGGACAAAUGAAGACAAGUGAAAUAAGUGGGGUUUACCGUAUUAAAACAAAGUUGGAUGAGUUGCUAUUUAGUAAUACGGUUUAGCUGUAUUUUUCUUUAUUUGUAAGCGAGAAGUCUUAGGUUCCAAUUCAUUCUUCCCACCUUUAGUUAAGCUCUUUAUGGCCUGAUAUUGUGUUUAUUGAUGCUCAAUAUUCAUCUCAUUUCUGCACCUGGAGUCCAAUGUGAGAUAACUUGCAUAAGAAUCUUUUUUCUUCAAGCUCUCAAAAUUACUCAUUCCACACAUUGUAGAAAGAUGGUGAUGGUCGAGCCUUAACAAAGGGAAGUUGCGCCUGUGAAUUUUGGUUCUCUUUCGAAAUAAUUUUUUUUAGGGAGGUGGUAGAGAUCGUACGGUCAAACGAACUGAUUAAGGUAUGGAUGACGGGGAUUUGAUAUGAGGAGGCAAGAAAGUGGCUUUCAAAAUUGAAACAUCAGUGGUGUAUUUUGUGGAGAUUAUACCUAUACUAAAACCGAGUUCAAAAACACCGUUCACCAACUGGAAAAGGACAAAAAACUGAGUUCAAAAACAUUGAAUGGACAUAAAGGGUGCGUUUGGUACGCAGACGGGACGGGACGGGACGGAACGAAGGUGUAAUUUUUGAAAAAGACCUGGGGUAUAUUUAUCUUAAAAUGGUAAAACAUUGUGUUCCACAGACGUGGAACAAACCCGUUCCAGGGGGGGAGGUGGAACGCAAAAACACCCAAAAUCUGUCCCGUGGAACAGCCCGUUCCACCCAUUUUUGGCGCACCAAACGCGGGACGGAACGCCUCGUCCCGUUCCGUCCCGUCCCGUCCCGUCCCGUCCCACGUACCAAACGCACCCAAAAGGCCCCUAAGUUGCUCUCCAUUUCUUUUUUGGGUUAAUUACACAAACACUCCCUGAUAUUGAUUUAGUUUUCACAAAACCCAUCACUUUUGAGACAUUACACAAAUACCCCUCACGUUUUAGUGCCCUUUCAUAUAACCCCUUGAGUCAAAAUUUGGCUUAUGAAUUUAUGAUUUACCCUUAUUAAUUACUUGAAACUAAUAAAAGAACUUCAUUAUUAUAUAAAAAAAGUUAUAAAACAUUAAACAUUUAAAAAACAAGAAGAAAACCAUGUGGACAAAACAAAUUAAGAAAAAAAAUUAAUUAUUACUUUGAAAAUAAUAUUUUACUAAAAAAGAAGUUGUUCAUGUUCUUCUUUCCCUCCCACCCGAUCAAGCAACCACCUCCAUCUCCAUGUCCUCAUUCUUCUUCCAUCACCACCACCCAUUCAAACUUUCAACAAACCAAAAAACGAUCAUUCUCUAAUAAAAUAAUAAUUUAGUAAUCAAGAUCAUAUCCCUUCUAUUUGAUUCCGCACUAAAUUAGGAAUUAAAAAAAAUCAUAGAAGCCGCGGAGAAGGGUCUAUGGAAGCGGGGGAAGUCGGGGGAGUGGAUGACUUUGGAGGCUGAUUGAAAAUGGAAGGGAGGGGAGAUUUGGGGGAUUGAGAGGGGUUGAGAGACGGGGGAGAUUUGUCCACAUGGUCUUCUUCUUCUUCUUGUUUUUUUUUUUUUUUUUUUUUAAGUAUUUAAUGUUGAGAGCUGCAAUAAAAUGUUAUUUUCCCACCUUCUAUUAUUCCUAAAAUAAUCUUAUAUAUAUAAUUAGAGAUAAACUUCUCUUAAAAAAAAAAAGAAUAUAAACAAAUAAUAUUACUCUCUUCUAAAAGCCAAAAAAAAAAAAAAAAAACAGUUUAGUUUCCAAAUUCCAAUUGGGGUGAGAAUGAAGAAUUCUAGGUUUUCAUUCUUUGCUUUUCCCAUUUUAUUUUCUUUUUCAUAUGCAUUUUCCAUUUUUUCCACAUAUGUUGGAGAUGACUAGCGGUCGUCACCGUAAUGCAGCAGCACCAGCAAAAGAUUGUGACGCCGUUGGUGGAACCUCCCCCGCCCUCACUAUUGCCUCGCUGGACCCUCCCUCCGCUCUAUGUGGGAAUUGUUUUCCGUAAACAAAUUUACCCUAACCUAAUGAAAAUGAAUCCGAGGAAUUGUCAUAGGAAAACGUGAAACAAAUUACACCCUAACCUAAUGCAAAUUCAAAUAAAAAGUCACAGAGCUAUGCUUCAAUUGUACGAUGUCGACAAAUCAAGAUAACUCACAUAAAAUUAUCUUUUAUCUCUUCGACGGAAACAUAAUCAUCUACUUCUUCCAUAGAAACGUCAUCUUCUAAGUUCAUUCUUUUUGCUUUCUCUAAGUGAUUUUGUUUUCUUUGAAUGAAAGCAGAUGGGAAGGAUGAGUUAGGGUUUAAGAAAGACAAAUUUUAUAAACAUAGCGUGAAAGUUAUCAUGCCCAAAUUUUUUUUUUAAUAAAAAAAAAAGUAAUGCAAAAGGGGGUAACUAUGUGACAACCCGUCCCUAGUUCUAGAAUUUUAUAAAUUUUAAAGGUGUGAAUUUACGAAAAUGCCCUGAGAGGCGAGGGUAUUGACUUACGUUGACCAACGUACAAUGAGACGUAUGAAAUAUUCCUUUAGCGUAUUUAUGUAGUACUCGACAAUACGGCCACGUAGAUGCAAGUAAAAGCAGAUUGGGGGAUUGAUAUUAUCAUUUAUUAUUUUAUACUUUUUUAAGUACCAUUACAUUAUUUUAAGAGUAACUUUGGUAAGAAUUGAGGGAAGAAGAAGAGAAAGAAGAAGGGGGAACGGGAGAGAGCAGAAAGAAGGGCUGCUGCCCAAUCAGAGGAGAGGAAGAGAAGAGACUAACCAACCAGAGAGAAGAGAAAGGAAGGAAAGGAGGGAAGGUGAGAAGGAGGGAGAAAUCGGGUCUCCUCCUUGACCCGUGCGACCCGGCCGAGUAUCAAGGCCAAAUCCGUGCAUUUGCCGGCCAAUUCCCACUGAAUUGUGUUGAAUCACUUCCUGGAAAUACUACCCUAACCCUCUCCUUUUCCAUUUUCAUCCCAAAAUUAGAAGAAUUUGGUGGUAUUUUGAAGGAAAAACCGACGGUGGGCUGUGUGGGUGUAUGACGACAAUCCGUAAAAAUUGAAGCUAACCCAACCAAUUACCACCACCCGUAGACUCCCCUCAACCUCAGGAACAAAUCCCAAAAACUUGUGGAGGCGUCGGAGUGAGCAUGGAGGUUGAAUCGAAGCACACCUUAUUUAGGGUUUCCGACGGAUUUAUGUAAAAUUGAGGUGUUUCUCGGCCAAAUUGGCCUUGGUCACAGGUAUGAAACUUACUCUACUCAUUGAGAUCUUCAUUUCUAUAAAUUUUGGUAAUUUUUGAAAAUAGUUGGAUUUUCCGGUGAAUUGGGGCGGCCGACCGCCACCCACAGCGGCGCGUGGCCAAGGGACCGUCGAUGCUACUCUUAGGUUAAAUUAGAUGCCUUGAGUUCAGUUUUGGUAAUUGUAUAACGUAGGUUGAUCGUUUGAACCUAAAUCCCUUAUGAUACACUACUUGGUAAAAUGUGAAUCGACGAUCCGACCUUUGGAUCGUCACCAAACUUUAAUACAUUAUAGUACAUAAUAUUUAAGGACCAUAGAAACUUACAGAUCAAGAAUCUGAUGUACGGAUCUUCCCAAAUUGGAUUUGUAAGUUCAUAAAAUAAAAUGUUGACCGACACUUGGUUUUUGGCAAUUGACGGAGAUUCGACCGUUAGAUCUAAUGAAAUUUUAGGAUGUUGUUCUAGAAGCAUAAUGUGUAUCUUUGGAAGUAAUGGAUCGGAAAUCAGUGCUGUAGAUUUUCCGGAUCGAAUCUUAAGGGUGUGUUUUAUGUAAAUUAUGUAUUCUAUCGAAAAGAAUUCUGAGAUGUGAUUUGAUAAUUAUUCUAUAAGCCGAUCGUUCGUGACUCCUCUAUGGGUGUGCUAGGGAGUUGUAGCGUAAACUCCAGGUGAGUGAGUCUUUUCCUUUCUAUCGUGUAUAUAUAUAUAUAUAUAUAUAUGAUUGAUAAUUCCAUAAACGUUUAUAAAUUGAUUAUUGCUUACAAUUACUGUGAAUGUUUUGAAGUAAUUAUUAUGAACUACAAAUGUCUUGAUCCCUAUUUAGGGUACGUAGACAGUCUAAUGAGAUGUUAGAUGCAUCCAUUCAAUAAAUGAGACUAAAUAAUUGAGACAAUAGCCUUGUUUAGGGAAUUAAGUAAUGUGAGGGACAUUGGUGGAAAAUGUGAGAUUUAACCUUAUGAAUUAGUGGUUAAAUGUUAGUCAUAAAUCAAUAUGUGAAGAAUCAAGAAUUUGAAGUACAGAAACGUAAUUAAUGAUAGUUAAUUAAACUAGUGUCUAGUUGGGCUUAUCACCGAUAAUUAUUCCCGAAAAUAAAUAGUUAGGGCGUUACAGCUUAUGCAUUUUUAUGCCAUUAUAUAUAUAUAUAUAUAUAUAUAUAUAUAUAUAUAUAUAUAUAUAUAUAUGUAUGUAUAUAAUUGAAAAUACUAUAACAUGUUUGAGUAUUAGAUUGCAUCAUGGUUUAUCUAUAUGUAUAUUACCUGCACAUAAUUAUUGUGAACGCUUGAAGUACAAAGGUGAACACAGGACACCUGAAACGCCCCGGCCCCGAAAUAAUAAUUUUCAGGAAUUAAUUUUGUUGAUAGGCCCAAAUUAAAAUCAUAGUUAAUUUAUUUUCAUUAAUCAUAUUCCUCUAAGUCAAUAAUUCAAAUCCUUACAAGUUAUCCAUAUUUUCUUAAAUGUCAAAAACAUAACCUUAAAUUAACAAUUGAAUUCAUUAUCAUUAAUCAUCAUUCUCCAAAUAAUUUCCUUCAUCCCACGGGUAAUUCAUAACCAUUAUUCAUUUACCAAAACAUACAAUUUAACUUCGUUAGAACCAUUUCCUUCUCUUAGGCCAAAAUUCCAUUUUAAUAUUAAUUCUCGAUUAUUUAAUCUCACUCAUUUUAUGGUUGCAUCUAACGUCCUUGUUAGACUGCCUAUGUACCCUAAACAGGGAUCAAGCCAUUCGUAGUUCGCCAAUUCAAAUUUAAUUAAAUUUCAACAUUUCUACAAAUAACUAAUAAUCACUAUCUAGCUUCAAACAAGUGUAUCACACCAAGUGCUUACAAACUUUGGUUUCAGAACAUCAAAAUUAGCUUAAAAAUACGAUGUCGACUCAUUGGCCACGCGCCGCCUAUGGCGGUCGGCUACCCCGAAUUGUCGAAAAAUAUCAAUGCGUGGAGCAAGUUUCAUACCUGUGGCCAAGUCCAAUUUGGCCGGGAAACACCUCAAUUGGCCACGAACCGCGCGGAAACCCUUGUUUUUUUCGGUGUUCUUGAUUCAUCUUCAACACAACUAGAGAAUCUCUAGUACAAUUUGGUCGGAGUUGUGUUGAAGUCGAAUCAAGAACACCAAAAAAAAACAAGGGUUUCCGGCGGUUCGUGGCCAAUUUGAGGUGUUUCCCGGCCAAAUUGGACUUGGCCGCAGGUAUGAAACUAAGUGUAGUGGUGGUGGUUAUUGUCCAAGUUAGCUUCUGAUUUGGUGAAUAUUCACCCAAACCGUCGCACCUCCGUGGGAUUCUUCGUAAAAUCGAACCUCAUUUCAUAUGUUUUAGGGUGAACUUGGGAGGGGGAUCGAUUGGCCUUGAGGUAAAGGUCAUUUUGACACCAACCCUGAUGUCAACGAUCGCCAGAGCGGGGAGAUAGCACUGGGUCGGGUCGGUGGUUUCAUUGGAUCCGGUUUGGUCAGCUCCUCCCUUUCUAUAUAUAUAUAUUUUUUUUCUUUUUCUUUUUCUCCCCCUCCCCUUCUCCUCCCACUACAACCCUCAUUUCUCUCCUUUUCUUUAUUCCCUCACCAACCACAAUAUGACACGUGGCACCCUCACAGCUGCUCCAACAAUUCUGAAGCCUUCUAGAUUCAGGGGAAAUUGACAAUUUUGCCCCUUACCUUUGUUCGUUUCUAUUUCACUCGUUAUAACUCCGCUUCACGCACGGUUUGCGCCUACGCGUUCGAGAGACAGGGCUCUAUUCAAAAAUAUAAUUUGUGACCUCGAAAGGUCUACGGAUUUUAAAUAGUUAAUUUUCAAACUUUAAACCUCGUAACUUAACUCACAUCAUAAAUUCUCGAAAAAUCAUAUAAAAGCUCAAUAAUACAAAUACGUUAAUUAUAAUAAUUUCCCAAUUCUAUUUCUAUAACCAUAAAUUGAUUUAUUUUCAAUUUUCUCCACGUAUUUACAAUUAUGAAUAUCUAAUUCAUAUAUUUAAAUUUUCAGGGUAUUACAUUCACCCCCCCCCCCCGUUAAAAUAAAUCUUGUCCCCGAGAUUCCAACCAUCGAAUUACAAAAGAAAUUUGAACCAUUCCCACCAUUCCUUUAAUGGUGAAUCAGUCUACAAUUUUAUUCAAGCUUUAUAAAUAAAUAAUUGGGUAAAGUACAAAAAACUACCUCAACUAUUGGUCUCACGACACUUUCAUACCUCUUCUUUUUAAAAUGACAAUGUCAUACCUCAUCUUACGAAUUUGUGUCAAUGUCAUUACACCGUCAGUUUUUUUGUUAUUUUCUCUGUUAAGUGCUGACUCGCUUAAAUAAAUUAAUAAAAUAUUAAAAAAUUAAUUAAAUAUAAUAUUUUAAAAUAUAAAAAAAAAAAAUUUAAAUGGCCUAAGGUGCGAGCCUGCCCUUUCCUCCACCCGCACCAACCUUCUUCUUCUCUUCGACAUCCAUCAAACCCAGAAACCUUCCUCCACCCGUCCCCCAAACCUUCCCCAACCCACAUCCAUCCCCCACAUUUUCCCUUCCCCUACCUCUUCCCGUUCCUUUCGAACGCAAACCCUAACCCUAAUUCCCCAUUUUCAAACAGAAGCCCUCGACCCUAUCACUCUGAUUCUCUCACAGAACCCUAACCCAUAUCAGCAUCCAGUUCCCCUGAGGUUCGCCACCGAGAGCUACUCCAUAGAGAGAGGACUUAGAUAUAAAGCCUACGCGGAACUCAAGGAAUCAUGGCUAAGGAGGAAGUACAUGAGCCCAGAGAAGUCCAAAGAACCUGAAUCGAAAUUGACCCUAUGGAAGAAACAAGUCAAAUUUCAGACCCAUCUGACCGAUUCAUGAAAAGGGUCUUCCGUUCUUGCUCAAUCGAUGCCUGAUUUCUCAACCGUGUUGCGGAAAGAGAACCACAACCCAUCGUCGAGGCUUCUGUCAAUGCAGGAGAUAACUCUGCCAGCGAAGAGUUAAGCGAAAGAGGAGGACGGGGUUUUGUCGAAUUCAAGGGGGAGUAAAUCAGCGAUCGCGUGAGAAAAGAGGUACAACCCACCCUCUCUCUCUCAUCUCUUUCUCACCUUUCUCCUCUCUCGCCGAACAUUUGCAUCCCCAAAACCCAGAAACCCUUCCUAUCAUUCCCACCCGUCCCUCUCAACCUUCAUCCACCAUCAUCUCUCUUUCCUUAGUGGCCCGAAAAUUGACGAAACGUUGACACUUUUUCUCCCCAAUGCCAUGAACUCCCUAUCCUCCCCCACGAAGCUAUUAUGCGUCCUACCGUCGGUAAUUCCGAAGCUUGGAUUCUCCGCCAUCAAAACCCUGUCGUCAUCCUCGUCGAGCUCGAGAUGAAGCAUCUGCUCGCUACCCGCCACAUCAAUAUCCGGCGAUGUCCAUGCCUGAGUGGUACACACUCAUCUGGGAGCAGAAUCUGACGAUGUCCGACUCACUCAUCGGCGACUCGGCGUUCUCGAACGAGUCGAAGAUUUUUCGAUCGUCGCGGUUCAAAAUGAGUAGGGUGCAGGAAGAGCUGCAGGUAGCCCAGAUAGAGAGAGAAGAGAAAGAGAGAAAGAGAAAGAGAAAGAGAAAGAGUGACGAGAGAAAUGAGGGAGAAGGUGGUAGAGGAAGGUUGGGGGGACGGGUGGGGAAGGUUAGGGUUUUCUGUUUGAAAAUGGGGAAUUAGGGUUAGGGUUUGGGUUCAAAAGGGUCAAGAAGAGUUAGGGGAAGGGAAUAGGUGGGGGAUGGGGGUGGGUUGGGGAAGGUUGGGGGGAUGGGGAAGAGUUUGGGGGUUGUCGAAGAGAAGAAGAAGGUUGGUGCGGGUGGAGGAAAUGGAAGGCCCGCACCUCUAGGCCAUUUUAAUUUGUUUUGUUUUUUUUUAUUCUUAAUUUUUUAAUUUUUUAAUAUUUAAUUAUUUUUUUUAUCCAGUAGGAUUAGUGAGUGGGCCCCGUCUCUAGCCACGUCAGCACUUAACAGAGAAAUUAAUAGAAAAACUGACGAAGGUCUGACAUUGUCACAAAUUCGUAAGUUGAGGUAUGACAUUGUCAUUUUAAAAAGAUAAGGUAUGAAAGUGUCGUGAGACCAAUAGUUGAGGUAGUUUUUUGUACUUUACCCUAAAUAAUUUAACGAAAUAACAAUCUAUUAAUCAAACAUUUGCCUUCAUUUCAGUACCUACUUUUCUAGCCUUGUCAGCACCUGUCACACGCACACUCAGCUUUGCAGAAAUUAUGGGCAUUCUGUCGAAGACUUCUGGUGAAGUAGAAAGCACAUCAAUCUUACUGUUCAAUCACCCACUUCCCACACGCAACAAUAGCUCAUGGGUACCACAGAUAACUUUGCCAAAGUUCUCUGCCAAAGUUCAGCACGUGAAGCUUGCAGCUCCCACUACAUCGCUCUGACCAAGAAAGGUAAAAGAAUAGCAAAGAAACAGCACUAACAAAGUUUAGACACAUAAAUUUUGAAGGUCUAGCUACCAUAUUAUUACCUACAAGGGUAAAGGAACAGUACCACUAUUGGAUAAUUGGAAAGUCCAUGUGUGUCAACCUCUGUGCUUCGUGGUAAGGUAGACUAGCAAACAUGCCCAACCUUUACUCACAUUCGAGAAAACACUCCCAACAAGAUUGCUUGCUCCAAAAUCGAAGAGGCACCGUCCUCCAAAUCUCGAGAGCCAGACUCCCAACAUGACUACUUUCUCAAAAUCGAAGAGAGGGUAAAGGAACAGUACCAUUGCUGGAUAAUUGGAAAGUCCCUGUGUGUCAACCUUUGUGCUUCGUGGCAAGGUAGACUAGCAAACAUGCCCAACCUUUACUCACAUUCGAGACAACACUCCCAACAAGAUUGCUUGCUCCAAAAUCGAAGAGGCACCGCCCUCCGAAUCUCGAGAGCCAGACUCCCAACAUGAUUACUUCCUCAAAAAUCGAAGAGACACUGCUCUCUGAAUCUCGAGAGCCAGACCCCCAGCAUGAUUGCUUUCUCAAAAAUCGAAGAGGCAUCGUUCUCCGAAUCUCGAGAGCCAGAUACCACAGACCACUUUUUCAAAGUGCUCUGACAGAGUUAAAACAUGUGAAACUGGCAGCUCCCACUACCGUGCUAUGACCAAGCAGGGUAAAGGAAUAGCAUUACUACUUGUUGUUAGGGAGACUCAUAUAUAUGUCGACCUCCAUCCCCAACGGACAGGCAGACCUGCAAAAAUGCUCAACCCUUCAUCAUAUCUGAGAGGGCACUCCCAACGAAGCCUUUCGAAAUAUUCAGCUUUCUUUCCCCCCGAUAAUACCUCUGCAAACAAGCUUUACUAGAGCAAGAAUAUCUCAUAUCAUCAGGGUUAAAAGCAAGAGUAUCUCAUAUCAUGCUUUUUCCCUGUCUUUUCCUUUGGCCUUGUUUUUACCUGCAAGACAAGGAGAAAGAGAGCAAUCAGUCAGCACUUGGAAUCAAGCUUCCAGCCAGGAACUGAUUGCCUGGAACCCCGUACCUGAUUACUUACCUGGCAUUGCUCUCGAGUACUCAUCUUCAACAUCUUAUGUUUCCAGGGAAGAUUCCGCAUCUGCUUGAGGAACAGAUAGGGCAAGUGCGAAGGAUACAAGGAAGCAUGUGGAGACAAGCGUAACAGCACACGUGCCGAUACAUCCAUUACUCUGUCAAAAGCAAAAGUAUCCCAUAUCAGCAGGGUGGAACGUACUUUAGAUUUGAUGGACUUGUUUUGACCCUCAAAUUCUUCAGUCGGCCUUAUACUCUGGAGGAAACCAGAAAACCCUCCAGCUCAGUUCAAGAAUAAGCCUGUGGAAAGUUACUUCUUCAAAAGCAAAAGUAUCUCAUAUCAUCUCUUCUCAUUUUUCUUCUCUUUAUCCUUCAUGCUGCUGCAAGAUGGGGAGAAGGUGAACAAUUAGUCGGAGCUCUGAUUGCUUACCUUGUCUGUCACAUCUUUCAGCAGACCCCCUAGCUCGGCGACUUGGGGGACUCCUACUACAUGGUUUGUAUCGCGCUUGACCAAGCCUGAAACUACAAGUAAGCUUCAAGUGAAAUUGAUACAUUACCUUGUGCAUCUCCACCAGUUAAAAGAUACCACCCCUGGAUGGAGGAAGAGUACUUCCAGAGAAGAUGCCACAUCUACCUAUGAGACAGAUAAGGCAAGUCAAGACGACACCACACUCCGAUACUUAGAAGUUUCGUGAUUACGAGAUCAUUCUCCCAUAAAUAAUUUUCCUAAUGUCAUUUGUACUAAAUCAUUCACUUGUGUACUCACUAAAGAAGAGCUUGAACCUAUGUACUUGUGUAAACCCUUCACAAUUAAUGAGAACUCUUCUAUUCCGUGGACGUAGCCAAUCUGGGUGAACCACGUACAUCUUGUGUUUGCUUUCCUAUCUCUAUCCAUUUAUAUACUUAUCCACACUAAUGACCGGAGCAAUCUAGCGAAGAUCACAAAAAAGCGACCGUUUUCGCUACCUAGGAUCUAUCUUGCAAGAGAACGGAGAAUUAGAUGGAGAUCUCAACCAUAGAAUACAAGCUGGAUGGAUGAAGUGUAAGAGUGCAUCCGGCGUGUUGUGUGACCGUCGUAGGCCACUGAAGCUCAAGGGAAAAUUUUAUAGGACGGCAAUAAGGCCAGCGAUGUUUGUAUGGCACAGAAUGUUGGGCGGUGAAGCAUCAACACGUACACAAAAUGGGUGUAGCGGAGAUGAGGAUGCUUCGUGGGAUGUGUGGGCACACGAGAAAGGAUAAGAUUGGGAAUGAGGAUAUCCGAGGUAAAGUAGGAGUAGCCGAAAUUGUAGGAAAGAUAAGAGAAAAUCGGCUCCGGUGAUUUGGACAUGUGCAAAGAAGGCCGACUGACGUUCCGGUUCGAAGAUGUGAUUACGGGACAGAGGUUCAGGGCCGAAGGGGUAGAGGAAGACCUAGGAAAACUUUGGAAUAGACUCUAAGAAAAGACUUAGAGUACUUGGAUCUAACGGAGGACAUGACACAAAACCGAGCGCAAUGACGUUCUAGGAUUCAUAUAGCCGACCCCACUUAGUGGGAAAAGGCUUUGUUGUUGUUGUUGUUGUAUAUUUUUUUCCUAUAACUUCCUAAGCCAUUAUACAACAUUAUAUAACUUCUAUUUCACUUAGCACUUGGAUUUGAAUUUAAGUUGUAGUUUUUAAAUAAUAAAUUAUGUUUGGCCCUAUAGCUCUUUGACUCUCGGUUAGAAACGGUUUUUUGUGACAUGGCUAAAACGAGCCCUCUGGCCCUCUGUUAGAGACGGAGGCAAAUAUGACCAUGUUCAUUAAAAUAUUAAUAUAUUGAAAGAUAUUGGAGGGCUAAAACGAGCCUCUGCUCAGCUAUGGGUUGGAAAUGGCCUAAACGGCGCUACUUUGCCGGCCGGCCUUAGUCAGCCGAAAAGCAAAGAAGAUCACGUUCAAACUCAAUUCCCUUGACUCGCUGCGAGCUCUGAGGCACCUCAACGCUUCCCAAUCCGCCGGCGUCAGAGCGCUCACCACCUGUUCGUCAUUAAUCCUCAAACAGUCUAACCCACUUCUCUCUCCCUCUCCAUCGCCGUCUGCCUUCGCACCGUCGCACAAUCUGCAUGUCGUUCGAACUUCUAGAACAGCCGCGAUCUCAGGUAAUUUACCCUUUUGUGUGUAUUGGGUUGGUGGGUUAUUGGUAAAAUCUGAAUUGACUUGCAUAUUUGGUUUGGAUUUUUCGUGUUUGUGGUUGUUGAAAUUAUGGUUUGUUUUUGGGAUUUUAUGGAUUUUAUGUGAAGUCAGUGGUGAAAUUUGGAUUCCAGUGAAGUCGGUCGUGAAAUCCCUGGAAUACCAAAACCGAAAAACCUCGAGAUCGUUCAAGUUCUACUGCCGUUAUGCAGGUAAAGCUUCAAUUUCCAUUUAAAAUUUUCCCCGUUGAGGUAAACUCUCUGCCAAAAACUUCUAAUUCAUCCUUUAUUUCUUUUUUCAUCUGGGAAUUUUUUUUAUGGAUUUAUAUAUAUAUUUUACUGUUGAAUUCGAACUCGAAUCUGAAUUACGGAUUCAGAAAAAACAAAUUGAAGAAUUUUUUAUUUGCGUGUAUGUCGGUCCUGUCACCGCAUGAUUUGAUAAUCCGACCGCGAAGCUAAUCAUUUCUGUUUGUUUUUGGGGUUGCAGACCUGGACUGUCGAAGGGAGAUGAUGAAAAGCAACUGCAGACCUGGACUGUCGAAGGGAGAUGAUGAAAAGCAACUGCAGGAAAGCAGCAAUGGAGACCCGGCAGCAGCAUAUUCAAGUCUAUCUGGGUAAUGUCAUGGCCUUCGACCCUCAUCACAGCUUCCCUUCCAUCCCCUUCUCUAAGUUAUUUUUCUCUACUUAUUCAAUAUAUCUCUAUUUUCUGGUAAUAUUUUUGUAUACUUCUGGGCCUUUUGAAAUGAUUGCUUUUGAGAAAUUAAUUGAAUUUUACGUUUGGAAAUUAGGAUUUUAUUUGGAUUAAUCCCAUCAGUAAAGUGGCAGUCUUUAAGUGAAAUAGUGAAUUUUUCGCACUAUGCUGAUGGGUUUUUGUUCACUGGGUGAAAUUCUGAUUUGUUUUUUCAUGGUAUUUAGGGAGGAAUUAAUGAAGGAAUGUAUAACGAAAGGGACCGAGUUGGUUUAAGCUAUUGCGAAUAGUCUUUUCAACUCACAUUCAAUUGAAGACAUAGACAGUCCCAUUGUGCAGUUGUUCGCUUCCUGAAACUAAACUGCCAAGAUAGAAGCAUCUAAGUCAUUCCUCUUAGUUUACGAUUCUCCAACGAUGUUUUUUGGUAGGUUAGAUCAUGUAUAUGAGCAUUUGAUAGUGAAUAUUUGUGUGGUGCUUCACAAUUGAAAAUAAGUGGAAUGGUAGUUUCAGGUAACUAUCGAGAUUUUUGUUGAUCCCCUUUUGUUGUGCUGCCAAUUUAUGGUUCCUAUCAUAUGGUUGACUAAAAUGUUAGUGCAUGCAAAAAGGCUGUUGAUGAUGCUGGUUUUUUUCUGUAACCGAUUUCAGAGUUGCUAUUGUAUUCUUCGCAUAAUCGUCUGACUGCCAAUGGCAUAUUCUUUUGUUUUCUACAGCUGCCAGUGCCUAAACCUCCAACAAAAUGGGAAACUUUUGCCAUAACAAAAGGUAAAUCAUUACUGAUACUAUAGGAGUCGAACAGUACCUUUCUUCCGUUUCUUUUUUCUUUCUUCCCCCCUUUAAGGCUCUGUUUUGGUUUCUCAUAUGUGGACAUUUGGGGAUUGAGAAAUGUAGUUGGAUUUAAGAUUUUGAGAAAUUGGAAUAUUCUCUAGGAAAAUGACAAAAUUUGGGGUUGGACCUGUCAAGUUGUUGUAAGAAAAGUCAUAGGUAUCCACACUCACCAUUUUUAUAAUUGUUGUAGGGAUUUCCCCUGAGAGAUGGUUGUGUGAGACAUUGAGAACCUAUAAAUUUGUGAGCUGUUCCAUUUCUGAAGGUAUCACUCCGGAGAGAGAAUUGCUGCUAAGGUCCAAGUUGCAACUCAGGUGUAAGUUACCAAUCUGUGCCAGUAUUUCCCCACUCAAGUGGUUCUGGUUCAAGUUUAGAAGCUGCUGUUUUGUCAUUUGUCCGAGCUCAGGUGGGAUUAGGCCUGAAAUUUUAUUUCAACCCAUACGCAUAUAUGUGAUGCUUAUGCAUUUUCCCCACUGUGGUGAGAGUGUACCAACAAACUGGUUCUCAUUAAGAGUAAUGAAUUCAAGACUGGGAUGCACACCAAAUGCAUUUAUAAUGUUCCCGGUAAAUUGGUUCCCAUCAAACAGGACUCUAGACAAUGCCAAACAAUUCCUCAAGCACUCGGCAAAUACCCUGUUAGAUUGUUAUUGUUCACUUUGAAACUUGCAAAGCGAAUCUGCUACACAACUCCGGUGACAGUUACAAAACCAAGCUCGAAAGCAAUAGAAGACUGAGGAAUUCUUACCAAGGUCAAGGUAAUGAAGCUUCCUGAGUUCGCCUAUUUCAAUGGAAUUUUCCCUUCCAAGGGAAUUUUGAGAUAGGUCAAUAUGUUGCAGUCCAGACAUUAAACCAAUAUCUUAAGGAAUUUGGCCACUAACGUGUAUUUGUCCUUGGUAGACUUUGAAAAUUCUCAUUUUUUUGUUCUUGGUUAUUUUCCCCAUAAUCUGUUUUUGACCUGUUUGUACUUUUGGUUCAAGUCUUGUCUCUUUAUUGUGUUGUUUGUUGUCGUCUGUGAGGAUGGUUUUUUUAUUGUUUGCGUGAUGUUUUGCAGGAUUCGUAGAUAAGAGAUUUGGUAUGCGCUGCCAUGCAUGUAACUGUGUAAAUAUUACUCUCUUCGUUUCAUUUAAAAUGGUACAUCGAUUAUUUAUGUUGAUUGUUGUCAUAGAGCCCAAGAAAUCUCUCUGUUUUUGCCAUGGCUGCUGAGGGUAUUUUUCUCCACAUAUUUUUAGUCUUUCUUUUGUUUAUCUGCGGCUUUCAUGCUGAAUUAUUGCUCUUUGAAUUGUUUUGAGAAUAACUAAUUGCUCAAAUUGUUCAAAUUUUGUAAUUCAGUGACCUUUUCUUAUUUGAAACGAAUGGAAUUGAAUAUUUAUAACCAAAAUAAUUGAUUUUUCUAAUUGCCCAAAUUGUUCAAAUUAGGUAAUUUAGUAUGCUUUUAUGUGCAUUUCUGGUUUGGUUCUUAUUUGAAAUGAAUUGAAUCGAAUUGAAUAUUCAGUAAGCUUUUUAUGUGCAUUUCUGGUUUAGUCCACAAUAUUUAUAAUCCGUUAAGACUCUCCCGUGGCAACGUGCGGGCUAAAAUUACUAGUCCUCUCUAAAUUCUUGUUAGGAGCUCAGUGGAGAUGUUCUUAAGUAGAUUGGAAAUGAUAUUUUCAUGCAUCACAAGAAGUAAAAUACAAGAAAAAAAGAGGCAAAACAUGGGAAGAAAUAAAAUGAGUAUUUCAUUAAACCAAUUCACGGAUAAAGAGCCCCAGAAUCAUUUAAACCAAUUUAAGCCUACAUUUUAUGAAUGAAAUAUACAAACAUACACACGUCCAGAUUUUUAACAAUCCCCACACAAAUAAGAAGAGCACUCCAGUAUAAACCAGCUUCAGAGACACAUGCACUGUAAUGCAUGAUGCACACAAGCACCACUUGUAAUGCAUCAAUGUUUACAGAAAUUGCACAAGCAUUAUUUCCCAAACACCAAGACCGAAAAUGUAGCAAACAAAGCUCCAAAUACAAAUCACACUUUUACGACGAAACACAUAAGUCAAUACAAGCAUAACAUGACAUGGAACAUGCAUUAGUUCCAUCCCAAUUUCCAUUGAGGCCGCAGCUUGCAGGCUUAUAUCAAACAAGAUGAGAUCGGCCAGGGAACCAAGGCUGGGCACAGACCAUUGAGGGGAGAACAGAAUAGUUAGAGCAAUUAACAAGAAAAAUUAGAAAUAAGUAUACUUAAAGUAGCAACCACAAUAACACCAAAGCCAAGAUAGCGGAUCUCCAAUGCGUAUUUCCUGACUCCCAAGUAGCAAAGGUUUUCUCCAUCUAAAAAUUUGAACACACCAAUAUGAUUUGCGUGGAAUGUGUAGUGUGGUCCAACUGAUCAGAGUGCCUUCCAGUCUGCUCUCCAGGCUGAUAUUUCUUCCUUUAAAAGGAAGAACAAAAGGAAGAGGAAAAUAACACACAAACACGCAAUCGCACACAAUCGGAAAACCUUAACACGCCAGCCAAAAUAUGAGGAUUCCUUUUUGGCAGAGAGUCUUGCAAUUGUAACAUCUACAUUUGAAUCGGCAAUCAUCAACUGGUCCUGUAGAAAUCUAUAUUUAGUUGAACAUUACAAAUAAACACAAACUGUUCAAUAUGAAAUCUGACUGAACAACUAUGAAUAUAAUGAAUAAAUCAGACUUUUAAAUUUGACGGUUCAAGGUUCAGAAAAAAAGCUGAAAAAUUGGAGAGUGAAAUAAAUAGAUGUGUACUUAGUGAACGAAGUACUUACAGUUUGAUCAUUUUCCUUUGAAUCACUUGGCAUCCGUACAUCAUCAGUUUCCUCUGCUAUUUGUUGUCUUUCUGGUCUUGGAUCACUUUGGAGUAACCCAUCAGGAGAAAUCUUUAACUCAAUCAGCUGACACUUCUUGACAAUCAAAUUCUUGGACUGUAAAGAUGGGACCUUGAAAAUGCAAUUUCCAGUGCAAAAUCCUUGCAGACUUGGUAGAUCACAAAGUUUCAAAUCUCGCAAGCAACUGAAAGUAAUCUCAUUUUCUGCAUCAUCUCCGUUGCUUGCCACUAUUUCUACCAUUCUUUCACAGUAACCAACAUCCAACACCUGGAGUUGCCGCAAAUUCUUAGCCACAGAAUAAGGUAUUAAGUAUUGCAGUCCGUGACAGUCCAAUAUGGUCAAAGUGGUUAGAUUCCGAAAAGAUAUCAAAGUUGAAGCUAGAUUCUCUAAUUUGCCACAUUUUUCUAGCCGUAGGAAUUUCAAGUUUGGAAAAACAGGGCCCCCUGAUUGGGAGCUCUCUUUUUCUAGAUGUAUCAGCUCCGGCAUAUUGUUGAGCCACAAAACCUUUACACGUGGGAGGGUUCCAACUUCAUGUAUUUCCCCUCUACUACUUCCUUGGUGGUCGUGGACAAUUAAUUCUUUCCAAGGAGCACAGAACACAUGGAGCACUUCAAUAUUCUGGAAAUUCUCAAAGAAAACAUCUGACUUGGGAUGUGAAGUUGCAAAAUCAAUUCUUUUUAGUUUUCUGAACAACUCUGCCAGGAGUGGACCAUACAAAAUCUCUGUGUCCUCGUCCAAAAUCAAGUAUUCCAAGUUGAAAAAUGACUUACCCUGAAAUAUAAUAAACGGUAAUGGCAUGCAUUAAAAUAUUUUAAAAAACUAGACACCACAUAAUAACUUUAAUAUUAAAAACAUAAUAAAUGUAUUUGCUUGAAGGUGUAUGUUUAACUAGUAUUUAAAAAUCACAUAAAAUUUUGAAUAUCAAAAGAAUUGGGUACAAGUAUGGUUACCUUCUCAAUUAAAAAGAAAGAUUGUUUAGUUGGCUUUGGGUAGCCCAACUCAAGCUUGUCUUGAUAUGUUAAAAAUUCGGCAGGCAAAAUCUCCACACCACCACAUUUCGUGAACUUUAAGUAGUUGAGUGAUGGCCAAUUAGAAACAUGCAGUCCUGGAUAGAAACUCCCAAGUUGGGGCAGGUUAUGAAAUUCAAUCAAUGUUACUUUAGGGAACCCGAACUCCUUGUAUGUCGUUUGUGGUCCUUCCUUCGCAACAAUUUCCUCCAUUAAACCACAAUUCUUAACCAUCAACUUGCUUAGUUGCUUAAGAUCUUUGGCCACUGAGGCGGGAAAGACAUUUUUCAAACUAUCACACGAGUCUACCUCAACUGAGUUUAGAUUUGGGCACUCAAAACAAUUCAACUGAGUGGUAGCUGAUGUGUCAUAUACCAUUUGUAGUGCUUGACAUUUGGAUAUCUUGAGAUGCUUGAGUUGCCUGAGACAUUUAACCAUAGAACUUGAAAACAAGAAUCUUAAACUAUCACAUUGAUGCACAGUCAAGCUUAUUAAGUUCGGCAUCAAAACCUGCAUGGUACAGAACAAAAUUCAUAUUUAUUUUAGAAAAUUACAGUUUACAUGGUUGUAACCGUAAAUGUUCCAAAUGUGCAAACAUAAAGUAAAGGUAAUGGUCAUAUAUUAAAAAAGUAAGCUACUAGGCUACUAGACAGCUGUAAGUCUUUCUACUUUCAUUACUUAGCAGAGAACAAAUUGAAGUGUAAUAAAACUAUCUGAAAAAUGAAAUAUGGGGCCAAAAUUGGAAUGCCAGGAUCCUCUUUGUGAGAAUUUCAAGAAUCUUUCAAUUGUGUUCACUCAUCGUACAUCGUACGGUCAGAAAUCAUUAUAAAUUUUUUUAUUUAAAAUUGAAAAUAAACCGUACCUAACAAAAAUUUGUCACAUGAGGUACGAUUAACGAGCACAAUUAGAGAAUCUCCAGUAAUUCGGAAAUGAUCCUUAUUCCCAAAAUUGUGUCAAUUUAAUUCCAAAUUUGAACUAUUUUAUUUAAAUUGAUACCAAAAACACAUUAUUGUGAAACUUUGGUGGUAGGUGGUGGUCUCUACUGUGAUAGGGCCGAGUUCAAAUUUUCUGUACUUAAAAUGGGUUUAGCUUCUCUAUGACAUGUCUCAUUACCUGACACCUGGCCACAAACUUGACCUAACUUAACCAUGUCAACUACCAAUAAAAUUAAAUAAAAAUAAAAACAAAAGUAAGGAAAAAGAAGCCGGUCAUCGUCCAUCUCCCUCUCUUCCCCAAGAUCAAUUGCAUCUCCUUCGCACUUUAAAUCCAUAAAAUCCAAAUUUGGGAAGAUUGAAGAAUAAAUCCCUUGGGCUGUCAGAUUUGUGAAUGUAAGCGCCUCCCCUGAAAUUUCUUUUGGGCUGUCAGAUUCGUUGAAUUUACACCCUUGUCGAUCGAGAAGGAACUCGACGUCACCAUCGACGAUCUCCUAUUGCAAAUCCUUGGGGUCCUUGCCGUUGACCGUGCAGCCCACAAAAACGCAGGUUCCGAGAAUCUCCUUCACCGUUCCCGUAAGCUCCUUAGGCCAUGGAUCUGUUCUCAUAACCUUGGCGAUCUCGAUGACGUCAUCAAGGGAGAUGCUGCAGCUGUGGUUGAAGAGGUGGUGGUCCGUGAGGGAGGGGGCGGUGAUUGGUGGCGUUGGGAAGGAAGGGGAAUGGGAGAGGUACACAGUACGCUGGGCUACGCUCUGAUUUAUUUUAUUUUAUUUUAUUUUAUUUUAUUUUAUUUUAUUUGAACUUGUUAGUUGAAUCAAUGCCUAGGAAGAAAAAAAUCUUAAUAUCAAAACCUGAUAACUUAAUAUGUCAUUUAAAUGGUUUUGGCUUAUUGAAAAAAAUAAAUAAAUCUUAAACAUUUGUAUUUUUUUUCUUAUUGAAAGAAAAAAAAAUUAUUUGGUCGAAAUUGGAAGAAGAAAAGUAUUUGGAGAAAGAAUCAUGCAACCAUUUUGCUAGAAAAAUAACAGAGAAAGUACCUCCUCAUUAUUGAAAAGUCUCGGUGGUCCACCAGCUUCAUCCUCCAACACGAUUUCGUCGGCAUUUGUAUCAUUCGUUAAUUGCUUGCCCUUGGAAGAGAAACCAAUAAGCUUUGGUAGAUUCUGCAGUGUCAAAGAUUUUAACUUUUGGAAAGGGUUGCCUAUGAGUUGUCCAUAACAUACACUUUUCAAACUCACAAUGUUUUUAAGAGAUAGAGAUUCCAGAUUGAGGAAGGCAUUUUGAGAAUAACUCCAACUGACGGAGUUAAUAACAUAUGUGACUUCGUCGUUGUUUUGGACGUGGAGAUGCGUCAGGUGAUUAACAGCUUCACUGUCAAAUAGAUAGGAAAUAAUAUUCACUAUCUCCACCCCAUCCAAGUACAAUUGCUCACUUCUCUUUACCAGCAACUUUAUACCUCGAUCGAACUGAUUACUCCCGGUGAGCUUGAGUUUUAGCAUGUUAGAGGAGGUUGCAAGGAUGUUAGGAUACUCCCAACAAUCACCGACAAGUAUGGUGUAUCUUUCUAACUUAUCGGAGAACAAGUUGGUUGGAAGAAGGUUAGCAUCUGGAAUGUGUACGUCCAAUGCGGAUAGAUGAGAUAAGUGCUUCAGCUCUGAAACGCUGGCAUUACUUCUGCCGUCGACCAAACCUUCACCCUCCCAUUGCUUGAAGCUUUUUAUUCCCAUCCUCAAGUCUUCUAGUCUUGUCAAGCACGAUAUAGCAUCAGGUGGGAUCAGAACAAGUUUAGAGCAACAGGUCAAAUCCAAUAAUUGUAGGCUAGUCAAUUGCCUUAUUUCUUUGGGCAAUUCUUUAACCUCGGACUGUAAGAGGCUAAGGAUUUUCAAGUUUGUUAGCUGUCCAACAAGAGCUAUGUCUUCCAACUCGCAAUGAUCUAGACACAAUGUGUGGAGAUACUUUAGGGAUAGAAGAGACGGAGGUAGCGACGGAAUACGGAUUCCGCUGACAUCCAACACUUUGAGUUCUUUCAUCCCUUCAAAAAAUUUGCUUGGGAUUUCCUGGGAGUUGCCCAUAUAAUUAUCGGACAAGAUUAACAAUUUUAAUUCUGGGCAUUCCCAAGGUACUUCAGGAAGCCUGGGGAUCUUGCAACCUAUUAAGGACAUCCUUGUACAUUUUUCAAGGAAAUCCUCAGCGGGCCAUUCUUUAACCUCAUCUCCAUCUGCUUUUGAAAAGGCCUUUUGAUCAUCAGAUGCGAUCCGGAAAGCAACAUCUCGUACAAGCUCAUGCAUUCUAACAGUCCUAUCAUCAUCACUGUCCAGCAAUAGGCAAGAAUGUUUUAGUUUUUUAACCAUUCUAUUCAAUGAAAUCCGUGCCUCUUCCACUGUCUCAACACUUCCAACCAAACCCAAACCCAUAGCACAGUGCAACAAAUAAAAGACAUAAAUGGUGCUACCCCCAUUUGCAAGAAUUCCGCAAAGCAAGAACAAUUGCUGAAGCUCUUGAUCUUCCAAUCGUUUGUAACUCCACUUUAGAGCCAAGAAUGCUUUUUCAUGCAAUUCUUCCUCGGCAAAUCUUUUGAAGCUUUUCAACGCAUCUUUCCAUUCCUGCAAACUACUAUCCUUUAAAGCACUUGCAACUGCAACAACCAAAACCGGCAAACCUCCACAUUUCUUUGCUAGUUGGGUUGCUUCUUUCAGUAUACGGUUGUCUUUAACGACAUUACCUGCCACCUUCUCAAACAAACUCCAACUUUCUUUUUCUGUUAAAAAUCCAAGUGGAAAUUCUUUUUGCGUACGCAUAUCAGAUAAUAAAACUGUACUAUCUCUAGAUGUCAACAAUAACUUACAAUUCGGCACACCAACAAGUCCCAUGGCCUCAAAGUCAAUUCUUUCCAAAACAUCAUCGAAAAUGACAAGAGUCUGCUCCUCUUUUAUCCUGGCUCGUAGGAGAUUCGCCUUUUUUCCCAUAUCCUCAGAUUCAUCGUCCAUCCCCAACCUUUCGGUAAUUUCCCUUUGAAUUUUUUUGUCUUCUUUUUCUUUGACAUUUAUUAUUAUAACCACAUUACCAAAUAACUUCUCUUUCACAGCUUCUCUGUAAACCUCUUUGGCAAGUGUUGUCUUCCCAACGCCCCCUAAUCCGUACACCCCAAUCCUGUUGAUAUCAGGGUUUUUCAGUUCCGUAAUGAUAGCCUUCACCAUAGAAAUCCUUGAUUCAAAGGCCAUGUAGUCGUGGGAGGCUAUGCCAGAUAUGUCUUCUACGGGAGCAUCGUAAAAAAGACUCUGAAACCCUUUUUUUUUAUUUUCAUGUGCUUCAAUCUUUUCCAUCAGUUUUGUUGACUUCCUGCUACGCUGAUGAUAGUAUAUCAGAUUAGGACAUAUAAUGAGACACUUUGUCUUUGCACGGCCUUCAUCAUGCAAGAGUGCUUCUGCCUUCAGAGUGGUCUUCUCUGCAUCUGACUGCCAUUUCUCGACAUCAGCUUCCAGUUUUUUAUCAACUUUUCUUCGGACUUCAUCAACGUCAUGCUUCAUCCUUUGUUUGACAGAAUCAAAAUUCUCCAAUUUACUCCUUAGAUCUUCAAGGUUGCUUUUGUAGGAAAUGAUAUAACCCACUUGGCGUGCAACUGGUCUAAUUGUGUAGUCAAUUAUUGUAGGAAUAAUUGCAUUGAGUAUCUCCAUCGCCAUGGCACCUUCAGCUUACCAAUUCGUCUGCUUCUCUGAUCUGUUGAAUAUAUACGAAUCCACAAUGAAAAAAAUUCAAGAUACGAGAAAGGAAUCCUUUAUUUUUAAGCAGAUGAAAUUAAAAAAAAUGAAACAAUAGGUCAUACCUUAGCUCUUGAUCAAGACUAGGCUUGAAGAAAAACAGAGCAGUAUGCAAAUCUUUUGGUUUUCUUUUGGGUUUGGAGAAAUCUGCAUAGUAAAAGCAAAAAGAAGGUUAUACCACACUUGCAAAGUAGAAGUCGAGACCAUGAACAAGUUUUCACAUACAAUUAUUAUACUAAAAAAAUUUGCUUGGUACGGAAUUUAGGCAACUGUUUUCAAAUCCUAAAAACUAUGAAAAACAUAUAUAAUCUGCUUUGAAUUUCAGUGAAACAUUUUGACAAACACCGUAUCAGCACACUUAAUUUAAAGCCGGUGCAUGAGGCAGAGAUCGAAAUGUAGAACGAUUUGCUCGUUGAAGACCACCAAGGCUCGUUAAACACUGUAUCACGGAGCUACUGAGCUAUAUGGUACUACGGAGUUGACCCCCGAUUCUCGCAAGCUGACCGAGUUAACUCUGCCAAGGCUCGACGAGUUCUGGAGGCUCAUGAUGAGCUCUAGUUUACGAGAGAAAUCUGAGGCCAUCAACUGCGAAAUCCAGGCAGUCAUGAGCUCGAGCAACGUAAGGUCAGGAACAGAGACAACCUCCCUCUCUCUGAAAGGUCGAGCAGAGAGAGGAGGCUGCCAAUUGUCUGAUUUUCUUCAUUUUAAGAGAAUUUAUUUUAUUUUAUUUUAUUUACAAGUAUGAUAAAUGGCUGCCAUGGUGGUUGUGUUGUGCCUUGGUUGUUCGUCAGUGUGGAAGUGAGAUUCAGAUUGUCUCACCAAACUACAGACCCACAGUUGAACAGUUUAAAUUACAAGAAAUAAAUACCCUGAGAAAUUUACGAGGUUCGGCAAAAAUCUGCCUACGUCCUCCAAGAGAUAUUGCCCUUCACUAUGAGAAUAACUAGUAAAAGAUACACUUGAGUUUAAUCAACAUAACUCAAACCCCAAUCCCUUGUACCCUCACAGAAUUUUACUAAGAGUCCCACUCUCCCCAAGAGUUUCUCACUCUCACUCUAUAUUUUCUCUCCUUUGUGUUCUCCUUUGGAUGCUCUCUCAAUGCAUUUCUAAAUGCACAAAUAUUGCAUCUAGUUAUAGGCAUACACUAGCAACUAUGCCAACAAACAAGACUAAAAAGUCUUAAGUUCACAUGACAUAAUUAUCACCUAGCCUACCUAGCAUGCAUCAAAGUCUAUACCUAGUCUAUAAAGUACAACUUUUCUCCAUUUGUCAUUUAAUGCAUAUAAAAUAAAACAUGCACAAUAAAACUUGCACAAUUGUGUGCAAGCAACCACAAAGUCAAGUCUUGCUUCCAACUUUGCUUGUGGUAGUCACCAUGUCUUCUCUUGAAACAAGACAUCCAUGCCACAACCGAAAGCCAAACACAAAGUGGCUACUGCCAUUUCCCUGUAGCACUCAGAAAGUUACACUAUCAAAAUUGUUGCCAACUCAUAAGUAUAUGAGCCAAACACAACAGAUUGGUCCUAGAAGAGGAAGGUGGAGGAAAAAUGGUGAAAAAGUUGCAGGGAGGAAGAAAGGAGGUGUUUGGUUGUGUGUUAUUUCUUAUAAUAGCAGGCGUCUUAAACUUAGUGGACCACAUAAGCAAGUCGUAUUGGGUACUCAAAAGACAAAUACAAGUUUACAUUUUUAUCAUUAGAUAAUGUAUAUGUUUGUUUAAUUUAAUACAAUGAUUUUUUUUUUAAAGGAAAAUAUUAAAAACGUAUCUAGUAUUCAGAUACAUAGAUAAUGUCAAAAGCUAAUAAUUUUGUGCUAGAUAGUAAUAUCUUUGUAAUGUAUAAAAUAAUGGUAGUGUUGCUGGAGAUGGUGAUUAUGGCAAGAGUUGUGCUAGAAGCAAUGGUGGUUAGGUUGGUGGUAUUAGUAAUGGGGAAACGCCCAUUGAAUAGUGACAAUAGUGGAGUGGAAAAAGGGCAAUGGUAGACUGGUAGUAGGAAUGGUGGUGACGGCCGGCGAUCGUGGCAGAAGGUGGUUGUGGUUACAAUGCUACAGAGGGGCGGUAUAGGUGACGUUGAUUGAGAGGUGGUGACGGUGAUGAUGGUGAAGAUGGUAGAGGUUGUGCUGGUCAUGGUGGCAGAGGUGAUGACAUGGAGAUAGUGGCGAUGGUGGUAGUAGUGAUAAUGACGACAAUGGUAGUGGGAGGUGGUAGUGGUAAAGAUGGCAUCGAUACUGGAGGAGAGGGUUGAGGUAAUGGUGAGGGUAGUGGCGGUUAUGAUUGUUGGAGUUGUACUUCAAAAAUCUAAUAUCACAGUAUUAGAUAUUUAUAUAACAAUUCCAUUAUAAUGCUAAGAUUUCGUAUUUAGAAAAUACAUUUAGUAUUAUUAUUGUACAAGAGCUAUUUUGAAUUGUUUUUAUAUUACAUUGGUUUAUAUAUAUGUAUGUUUAGGUUUGCAUUGUUUGCACCACGUGAUACCUUGUUCCAUAGGAUAGGACCGGACAUAGUUUUAUGUUAUUAGAAUCUUCAUAGCUUCCUAUCUAGUUUAGGUUAAGGUGGCAUUGUAUGAUGGUUCAAGCCAAGGUGCUUUAUCGGCACUCUCCUAAUAUAUAGAUGAGAGAUCCACUAAUAGCUAAAGACGGCAUGCAUCCAAAUGACAGUUCAUUUGCAUGGGAAAAGUAGAAAGAAGGGGAAGGCAAUCACAGGCAGAGAGAAGAAGGAGAGCAGCGAAUAAUUAAAGAAGGCAACAUUGCGGUAAUCAGCAGCAAGUAGACCAAAGCCACAAGAGAAGACAUUGUCAAAUCGAGAAAUUAAUCAAGAUAUAAUUAAUGUACAAAGUGGCGAGCAUAAAAUUGAAGAGCUUUUCUGUUUUUUAUCUUCUAAUGUUGUCAAUAAACGAACUUUAAGCCGUUGUCAGUUAGGGAGAAGAAAAUGGAAACAGAAGAGGGGAAAGAAGAGACAACUGGUCCUGAUGGACUCAGGCUUUUCCUGAACUUAGUUUUCUUAAUUUUAUUAUGCUUUUUUUUUUCCUGAACUUAGUUUUCUUAAUUUUAUUAUGCAUUUAGUGACAACUUCAAUUAUGUUUUGGAACUAAUUUAUUUUCCCUAGAGCAACGAUGUAGCCCAAUCAUGCUUGCUUAAUUCCUCAGUUAUGUUAUUUUUAAAUUUUCAGUAGUAUUAAGUUUUUUUGUUGUGGAUUUUACGCUUGAUUAUUAUCUUGUUGUUUUUAGAACAAUGAUAUAUUUAGGUACAAACAUUUCAGUACAAUAGGUUAUAGGUUAGUAUAAUAUAUUUAGGUACAGAUAUUUUAGUACACUAGUUUAGUAUAAUAUAUUUUGGUACAUAUAUUUUGGUACAUUAGUUUAGUAUCAUAUCCAAUUUUCGGUACACUAAUGUUUUUGUAUAAUUUCUUAUGUGCCACUAAUUCACUACAAUAUAUUUAGGUACGAACAUUUUGGUACACUAAUUUAGUGAAAUAUAUUAAUUAGAGGAAGUUAAAUAAAAUUUGUUGAUGCACAAAACCGAAGGUCUUGUAACAAUGUAAAUCCGACCAUGAAUCUAUAAGAAAUGUAAAGAACACAAGAUGUAUUGUGGUUCAUCCCAAUGUUUGGGCUACAUCCACACUGAUAUUGUAUUUCUCUCUAACUGUAUGUAUGAAUUACAAGGGUGAAGGGGAGUCCUCCAGAGAAAGAGAGAGUUUGAGAGAGCUCUCUAUUUGUUAGGAUGAGAGCUUUGUAAUGUGAGAGUGAAAGGGGAUGUGAGGCUUAAGGUUUGUGAGGGUAAGGAGGCACUUUUAUAGACUAAGGGCUCCUCCCCUUUUUACAUAUUUGCUCCUUCAUUUAUUACAUAAUUACAUUUAAGUCCCGAGUAUUUAUACGAGAUCUAAAUACGGAGGCCCUAAGUAUGGUACAAACAAAAUUAAUGAAUUAAAAUGUGUAUAAUAACAAAUUUAAAUACAUUACAUACUGGCACAUAGUACUACGGUCUAGUGGUAUUCCUCUUCACUUGUAAGUAAAAAGUUUUAGGUUCGAUUCUCGCUAAAGACGAAUUUAAACCACAUUAUUGUUAGCCCAUUGUGAGGCUAGCCCCUCCCCCACCCUCUUAGUGUAGAUAAUAUCGUUGGUUAAAAAAUAUAUAUAUAUACAUAUAUAUAUAUAUAUAUUAAAUAUUAAAUAAAAAUAUAAGAUGAAUUUGAAUUAAGUACACAUUAAAGGACUAAAAUCAAUAUAUAAUCUAACACCAAAUUUUUAUUAAAUUUUAAUCUUCUUCGAGGAUUAAAGUUAAAAAACCCUUGUUUUUUUAAAUCCUGUUAAAUCCUAUUUUGACAAUAACAUGAUUUCAAAUUAUUUUAAAAUUCUAUUGACCACACCUUGAUUCUAAAAUCCUUUAAAAUCUUAAUUUGAUUAUAUCCCGAAGAUUAUAUUAUUAGAGCAUUGGGACUUUCACCACCACCUUUGAGUACUCAUUUAAGAACUUAAAAGGAAUCUUUGUGUCCUUAAAGGAAUAUUGCCUUCAAUGGAAGAGUCAUUAUUGUAGAAUCCCAAAAUUUGAAGUUUUUAUGAUUUUAUAUGACAAUUUGAUUAGGUGCACAUUUUUUGUUUACGUUAAACAUUUUGAAUUAAUUAAAAGCUUCAAUCAAGAUUGUGGGUUCUACUCAAGAUUGUCUCCCUAUACAGUUCCUAUAUUUGGGUACGUACAUUAUAUAUCAAGUGAGUCUCUAUAUUUUAGGGACUCACUUUCUGAUUCAUUGGAAAUUCAUUUUGUCCUAUAUUUGUUUUAUACCCAUUUUAUAUAGUAUUUGUCCUUAUUUAGGGACUUCAUUGGAGAUCCUCUAAAGAGUGUAGUAAGUUUUUUUACUGUAAUUGUACAUACGAAUACAAGUAUGAUUUUUCAUUAAAUAAAAUCGAAGGGUGUCUAGAAAAAAAAGUUGAGUGUAAACAAAACAUAAUUGAGGAAUGCUAGCUACCUUGUCUUCUUACCUUUCCCUACUUGCCUUCCCCAGUCGUUAGUUGGCAUGUGAACUCCAUUACUACUUUUUUUUCUUGAACAAACAAUAGUAUCUACACUAAUAGGUGGAAGAUUUGGCUAAGCCUCAUAACAGACUAACUAUAAUAAUGUGGUUCAAAUUCACCUUUAGCGAGAAUUGAACCCAAUACCACUAGAUCGUAGUACUAAGUGACAACUCCACUACUACUUAAAGGUCAAUAUUUAAUGUGUUAAAAUAUUAAUUAUUUAGUUCCCACAUAUGCCCUCCAUUAAUACACCAAUUUUUAACUCACUCAAUACUGCUUUAAAUUUUAUAAUUUCCACCUCAGCCGUUCCUCAUUCCCAUUAGGCCAUUUCCAACCGACCUGGCCAAAGGAUUAUAGAGCUAAAAAUAGCUCGAAAUGACACAAAAAUGAUCUCCAACUGAGGGCUAGGCCAAAUGACUUGUGGAUCCCAUUGGGCCAAAACCACCAAAUUAGGCCAGCGGGUUAGCCAUUUCCAGCCCGAUGAGCCCAGCCCACUUUUUUUUUUUGGACGAAUUUUUUUCCUACACUAUUUCUCACAUGCUUUUCACCAUUUCAUACUAUCUUUCCUCAUUUUAUUUCAAUUUUUCACAUUCUAUUCUCUUCCAAUAAUAUUUCCCUUAAUGUUUUCAGUAAUUUUCAAAUGGCCACCUCUUUCUAUAAUCUUCUAAUAUGUCCGAAAAUCUUAUUUGAAUAUAGUAGUUUACUUUAAUUAACUAUAUUAAUUCAAUUAAAAUGAUAAAUUAUGUUUGGCCUAUGGCCCUUUUGGCCUUCUCGGUUGGAGAUGAUUUUUUGUCAAAUGACUAUGUUUGGCCUAUGGCCAUUUGGCCCUCUCGGUUGGAAAUAGUAUAAAAUAUGACCUGACACUAUUCAUUAAAAUAUAAUUUCUUGUAUGAUUAUAAGGCUAAACAUAAUCAUUUGGCAUUCCUUCGGUUGGAGAUGAACGUCUUCUUUUUUAUCCUAUUCAUGUAUUUUUUUUUCCUUCUAUUUUACAGGACUUCUGUUCAUGUUCUUCUACCAAAAUACUAAAAUAUUCAUUUUUUUUUGUUAUCAAAAUGUUAUGUUUAUUUCGAGCAACAAACCUUUACCACUGAACACCACCAUCAUGCCAUUCCUGGCCCUUUCCGACUCCCCGAUUUGCCCUCCUCCCAGUCCGUCGCCCCAACCUCCAUUUCCCAGUCCGGCCCCCAUCCCCUUUAUCUAUCCCUCAUCUAGUGAUCCCACCUCUGGUUUUGGAGAUGACGGAGGCAUGGAGGUGGCGACUGGUCGUCACAAUUCCUCUAAUAACGAAUCUAAUUGUUAAUUUUUGUUAUAUUGGUUUGGUUUUAGUGAUUUGGGUGGGCAGAUGAGUGUUUUCAGUAUUUUACUUGUGUGGAUUUCGUUUGGUAUUUCUGUAAUUUUGGGUUUUUUUUUCUUCUGCAAUUUGGUAGAAAGGGGUGUAGUCAAACUUGGAUUUAAGAAGAUUUUAAAAGACUUUAAAAUCCUAGUGUAGUCAAUUAAAAUAUUUUAAAGGAUAUUAGAAUCCAUUCAAAUCUAGAUGUAGUCAAUUAAAAGAUUUUAGAAUCCAUUAAAAUCUAGGUGUAGUCAAUUAAAAGAUUUUAAAGGAUUUUAGAAUCCAUCCAAAUCCAAGUGUAUUUAAAAAAUUAAGAUUUUAGAGGAUUUCAAUAAGUUGUGGAUUUUGUGGGAUUUGAAAGCAAAAAGUAUGUAUAACCAAAACUAAAAAGAACCCAACCUCACCCCUAGGAUUUCAAAUCAUUCCCCCACAAUCCACCACAAUCCAUUCAAAUUCUUUAAAAUCCAUAUAAAUUUUGUAGACGUCUUUAAUUCUCUUUAAUCCUAUCAAAUCUAUCACUUUUAAAAUCCUUUAAAAUCCUUUAAAAUCUUAGUUUGACUACACCCCCAAGAAACAAGAAUCCCCUACAAUCCACCACAAUCCAUUCAAAUUCUUUAAAAUCCAUAUGAAUUUUGUAGGAGUCUUUAAUUUUCUUUAAUCCUAUCAAAUCUAUCACUUUUAAAAUCCUUUAAAAUCCUUUAAAAUCUUAGUUUGACUACACCCCCAAGAAACAAGAAAGGGAGACCGGGAAAGGAGGGAGACUUUUGAAGUUAAACUUUUGGUAGGUUAAAAAUUGGUAGAUUAAUGAGGGAUAUCUGUGGAAAUAAAGUAAUUAGUUUUUUAUAUGAAGUUUUGUAAGUGAUAGUGGAGUUCACUUUGUCAAAAAAAAAAAUAAAAAAAAGAAGUUAUAGUGGAAUCCACACAUCACUUAGUGAAUGGGAAAGGCAAGUGGGAAAAUGUAGAAAGCAUUCCUCUUUAUUUUCUUUGGAAAAAUGCUAAGAGACUCUCCCAAAAGUAGACAUUUUCUCUUAGCAUUUCUCAUUUUCUUUAAAGAGUCCCCCUAGCAUAUCUCAUUAAUGAGGUGGCAAAAAAUCCAUAGAGAGUCAUACUUUUGAGAGUGUCCCCUAAACAUUUAUCUUUCCUUUAGAAAACUUCAACUCCAACCACACUCUCUAUCAUGUUUUUUUUUAUUUUUUUUUUAUGAAUAAAUGAUAUUAUCUACACCAACGAGAAGGGGAUAAGUUUAGUCUCAUAAUGGACUAGCAAAAAUGUGGUUCAAAUUCGCAUUUAACGAGAAUCAAACAUAAGACCCCUCUCUUACAAGUGAAGAUGAAUACCACUUUUUAGUAAAGCAGAUUUGCUAGGAAUUCUUGAAUUUAGGAAGUGAGAAAGAAGCUCUUAAGGGCUUCUAUAACGUUAAUUACUUUCUUUAAUAACUUUUUUAAAUAUAUGUUUCUAUCAGUACAUAUUUAUUAUGACUCUCUAAAUUAGAUUAAUUACUAUUCCCUUAAUAACUUUUUAAUAAAUAAAUAAAAACUUUGUUUCUAUUAGUACAUAUUUAUUAUGACUCAAUUAGAGAUUACAGUUUAGUGAAGAUUAUAGUUUAGUCGCAUCUUCAGCUCAGAGUAGGCCUUACGUAACACCUCAGGCACGAGGCAGCAAAAAACUGGACAACAUAGAGGUAGACAGCCUGGAAGAGGUUAGUAGGGAGUAGAAGCUCAGAGCAGUAGAGUUGGGAUGCCACAUAAAGGUUUUCAACAAGUUGGCAAAGAUUAUGCAUUAUCUGCUUUGAAGGGUGAGGCGAAGCCUCACACAGUCACAUGUAUUAUUCAUAUUGAUUCGCUCUUAGCUAAAAUAAUGUUUGAUCUUUGGAUCUACUCAUUGUUUCAUAUCUAGUACUUUUGCUGAGUCGUUGGGUAGAACUAUUGAGACGAUGGAGGUAGCGUACUCCAUUUUCUAUCAUUUUUCGAGGUGUUAUAUUGUUAAUUGAGUAGUUCGAUCCUAUGAGGCUCAUGUGGUAGGGUGAGAUGACAGUUGAUUUGAUGGUUCCUCCAAUGCGAGAUCUAGAUGUCAUUAUUGGCAUGGAUUACCUAUCCAUGUAUCGUGUAAAUCUUGAUUGUGUUUGAAAACUUGGUGACCUUCCGACCACUUGGCAGACUUGAGUUUCAAUUUACUGAUGUUCAUAGAGUUACUUCACCACCAGUGAUGAUAUCAGCCACCAAGUCUAGGUGACUCAUGAGACGUGGAUGUUAGGGUUAUCUAGCUUAUGUCGUCGAUUUUGAUUGACAAGAUAGUAGGAUUGAUGACAUACUAGUCGUUAAAGAAUUUCUAGAUGUGUUUACAACAGAGUUACCGAGCUUGCCUUUAGCGAGAAAGAUCGAGUUCACUAUUCACCUCGUGUCAGGGAUAUCGUCUAUUGCUAAGGCCUCGUAUCAUAUGGCACUUUUGGUGCUUAGAGAGCUUAAAGAGCAGCCGUAAGAGUUGUUGUAUAAGGGUUUGAUUCGACCAAAUGUUUCACCGUGGGAAGCUCUUAUUCUCUUUGUGAAGAAGAAAGACGAAUCUAUGUAUUUGUGCAUUGAUUAUCUUAAGUUUAACAUAAUGAUAGUGUGGAACAAGUAUGCCCUUAUCGAGGAUUAAUGAGCUGUUUGACCAGCUACAGGGUGCGUAGUACUUUAGUAAGUUGGAUUUGCGAGCUAGUUAUCAUCAAUUGAGGAUUAGAGAGAAGGACAUACCGAAUAGGUUUUCUAGACUCGCAAUGGUCACUAUGAGUUCUUGGUAUUACCAUUUGGUCUGACUAAUGCACCUGCUACGUUCAUGGAUGUGAUGAACAAGGUGUUUCGAUCGUUUAUUGAUCAUGUUGUGUGGGUGCAUCGAUGAUAUUUUAAUCGAUUCACGGAGUUUAACCAAGCAUGAAAAGCAUCUGAGACUUGUUCUGCAGGCUAUGAAAGAUUGUCAGCUGUCUACCAUGUUAAGCAAGUGAGUUUUGUCUAGACCAUGUUGGUUUUCUUGGUCAUGUGAUCUCGCAAGAUGAUCAUGGUGGAUCUUGUGAAGGUUAAGGCGGUUGUUGGUUGGAGUCGACCAACUACAGUGACUGAGAGUUGAUUUCUUACCAUUCAUAUUUUCUUUUACGAGACUGAUGGGGAAGACUACUCAUUUCAUUUGGGAUGACAAGUGUAAGGCCAACUUUGAGAAGCUAAUGAAAAGACUCGUAAAUGCACAUGUUUUUACCUUUCCUUUUAGUUUUGGGGAUUUGUAGUUUACAUUGAUGUUUCCUGUAAGGGACUAGGUUGCAUUUUGAUGCAGCAUGGUAAGGUAGUAGCCUUCGCCUCUCGCUAGUUGAAACCGCAUAAGCUUAAUUAUUCGCCCCAUGAUUUGGAGUUAGUUGUUGUGGUCUAUGCACUGAAGAUCUAAUGACAUUAUCUUUAUGGGGAGUCUUAUGAGAUUUACAUCGACCACAAGAGCCUGAAGUACAUCUUUACUCAACGGGAGAUGAAUUUGAGAUAGAGAUGUUGGCUAGAGCUGGUGAAGAACUAUGACUGUCAGAUUCUCUAUCAUCUGGGCAAGGUGAAUGUAGUUGUCGAAACCUUUAGCUGAAAAAACUUAGCCAGUGCUACAGCUUUAUUACUUUAGGUUAGUUAGUUAACAGAGGAUUUGAGGAGGAUAGAGAUUGAGACUAUUGAUCAAAGUGGUGAUCAUCUACUCGUAGCCCUUACCAUGUAACCUACGUUGAUCAAUCAAAUUGAGGCAGCUCAGAGCGAGGAUCCAAAUUUGGUUUGGAUCAUGGAUGGAGUUUGAGUAGGUACUCGCUUCGAAUUUUCCAUCUCUGAUAGUGGUGUUCUUUAUUUCUGGAUCAAACUUAGUGUUCUGAAUGUCAGAGAUCUAUUGAUGAAGGCCAUGGAUGAGGCUCAUACUUUUACUUUUUAUAUUCACCCCGAGGGCACGAAGAUAUAUCAGGGUCUUGGUGAGAGUUUCUGGUGGGGAAACAUGAAGAAAGAGAUUGCAGAGUUUGUAGCACAUUGCUUGACUUGUCAACAAGUUAAGGCAGAACAUCAGCGACCUACAUGCUUACUUCAGGACUUCCCUAUUCCCGAGUGUGAGUGAGAGCUCAUUACCAUCGAUAUCGUGAUAGGGUUACGGAGGGCUAAAGAUGAGCAUGAUUUUAUUUGAACAGAUUGAUGAAAUUCGAUCAUUUUCUCGAAGAAUAUUCUCUGGAGUGACUUGUGAGACUCUACAUGGAUGUGAUUGUGAAGUUGCAUGGACUUCCAAUGUCUAUUAUUUCUGAUUGAGAUCCUCGUUUCACUUCUCUUAUUUUAAUAGUCUUCAUAGAGUUAUGAGGACUAAGUUGAGUUUCAACAUAACUUUUCACCCUCAGACAGAUGGUCAGUCAGAGUGUACUAUUCAAACUUUGAAGGAUAUGCUUUAAGCCCGCAUCAUAGACUUGAAGGGUAAUUGGGACACACAUCUUUCGUUGAUUGAGUUGGCGUAUAAUAACAGCUUCUAGACGAGUAUUUAGAUGGCACCUUACAAGGUACUAUAUGGGAUGAGGUACAUAUUACUGCAAAGAAGGUUGCUCUGAUUCGUGCACGUUUAUUAGCAGCUCAUAGUCGACAACGGAGUUAUGCCAAUCCUUACUGAUGUGAGGUGACAUUUGAGAAUGGAAGGUAAAUUUCCUUACUGUUUCUCAUAUGAGAAGCGUCUUCAUAUUCGGGCGGGAAGCUUAGUUUGGGAUAUGUGGGAUCGUUUAAGGUCUUAGAGAAAGUUGGUAAGAUUGCCUAUUGCCUUGCAUUGCCACUAGAGUUAUCACACAUUCAUUCGGUGUUCCACGUAUCUUCACUUUGAAGGUAUCGCAGUGAUCCGUCUCAUUUCAUUUCUUAUGAGCCAAUCCAAAUUAGAGAGAACCUCACUUAUUACUAGUGACAUGUUGAGAUUCUUGAUUGAAGAGAGAAUGCUCUCUGCACCAAAGCUAUUUCUUUGGUGCGUGUCUUGUCGAACAAUCCUAGGGUGUUUGUGUCCACCUUGGAGACAGAAGACGAGAUGCGCUGGCAUUAUCCACAUUUGUUUGAUUUAAGUACAAUGAGUUUAGGGGACUAAACUCUUUUUUAAAGGGGGAAGGAUGUGAAAUCCCAUCCCAAAUUUCAUUAUUUAAAUUUUGUAUUUCAUAGUUGUUGCGACGCAUCCUUAAUUAUGGCAUAAAUUUUUUUUUUUCGAAUUUGUAAAAUGACGAAAAUGCUCCUGUUGGACUAAACGGAGUCCUACGUGCACUUUUGAGCUCAUUUGAUUUUUUGUCUCUUUUCUUAUCACAUUUUGGUAUCAUGUGUUGAUCCUAAAUGUAUCUUGGGAUCGGAGCGUGACAUUUACCCUACUGAGCUGGAAGGUCACCUCUUAUGAAUAUUUGAUAAGUGAGUCCUGAAAAAGUAGUCGACUUUCACAGAAAGUAUAGAGAAAAUUUUGCAAUGUAAUUUAAGAGAUGUUUGUUUUCUUUUUCUUUUUUAUUUUCUUUUUUAUCCACGCAUCGAGUUCGGGACUUUAAUUGUUCCGCCGAUUCUAAAUCUAAGGCGUGACAAUAAUAGUGGAUAUUAUUUAAUAACAUACAACAUGACGCCUUUUAGAUUGUCAAUAACAACUCUUUUUGUAUAUAAUAUGUUAAUAUACAAAAAAACUCAAAGUUGCCGCAACCAUAUGCAAUUAUUGCGUUGCAACUAAUACGUCAAGAUUUGGUCUCAUCUCAUUGCACUAAAAAAUAGUACUGUAAGAAAAACAAUGUUUGACAAAAAAGAAAAGAAAAAGAAAAACAAUGAGAAAUGAUAAUCACAUUUAAGAAAAUCAUAGAUGGAUCGCCUUAGGCCUACGACAUGAUAGCCUAAAUCAAUGUGACAGAGUAUUGAUUUGAGAGAAAGAUUGUAUUGUAUUGUAAUUUAACUAAAUAAAUUUUGAUAAUAAUAACAUACUACUUGGUAUCAUUCGUGACUUGUGAGAAUUAGAGUUUAUUUUAAUUUACUAAUCUUUGAAGAAAAAGGUAUUACUCACUGCCUUGCUAAUUAAAAUAUUAUAGAUCAUACACCCGUUUGAGAAAUAGAUUGAAGAAAUUAACAAGGAUAGUUAAGAUCAAUAUUUUUUAUUUGUUGGAAUAGUUAAGAUCAAUUAAAAUAGUUAAUUCAUUAAAUGAAGAGAUUGAAAUAAAAGUCGAUUAAUCCUACAAAGUACAAACAUUGGGAAUUCAUUUGGGUUUGAAAUUAGUCACGGAUUUCAAAGUUCAUUGGGCCUAGACCAAAUUGGGGCCCAUGGAUUUAAGUUGUGAGACAACAUAAAUCCAUAAAGUCCAAAAGAGGCUGAAUGAAACUCUCUUAGCCGGUUAAAGAGGGAGGAGACAUCGUUAAGUCCGCUGCUAUAGCAUCUAAAAUGGGCUAUUUAAAUAAGGUCCCAACUUAAAAUUUAGGAAGAAUAUAGAAAAGAGAAAUUUUGUUUACACCCAACUUUUGUUUAUGGACAAGCACAUUCACGAAAAUUUAAAUUCCAACUAUGUUUGAACGAGGGAAAUAAACUUGAAAUUUGAGUAAAAAUCAAAAUUUAUAAAUUGACAUGCACUAAUUUCCUUGUUUGAAUUUAUAAACAUAUAAAUUUACAAUUUUCGUGUGAAAAAAAAAAAAACUUGGAAUUUGGGAUCUCCAAUUCCCAAAUUUGAAUUAUACGUAAAUAUGCGUAAUUUCUCAAUUUCUAUGAUUGAGAGUUUCAAACUAACAAAUUCCGUAUUUAAUUCCAUUGUUCUUUUAUGUUAAUCAAACAAGAAAAUUCACAAAUUUUAGAAAACAAAAUCCCGUAAUUUUAAUUUCAGUCAUUUUAAAAUUUCGUAGUAAUCUUAGAUUUCUUCAUCUAAACAUAAUGUUAGAUGUUUACUUUUCCAAACGUAGUGUUAGAUGUUUACUUUUCCGUUGCUAAGAAAAAUGUAAAAAUAUAAUUAAAAAAGUUGUACUUGAUGACAUAUUUCUUUGUAUACAAACCCUAGUGGCUCUUCAAUUUGGGUGUCAAAGAAAUUAAGAUUAUGUUAAAGAGUCUAGUAAGUCCUUUAUAGUAAUUUUACAUAUGAGCAUAAGUAUUAUUUUACAUUUGGGAACUUUAACGAAAAGCUCCCGGUGUUGUUCACUUUAACGAAAAAUUACAUUUUUACACUAAAAAGUCAAUCCUGGUACUAUUCACUUUACUCUUUAUUUUGUUUUUAUCGUUAAAACUCAAAGUUUUCAAGCCAUUUUCAUUAAUUUUCCUUAAAUAAAAUUGAAAGGUAUCUAAAGACAAAAGUUUAGUGCAAACAUAAUUUCCCUUUAAAAAAUUCCAACGCCAAUCACACUCCCUAUCAUAUUUAUAGGAUUGCAAAAUGGCUAGGAGCUCCUAAAUUUAAGAAGUGAGAAAGAAGCUUUUAAGGGUACAUAUUUAUUAUGACUCCCUAAAUUAGAGACUAUUGUUAUAUUAGAAAUUUUUUAUGGAGCUCCUAAAAUGGCUUUGUAACCUUUUUAGCUAAAAUUUAACUAAAAAUAGAGUACGAACCUAAUUCUAGGAUUGUUUUCCCAGAUUCAAAUGCUUGAUCGGAAAAACCGUAAUUGAUCGCCAUUCCAUUUUGUGAACAGUGGCAAUCCGAUAGUUGAAUUGUCAUGAAUUUUAAAUAUAUUAUUGUUGGUGCUAUAUGUGACUUGUAAAAACUUACGUUCAUGUACCUGAAGUUCGUAGACUUUAGAUCAAAGAUUUUAGGGUUUAGGACCCUAAAGGUGCCGCUUUGACCAAAGGGUUGACUUUCGUAUUAGCGAUUCUCAUAGCAUCAUAGUGUGUCAUUGCCAACGUGUACGACUCAGAUUUGAUAGUUGAUGGACUUGAAUCUCAGCAUAACUAGUAAAGCAAUAAUCUGGGUUAAACAAAACGGACAAAAUCCACACAAAAAAACUAAAAAACCCAUAAAGAGCAGAGGAAUGAAAUAAAAACAAGGAAAAAAAAAAAAUCAAAACACGUACCUUAUACCUUAUCUCUCCAGACUCCUUUGCCUACAGAAAGCCGAAGUACAAUCGGUCCGUAAAUGAAGCUGAACAUAGUAUGUAUGCCAUUUUUUUUCCUUUUAAAGUAAAACUGAUCGACCGGAAGUUGAAAUUGGCAGAAAAUGAAAUCAAGAGACACAGAAAAACAACGAAAUUGAAAGAAUGUAAUAUUUUUUUUGUUCUUCUGGGUUUACAGAAUUGAUUUUUCACUUUUAGAAGUAAAGCAAAGUAGAUUAAGCAAAAGAAGGUUGCUGUGAUGAAAAAACAAAACCAGACAAGUGUGUGCAAUAAGAAGAUGGAGCAAAUAAUGAGAAGGGGGAUGGGAAGAACAACUCUCUUAGCACAAGAAGAGGAGAUAAUGAAUGCAUGAGUGAGACAAUAGAGAAACUCUCACGUAGUAUGUAAUUACCCUUACAAAAGACUUAAGCGACGACCUACCUAUGACGGCAAUUAAUUUUCAUGGCAAUUAUUUAGCACUUUGGUGUGGGAGUCAACACCAACAAAUUAACAAUAUUUAUUGUAUUAUAACAUCAAUGGGGUGAAUGUUCUCCAUGAAGAAAACCUCACAAUAAGACUAUAGAGGUGCUAAAGACACUAAGUAAAUAAUUUAACCUUUUUUUUUCUUUUUAAAUUAUUAUUAUUUAGGAAAGGGGGAGGAUUCAAAACUAUUACAAUAAUUUAGAGGUGGAGAGUUUCGAACUCUAAAUGCAUGGGUGGAAACCUGAUGCUCUGUCGACUAGGAUUUUAAACCACAUACAAAUACAAUAUUUUAGCUUCCUAAACAUUUUUUUAAACUCUUAAACUCUAUACUGCUAAAAUUUAACACCUCAGUUUUACUAGAUGUCCAAAAAUUGUUUACCGAACACAAAAUGGGUGUCCAAAAUCACUCCUCAAACUAAUUAAAAUCUUCCAAUUACAUCUCCAACAUUGGAUGCGAAGCUAUUCUAUUCAAAUUUUCUUCAAUUUAAGUUACGUUAUUUGUAUAUGAUACACUUGGUCAAUUUUUUGUCAAUUCAUCUUGUUUUACCAGAAAAUUAGUUUAGAGACCUAAUUUUUAUUCAAAUGUUAACUCAAGGAUUAAGUUAACAAUUUAUCCUACCAAAAAUAAAACUUGAAGUAUAAUUCAAAGACUAUUACUAUAGUUAAGCCUUUGUAAUUUUUACCAAUAUUUGUCUAAAUUUAGACUGGAAAUACAUGCACCGGUUCCUCGAUAGAAAUUAAAGCUGGGUUGGAGGUUUCUCUGCUAAUUUGAGUAUUUGAUCCACAAAUUGAAGUUUUUCUCUAAUAUGGCUUGGAAGAAUAAAAGUUGACUGUUUUCAUUUGUGCUAUCAAACUCAAUCGUACAAUCUGAAUCCACGAGUUAAGGAGAACCACACCUUUAUCUCCUCCUGCCUAACAAUUUAAUGUUGGUUGUUAGAAAUUUAAUGUUGGUUGUUGGUUGUUACUAGUAAUUUAAUGUCGGUUGUUAGUAAUUUAAUUGAUAUGGGGCCAUUGACCCCAUUGACUCUUCCAUCAUCACACACGCUACCGUCAUUGAAACAUUUGAAAUUGAAUCACCAUAACACCGAAAGGGGUUCCCUUCGGGUUUUCUUUACGAGGAUUUUAGAAUCUUCUAAUUAUAUUCGUUUAUUGUAAAUCGUAUAGUCAGUUUUCAUUACAUAUGAUUUAUAUUUAAUUUUAAAUAAAAAAUAUUAUAAUGAUUUCUGACCGUACGAUAUUACAAUAAACGGAUGUGAUUAGAGGAUUUCCAGAAUCCUCACAAAGAGGAUCUAGGAUCCUCAUUCAUAACACCCAUUUGUUCACAUGUAAGUCCUUCCUAAUAUUCAACCUUACAGAAAAGAAUUUGAAAUCUAACAUUAUAAAAUAGAGAACUUUAACGAAAAACUCCCGGUACUGUUCACUUUAACGAAAAAUCACAUUUUUACACUAAAAAGUCAAUCAUGGUACUAUUCAUUUUACCCUUUAUUUUGUCAUUAUCAUUAAAACUCAAAGUUUUCAAGCCCUUUUCAUUAGUUUUCCUUAUAAAAUAAGGAUGUUUUUUCUGCACCAAAUUAUCUUAGAUUGAACUAGUUUCAGAGACAAGAACUAGGCUUAGCUUAAACUAAGUUGAAUAAAAAUAGUGAAGCAUUUAGUAUAGUGUCAAACUAAGUCGCAAACUGAAAUAUUUUAGACUAAAUAUUUUUGUUCAGGACAACAGAAAAUUAAGAAACAAAUGUAACACCCGGUUGUCCCACCAUCUAGCAAAACCAUUUCUAUAUACAACUAAGCAAUUAAAAUAUGUCUUCCCUCACAACGAAGCAAGUCAGUCAUUCGAUUCCAUGAGCACUAGUGCUAAUCCAGUGAAAGGAAAAACAGAUGAGAGAGGAAAAUGCCACCAAUUUAAUCAAACAGUUGGAUGAUCCAACUAGAACAAAUGGAACAUCCCAAUACUAAAUUAACCCAGUACACAGCAGAACAAGGUAAACUGCUUAAUUGUACAUUCUACAAUUUUUUACAAUAAACUCUGAAAAAUUACUAACUGCCUCAAUCAUCCGAGCUAUAUUCACCCGAUUCAGGAAGAACUGCAACAGUAGCGCAUCAACACAACUCUUUAUCCAUUAGGAGGAGACAGGUUCCAUCUGAAUUCCAUUUUAAAUCAACUAUGCUAAAUUGUGGUUGCGGCGAGAUGCUCACAUAGUAGGCAUCACCAGGAGUCCACAUGUACAGAUGAGAAUUUCCCCUGAAAAACAAGACGAGUGCACGUAGUCCACUACAACACACAUGCGAAUGGACUAAGGCCAUCUCCAACCGAUGGCUGGCCAGAGGGCUCGUUUUAGCCCUCUGGCCCUCCAAGAUUCUUCAAGAUAUUAAUAUUUUAAUGAACAGUACAAGACCAUAUUUGCCUCCGUCUCCAACCGAGGGCCAGAGGGCUCGUUUUAGCUCUGUCACAAAAAACCGUCUCCAACCAAGGACCAAAGGGCCAUAGGGCCAAAUAUAAUUUAUUAUUUAAAAACAAAUUUUGUGAAAUAAAAGUUAUAGGAAAAAAAUGGAAUUUAAAAACAAAUAUGAAAUAAAUUUUAUGAAAUACAAGUUAUGGGAAAAAAUGGAAUUUAAAAAAAAUAUGAAACAAAUUUUGUGAAAUACAAGUUAUAGGAAAAAAAUGGAAUUUAAAAAAAAUAUGAACCAAAUUUUGUCAAAUAUAAGUUAUAGGAAAAAAGUUAUAGGAAGUUUUUCUCUAAUAUGGCUUGGAAGAAUAAAAGUUGACUGUUUCCAUUUGUGCUAUCAAACUCAAUCGUACAAUCUGAAUCCACGAGUUAAGGAGAACCACACCUUUAUCUCCUCCUGCCUAACAAUUUAAUGUUGGUUGUUAGAAAUUUAAUGUUGGUUGUUGGUUGUUACUAGUAAUUUAAUGUCGGUUGUUAGUAAUUUAAUUGAUAUGGGGCCAUUGACCCCAUUGACUCUUCCAUCAUCACACACGCUACCGUCAUUGAAACAUUUGAAAUCGAAUCACCAUAUCACUCGAAAGAGGAUUUUCUUUGGAUUUCUUUAUGAGGACUUUAGAAUCUUCUAAUUACAUUCGUUCAUUGUAAAUUGUGUAUCAGUUUUCAUUAAAUACAAUUUAUAUUUAAAUAAAAAAAUUACAAUGAUUUUUUACUGCACGAUACUACAAUAAACGGAUGUGAUUAGAUGAUUUCCAGAGUCCUUACAAACACCCACCUGUUCACAUGUAAGUCCUUCCUAACAUUCAACCUUACAGAAAAGAAUUUCAAACCUUACAUUAUAAAAUAAGGAUCUUUUUACUGCACCGAAUUAUUUCAGACUAAACUAGCUUCAGAGACAAGAACUAGGCUUAUCUUUAACUAAGUUGAAUAAAAAUAGUGAAGCAUUAGUAUAGUGUUAGACUAAGUCGCAAACUGAGAUAUUUUAGACUAAAUAUUUUUGUUCAGGACAACAGAAAAUUAAGAAACAAAUGUAACACCCGGUUGUCCCACCAUCUAGCAAAACCAUUUCUAUAUACAACUAAGCAAUUAAAAUAUGCCUUCCCUCACAACGAAGCAAGUCAGUCAUUCGAUUCCAUGCGCACUAGUGCUAAUCCAGUGAAAGGAAAAACAAAAUGAGAGAGGAAAAGGCCACCAAUUUAAUCAAACAGUUGGAUGAUCCAACUAGAACAAAUGGAACAUCCCAAUACUAAAUUAACCCAGUACACAACAGAACAAGGUAAAUUGCUUAAUUGUACAUUCUAUAAUUUUUUACAAUAAACUCUGGAAAAUUACUAACUGCCUCAAUCAUCCGAGCUAUAUUCACCCAAUUCAGGAAGAACUGCAACAUCAGCGCAACAACACAACUCUUUAUCCAUUAGGAGGAGAGUUUCGAACUCUGAAUGCAUGGGUGGAAACCUGAUGCUCUAUCGACUAGGAUUUUAAACCACAUGCAAAUACAAUAUUUAGAUUCCUAAACAACACAACUCUUUAUCCAUUAGGAGGAGAGUUUCGAACUCUGAAUGCAUGGGUGGAAACCUGAUGCUCUAUCGACUAGGAUUUUAAACCACAUGCAAAUACAAUAUUUAGAUUCCUAAACAUUUUUUUUUUAACUCUUAAACUCUAUACUGCUAAAAUUUAACACCUCAGUUUUACUAGACGUCCAAAAAUUGUUUACCGAACACAAAAUGGAUGUCCAAAAUCACUCCUCAAACUAAUUAAAAUCUUCCAAUUACAUCUCCAACAUUGGAUGCAAAGCUAUUCUAUUCAAAUUUUCUUUAAUUUAAGUUACGUUAUUUGUAUAUGAUACACUUGGUCAAUUUUUUGUCAAUUCAUCUUGUUUUACCAGAAAAAUAGUUUAGAGACUUAAUUUUUAUUCAAAUGUUAACUCAAGGAUUAAGUUAACAAUUUAUCCCAACAAAAAUAAAACUCGAAGUAUAAUUCAAAUACUAUUACUAUAGUUAAGCCUUUGUAAUUUUUACGAAUAUUUGUCUAAAUUUAGACUGGAAAUACAUGCACCGGUUCCUCGAUAGAAAUUAAAGCUGGGUUGGAGGUUUCUCUGCUAAUUUGAGUAUUUGAUCCACAAAUUGAAGUUUUUCUCUAACAUGGCUUGGAAGAAUAAAAGUUGACUGUUUCCAUUUGUGCUGUCAAACUCAAUCGUACAAUCUGCAUGCACGAGUUAAGGAGAACCACACCUUUAUCUCCAGCCUAACAAUUUAAUGUUGGUUUGUAGAAAUUUAAUGUUGGUUAUUGAUUGUUAGCAUGAUCUUAAAUAUUCAUAAUAUCCCGAUAUUUCUAUCGAGAUUUUCGUGUUUUUGAACUACUGAUAUUUUUUUGGACUACCGAUAUUUUUUAUAUCAUCGAUAUUUUAGACCUUGCUAAGUCACUCAUGUAUCUUACCAUGCAAUGUAUAAAGUGUAAAAUAUUAUACUAAUUCAUUAUAUAUAAAUGAUUAUGGUGUGUUUAAACUUCUUUCAUUAAUUAUUACAUAUUUUCUACACUCAUAAUAUUUGUCAGCUUGCUAUAUAAUCAACUUAAAUCAGUUAUAUCUAUCAUGCAAUGCAUUUCCUUUUAAUUUUUUGUGAUAAACUAAUAGAUAAUUGACUAAACAAAGUUUCAAUAAAAAUUUCCAAGUUUUUCUUACAAUUUUCGUGGUUUUUAUUCAAUUUUUAUCGAUAUCGAUAAUAUCUCGAUAUUUCUAUCGAAAUUUCCGUGUUUUGAGACUACCGAUAUUUCCAAUAUCAUCGAUAUUUAAUACAUUGGUUGUUAGUAAUUUAAUGUCGGUUGACCCCAUUGACUCUUCCAUGAUCACACACGCUACCGUCAUUGAAACAUUUGAAAUUGAAUCACUAUAUCACUCGAAAGAGGAUUUUCUUUGGAUUUUCUUUAUGAGGAUUUUAAAAUCUUCUAAUUACAUUCGUUCAUUGUAAAUCGUGUAAUCAGUUUUUAUUAAAUAGGGUUUAUAUUUAAGUUUAAAUAAAAAAAUUACAAUGAUUUUUUACCUCACGAUACUACAAUAAACGGGUGUGAUUAGAUGAUUUCCAGAAUCCUUACAAAGAGGAUCCGGAAAGGAUCCUCAUUCAUAACACCGACCUGUUCACAUGUAAGUCCUUUCUAACAUUCAACCUUAUAGAAAAGAAUUUCAAACCUAACAUUAUAAAAUAAGAAUCUUUUUGCUGCACCGAAUUAUUUCAGACUGAACUAGCUUCAGAGACAAGAACUAGGCUUAGCUUUAACUAAGUUGAAUAAAAAUAGUGAAGCAUUUAGUAUAGUGUUAGACUAAGUCGCAAACUGAAAUAUUUUAGACUAAAUAUUUUUGUUCAGGACAACAGAAAAUUAAGAAACAAAUGUAACACCCGGUUGUCCCACCAUAUAGCAAAACCAUUUCUAUAUACAACUAAGCAAUUCAAAUAUGCCUUCCCUCAGAACGAAGCAAGUCAGUCAUUCGAUUCCAUGAGCACUAGUGCUAAUCCAGUGAAAGGAAAAACAAAUGAGAGAGGAAAAGGCCACCAAUUUAAUCAAACAGUUGGAUGAUCCAACUAGAACAAAUGGAACAUCCUAAUACUAAAUUAACCCAGUACACAGCAGAACAAGGUAAAUUGCUUAAUUGUACAUUCUACAAUUUUUUACAAUAAACUCUGGAAAAUUACUAACUGCCUCAAUCAUCCGAGCUAUAUUCACCCAAUUCAGGAAGAACUGCAACAUCAGCGUAACAACACAACUCUUUAUCCAUUAGGAGGAGAUAGGUUCCAUUUGAAUUCCAUUUUAAAUCAACUAUGCUAAAUUGUGGUUGCGGCGAGAUGCUCACAUAGUAGGCACCACCAGGAGUCCACAUGUACUUAUGAGAAUUUCUCCUGAAAAACAAGACGAGUGCACGUAGUCCACUACAACACACAUGGGAAUGGACUAACUGUUAGUCCAGUCCAAUGAAGUUUAUUGAAUGUAAACAAACACACACUAAAGGAUUAAGUACAAAUAACUAUUCAGCUUUUAAAGUGAUUCCAAAUUGAUCUAAUUCUUUUAAAAUAUUCUAAAUAGCUACAUAACGUUUUAAAGUGGUCAUUUGUUAGAAGACAAGCAUUCAGUGAUGAUGUCACAACCUUUAAUAGAUAAUGUCAUUAAUAUUAAGUGAUGGUUCGAACGAAUACUGAAACUAAUUUUUACUAAUGAAGCUAAUUUUUACUAACACGUCAUUUAUAGAGUGAUGAUGAAUCCCCAAAUGGACUCCUAUUUGUCUAGCUAAAAGGAAUCAGUUUAGAGAUCGAUAUUAUGCUUUGUUGAAGAUCGCUAUACUAUUGUAUUUUCUUAGUUUUCCAAGUAACUAGCGACUUUCCAAAAAUUGUACAAUAUCCACUGGUACAACUUAUAGUGUCUCGACACAUUGCCAACUGAAAUCACACAACCAAGGCUUCUCCCUUGAGGCCAAAGCUUGCAAGCUUCCAUCCGAUAAGGUGGUCGCUGACGAUUAUAAUGGUGCCUAUCUUGUUCUUGGAAUUACGACUAAUAGUCACAGUACGACUCCAAGUAGAGUAGUUGUCACAUCUCGGUUCGAGUCCCCACCACAUUCCGGGCUCAACUCCACCGUAGCACGAUAUUGUCUGCUUUGGGCCUCGACCACGCCCUCACGGUUUUGUUUCUGAGAACUCACACGAGAACUUGUGGGUCACCCAUCAUGGGACAGUCUCAUACAUCCGUUAGUAGAACUGUUAAGUCUCCCGUUAAUUGUGAUGUGGCGCCCAUGUGGACAAUGACUGAGCGCCACGUGUCAUUUAUGUGGAAAUUAAAAAUAAAUUAUUUAUAAUAUAUAUAUAUAUAUUAAAAAAAAGAAAAGCCUUCACCUUCCCCAAAUCCCACCCGUGCCCACCCUCCCAUCACCCACCUCUUCGUCUUCCCCAAAUCCCACCCUCACGCUCAGGAAGAAGAAGAAGAAGGAAGAACAAAAAAAACCCAGAAGAAGAAGAAGAAGAAGAAGAAGAAGAAGAAGAAGAAGAAGAAGAAGAAUGAGGAGGAAGAAGAAAAGCUUGCUAGCUUCCAUUCGAUAAGGUGGUCGUUGACGAUUAUAAUGGUGCUUAUCUUGUUCUUGGAAUUACGACUAAUAGUCACAACACGACUCCAAGUAUUGUAGUUGUCACAUCCCGGUCCGAGCCCCCACCACAUUCCUGGUUCGACUCCACCGUAGCACGAUAUUGUCCGCUUUGGGCCCCGACCCGCCCUCACGGUUUUGUUUCUGGGAACUCACACGAGAACUUCCUAGUGGGUCACCCAUUAUGGGAAUGCUCUCGUGCGAACUCGCUUAACUUUGGAGUUUCGAUGGAACCCGAAGCCAGUGAGCUCCCAAAAGGCCUCGUGCUAGGAAGAGAUGAGAAUAUACAUAUAAGGCUUAGAGGAUCCACUCCCCUGGGAGAUGUAGGAUGUUACAAUCUACCCCCUUAGGGGCUCGACAUCCUCGUUGGCACACUUUCGGCCAGAGAUUGGCUUUGAUACCAAAUUGUCACAUCCCGGCCCGGACCCCCACCACAUAUCGGGCUCGACUCUACCGUAACACGAUAUUAUCUGCUUUAGGUCCCGACCACGCCCUCACGGUUUUGUUUCUGGGAACUCACACGAGAACUUCCCGGUGGGUCACCCAUCAUGGGAAUGCUCUCAUGCGAACUCGCGUAACUUCGGAGUUUCGAUGGAACCCGAAGCCAGUGAACUCCCAAAAGGCCUCGUGCUAGGAAGAGAUGGGAAUAUACAUAUAAGGCUUAGAUGAUCCACUCCCCUUGGCGAUGUGUGAUGUUACAAUAACAACUAGGUAAGUACAAAACCAUUGAACAUAUAUAUAUUUGAAAAACAACUUCAUAAUAUAAAGUCAUCAAUCAUCUAUACUAUAAAGAGGUGUUCUAAACAUGUUCUAAAUAUCAUAUCGUCAUCCAUCAGAUAUUCUAUAAGAACACGGGUUAUAGAAAAAAUAGUAAUAAUUCAAAGGGCAAAAGACUGUUUACUACCCUCAUGUUUCGUGGUUUUCAACAUUUAGUACAUCAAGUUUUUUUCCGCCCAGAGUCAUACCUAAAGUGUAAAUUUUGGGACAGUCUUAUACAUCCGUUAGUCAAACUGUUAAGUCUCCCGUUAACUAUGACGUGGUGCCCAUGUGGACAAUGACUGGGCGCCACGUGUCAUUCAUGUGGAAAUUAAAAAUAAAUUAUUUAUAAUAUAUAUAUAUAUAUAUAUAUAUUAAAAAAAAAAAACCUUCACCUUCCCCAAAUCCCACCCGUGCCCACCCUCCCAUCACCCACCUCUUCGUCUUCCCCAAAUCCAACCCUUCCAUCACCAUCUUCGACUCCACGCUCAGGAAGAAGAAGAAGAAGAAGAAGGAAGAAGAAAGUGAAAAAAAAAAAAAAAAAAAACCAAACCCAGUUCAUCCCCCCAGCAAAAACCCAACCCCCUGCAACCCAUAAGAAGAAGAAGGAGGAGAAAAAAAAAUCCCAUGAGAAGAAGAAGGGAAAAAAAAAACCCAUAAGAAGAAGGAAAAAAAAAAUGGAAGGGAACCCAGUUCAUCCCCUCGAGGAGGAAGAAGAAGAAGAAGAAGAAGGAAGAGGAGGAAGAGAAAAAAAAAAGAAAAAAAAGAAAAGAGAAAACCGAACCCAGUUCGUCCACCCCCCCCCCCCCCCCCCCCCCCCCCAAAAAAAAACCCAACCCCCUGCAACCCAGAAAGAAGAAGAAGAAGAAGAAGGAAGAGAAGGAGGAGGAGGGUCCACCCCCCCCCCCCCCCCCCAAAAAAAAAAACCCAACCCCCUGCAACCUAGAAGAAGAAGAAGAAUGAGGAUGAGGAGGAGGAAGAAGGAAAAAAAAAAAAAAAAGGGGAACCCAAUUCGUCCCCCCGAGAAAGAAGAAGGAGGAAGAAGAAUGGAAAAAAAAAAAUAACCGAGCCCAGUUCGUCCACCCUCUGCAACCUAGAAGAAGGAGAAGAAGAAGAAGAAGGAGGAGGAGGAUGAGAAGGAAGAAGAAGAAGAAGAAGAAAGAAAAAAAAAAAGGAACCCAGUUUAUCCCCCCGAGGAAGAAGAAGGAGGAGGAAGAAGAAUGAAAAAAAAAGAAGAGAAAACUGAACCCAGUUCGUCCACCAGUCUCCAACCCCCCGCCCCCCAAACCUAACCCCCUGUAACCCAGAAGAACAAGAGAAGAAGGAGGAGGAAGAAGAAGAAGAAAAAAAAAAAAAAGGGAACCUAAUUCGUCCCCCCGAGGAAGAAGAAGAAGAAGAAAAAAAAAAAAAAAAAGGUACAUGAUUUUGUUUUUAAAAAAAAAUUUUGGCGGGAAAAAAUGUAAGGUACAUGGUUAUGGGAAAAAAAAAUUGGGCGGGAAUUUUUUUUUUUUAACCCCUAAAAAAAAAAAAAUCCACGUGGCGCCCAGUCAUUGUCCACGUGGGCGCCACGUCACAGUUAAUGGGAGAUUUAACACAUUAACUAACAGAUGUAUGAGACUGUCCCAAAAUUUACACUUUAGGUAUGACUCUGGGACGAAAAAAACUUGAUGUAGUAAAUGUUGAAAACCACAAAACUUUAAGGUAGUAAACAGAGUUUAACCCUAAUUCAAAAUAGCCUCAGUUAGCAUGUUAUCUCAUAAAAUGUUUCAUAAAAUGUAAUCAUUAAAUCAUGCUUUUCAUGUAUGCAUUUAUACUAUUAAAACAUGCAUUUUAGAAAGGGUCCACUCAUAGAUACUUCGCCGCUGAAGAGCCAUGCAAAUUAGCAAAGACAGAAAUGCCACAAUAAUUGCCCAUAAGCACAUAAAGGGUCCAAUUAAUAAAACUUUAUUCUAACAAUUGAAUUUGGGAAUGCGGACGUCGGAAACGGAUUCAGGACGUCAAAUUAUCCUAAGAGAGUUCCGGGCAACGGUUAUGGUGUUGGCAUAGGGCCUGAAGUGUUUUUCCUCUGGUUAUUAGCACAAGGACGAGGAGCCGACAUGGGGCCUGGGGUAAUUUUCCUCUGACUGUUUGUUUAGAGACGGGGAGCCGGCAUGGGGCCUGGAGAGUUAUUGGACAUUCACUAGUGAUUAUUAUAUAUACAAGUUAUGAUUUGAGACAUUGCACGACAUGCUAGGUUUCGGAAAACCUAUGUUUAUCAUGAUAUAUAUGUGUUUUCAUAAAACUUGGGGGUUAGUACGUUGAUAACUGUUUCGUGAACGGUUUUCCUUUGCGUGUUCGUGGGAUCAAGCUCUAUCAGAAAAUGCUAAAAGUAACCUCGAAAGAUGUACGGAUUUUUAAUGAAAAUUCAAACUUUUGAAAUACUUAAUUAAAGCUCUAAAUUAACGAAAAUAAAUUUGCAUAAUUACGAAAUAUGAAAAAUUAAAUAUUGAAAUUCGGGGAUGGGAUUUCAUACUUAGUGUGGCAUGUGUUUGUUCUUCGGUAUCGGUAGGACAAGACAUGGACAAUUACAAAACAAUAAACUUGUUUUAAAUAUUACUACCACUAAGAUAUUGUGAGGUAAAGCAUGAGCAGCAAUUACUUUCACUUUCACCUGUGUACCUUAUAUUUGGUAAUGGACAAUUCUGCUUGUCCUUGGUCCAUCUCCAAUAUUGACUUCAUUUCUCUUUUCGACUUGUUUUUGACUCCCCUUUUCUUUUAACUUGAACUGGAUAUUUAACCACCUCUCUUUGAGAACUCCUACCUCCCUAUUCACUUUUUUUUUCGACCACGGUUACCAAAAACCAAAGAGUUCAACUUCGACCACGACUACCUUCUUCUGACAUCAAUGCCUUGUUAAUAAGAUCUGAAACUUUUUUUUUUAUAAAAAAAACAGAGCUCUUUUGGACACGAUAGAAGUGUCGUAUCUUUGCCUUCACUAUCCCAAAAUAAUACUGGAUUCGGUGGUUGAAGCCACAUUUUCAAUAUGUAAGAUUGAGGCAGCAACUCUAUUUGUUUCAUUCUCAAAUAGACAAUAUGUGCCGACAAGGAAUUCCGCGAAACUCCAUCUCUUUGCAGCUACAUUUAGCAAUAUCUGAGACCGUAUCAAUCACCAUCUUCUUUGUCUUUGUCACUUAUGCAACCUUUCAAGUACUUCAUACAUGUCCUCAUUCCCAUCCACUGACUUCUCCCUCAAGAAACAAGUUAUACUCUUCAAUUCGUCCACUUAAAGCCCUUCAAACAUAAACCUGGUGUGCAAUUUGGCCAUUUGAGCUUCCAUCAGGGUGCGAAACAGCAUAAGAAGGACACAGUUUUCAUCAUUAUGGUCUUUCUGAUGUUGGCGUCCAAGGGAUCAAUUAAACGAAUGAUGAAUUCAAUUAAAGACUGCUUUCUAUUAGCAUACUGCUUGAAAAAGUAAUAAGAACACUAGGCAUGUUGACUGCUCAACAUUCUGACAGAAAAAGCGUGCUUACAAAAUGUAGAAACCCAAGCCAAGUUUCAUCGGCUAACCCAACAUAGCUUUAAGGAAUUCUUCAAACAAUCACUCAAAGCUCUCGAUUUUUUAUUUUUCAGGAAUGCACAACCCAAUACCAUGGUUUGAUCAUGGUUAUUCACUCUUAACAAAGAAGCAAAUAUCAUCCCAUCCACAAUGAUGUUGAAUGUAGUGUCAAACACAAUCACAUUACCAAAAUGGUUAUAACCACAUCUUGACUUAGCAUCCGCCCAAAAGAAAUUUCUAAGUAUUCCGCCUUAAUUCAUUCUCCAUCUUGUAAUAGAAUGACUUGUUUCUUUUUCUCAUCAUCAAAAUUCUCUUUGAGCAUUUCCACAUCAUAUGCUCAAUUAGAUGAGCUCGCAAUUGUUGUUCGACGUUAUACAUAUCCUUGGGGUGCAACCAAUUAUUCUAAUUCCUCCACCUUGCACCUCUAAUAAACCCACUUGUAUACUUAUGGAAAUAUUCGUUUGCGCACAUUGUUCAAUCAUCACCUUCUUUUCCUCUGAAACCCAAUGAUGAGAUUCAAAUCAGUGUGAUGCACUUGCCAUAGGUGGUUGUGUCUGGACUCCUUCGUUGAAAACUGUUCAGUAAACUUAUCGCGACCAAUUUCCUUAUAUAGCGCAAGUUUCGCCUGGUAGUCACUUCUAGAAUCUUCCCUCCUCCCUUUCUAAUUAGUCUGAGAUUAUCAUCUAUCCUCUUUUUGCCUUGUUUGCUACAAACAAAUUUUUUGUUUUAUAUUAAGGUUUAAUAGAAACAAACUCUUUAUUUUCUAGAUUAGGUCAGGGAAACUAUGAAGCAACAAUGUUUGUUUUUUAUAAACAUGAAGCAACAAUGUUAGGGCAACGUAUUGGAUAAGUACUCAAUGACUGCACUAGAUAUUUCUAGUCGUUUAAUUAGUUUCUUAUGAAAAUUUAAAAGGAAAGUGUUUUAUGCACACUUUUUUCCUCAUUUUGUUAAUUUAGUUUCUUGCAGGCUUAUAUCAAACAAGUUGAAAUCGGCCACGGAAGCAAGGCUUAUAUCAUUGCUGUUGGAAGUUUUGAGACUCUUGUUCCACAUUGGAGAAAACAAGAUUCUCAAUGGCCUUUAUAUAGAUUUAGUGCUUUAGUCUAGUAGUUAAAACAUGGACCAUUUGGAAAUGGAUUGAAGGUUUGGGCCUUAUGGUUGUGUGGAUUAGGCUUGUAUAAUAUAGCCUAAAUACAAUUAAUAUUAACUAAUCAAGAGGCCCUUGGGGCCUUGGAAUUUAAAAUUAAUUUGAUUCAUUAAUUUUAAUUUUCGGAUUAAGUUUUUAAUUAAUUUAUUAAUUAAAAACGUUUUGAUUAAAAGACACAGCUCUUAGAAAGAGUUGUGUACCUUCAAAUACAUUGAACAGGUGUUUGAAAGGGUGUGAAACAGCCUAUAUAUUUGCAAUCACAGUAUCCAAAUGAAUUAUCUUUUCUUGCUCUUUUCUUCUGUACGAAUUUUCUAGAGAGUAAACACACAAAAAGCAAAUUCGCUAGAGUUCUAGAACCCAGUGCAGAUUGUAAAAUCAGGUAGUUGAAUUCUGGUCGAGCAGACGUUGUAGAACCACAAGCACAUGAGCGAGACGUAAAUACUGUUCGAAGGACAUAGCUUUUACGCUAGCCUCUACCUUCUGUAAUCAAGUUAGUAACAUUAAUAUUCUUAUAUUAAUUUCUGUAUUAUUGUGUAAUUUUCUUUUUGCAUAGCAAGUAUAUUUUGGUUAAUAAAAUAUUAGAAUUUCUGUUAUUUUUGUUUAUUUCUGAAUUGUUCUCUAACAAUCUUCGAACAAUAUGGAACAAUCAGGAACUAAACCUCAUUCUGAGAAGCCUGAGAAAUUUAAGGGCGGAGAUUUCAAAAGAUGGCAACAGAAGAUGCUGUUUUAUUUGACAACACUGAACUUGGCUAAUGUUCUGCGCGAAACUGAGCCUACUGCAGAUGGAGAAAAUAUAUUUUCUGUAGAAACUUUAACGGCCAUAGAUGCCUGGAAACAUAAUGAUUUCCUCUGCAGAAACUAUAUUCUCAAUGCAUUAGAUGAUUCGUUGUAUAAUGUCUAUGUGGUAUUCAAAAUAGCCAAGGAACUUUGGGAAUCACUUGAGAAAAAAUAUAAAACCGAGGAUGCUAGUUCAAAGAAAUUUGUCGUGAGCAAAUUUUUGGACUACAAAAUGGUGGAUUCCAAGUCUUUUGUCUCUCAAACUGAAGAUCUCCAGAAAAUCAUCCAUGACGUUCAUGUUGAAGGGAUGGUAAUCAAUGAGUCUUUCCAAGUGGCGUCCAUUAUACAAAAACUGCCACCUUCUUGGAAAGAGUUCAAGAGUUAUCUCAAGCACAAACGUAAGGAGAUGACCCUUGAGGAUCUCAUUGUAAGGCUGAGAAUUGAGGAAGAUAACAGAAAAAAUGAGAAGGGCCUGGUUUCGAGUAUGGAAGCCAAGGCGAAUGUUGUUGAAGGAAGUUCAUCAAAGCAAAGGUCGAAAUUCUAGAAAACUAAGAAGAAGGAAAGCCACUUUAUCCUUGGUGUGAAAGGCAAAGACUUCAAGAAAAUCAAGGGAAGUUGCUGGGUUUGUGGAAAGCAAGGCCAUAGGGCUCAAGAAUGUCGCCAUCGAAUGGAUCAAGGUCCAGGAAAUCAAGGCAACAACAACCGCGCAAACCUGAUUGAAAACAAUGUGGAUGCCCUGGCUGCAAUGAUUUCUGAAAUCAACCUUGUAUCUGACUACGCUGAUUGGUGGAUAGAUACUGGUGCAACUUGCCAUGUAUGUGGUGACAUAAAUAUGUUCUCUUUGUACCAGAAAAUCGAGGGAAACAAGCAGCUGUUUAUGGGAAAUGCAUCUGCAUCUGUUGUGGCUGGAAUAGGGAUGUGUGUUCUGAAAUUCACUUAUGGAAAGGAGUUAACCCUCCUUAACGUGCUGCAUGUCCCCGAUAUAAGGAAGAAUCUUGUUUCUGGUCCUAUCCUUAGUAAUAAAGGAUUCAAACUAGUUUUUUAGUCCAAUGAGUUUGUACUAACUAAAGGGGGAAUGUUUGUAAGGAAGGGUUACCUUGCUGAUGGAUUAUUCAAACUAAAUGUACUUGCUAAUGCUAUGAAUGAAAUAAAUAAUGCUUCUGCUUAUAUUGUUGAUUCGUCUCAUUUAUGGCACUCUAGGUUAGGAUAUGUAAAUUUUUCGUUCUCUUUUUAGAAUGCAUAAUUUAGGUUUGCUCCCCAAAAUUGAUUAUCUAGAUAAUGUUAAAUGUGAAACUUGUACAGAAUCGAAAUUUGCAAGUCAAAGCUUUAAAUCAGUGCAUGAAAAAUCCAAUGAUUUGUUAGAUUUAAUUCAUAGUGACUUGUGUGAUUUUAGAUCAUAUCCAACUCGUGGUGGAAAGAACUAUUAUGUAACAUUUAUAGAUGAUUUCAAUAAGUAUUGUUAUGUUUAUUUACUUCAUAGCAAAGAUGAGACCUUGGAUAUGUUUAAGACAUAUAAGGCAGAAGUUGAAAAUCAACUUAACAAGAAGAUUAAAGUCUUAAGGUCCGAUAGGAGAGGAGAAUAUGAGUCUCAUGCAUUUGCUGAAUUUUGUGCCACACAUGGCAUAAUUCAUCAAAUAACAGCCCCCUAUACACCACAACAAAACGGUGUUUCCGAACAAAAAAAAGGACUUUUAAAGACAUGAUCAAUUCCAUGUUGAAUAGCUCUAGGCUUCCACACAAUAUGUGGGGCGAAGCUUUACUUACUGCAAAUAAAAUUUUGAAUCGAAUUCCACCUAAAACGAGAAAGGAGUCACCAUAUGAAUUAUGGAAAGGAAGAACUCCAACGUUUAAAUUGCUUAAAGUGUGGGGUUGCCAAAGAGAACAAAAUUAGGGCCUAAAACUAUAGAUUGUGUUUUUAUUGGUUUUGCAUCUAAUAGUUCAGCUUAUAGAUUCUUAGUUUUUCAUUCCGAAGCAAGUGAUAUACAUGUCAAUACUAUUAUAGAAUCUAUAAAUGCAAUAUUUUUUGAGGAUAUUUUUCCAUACAAAAUAGGCAAGUCUAAUUUAUUAAAAAAAAGAUUACAUGAUGAUGUAUCUAAGGUUACUAACGAACCUAGAGAACAUGAUGAUGGUUCAACCUCGUCUAGAGUUCAAGAAGAGGAAGAACUUGAACCUAGAAGAAGUAAAAGGACAAAAAUUUGAAAGGACUUUGGGCCUAAUUUUGUGACCUUAUUAACCGAGACAGAACCUCAAUCAUUCAAGGAGGCCAUUUCCACUCCUGAAGCUCCAUUUUGGAAGGAUGCAGUUAAUAGUGAGAUAUAUUCCAUUAUGCAAAAUCAUACAUGAGAAUUAGUCGAUUUGCCCUCUGGCAAUAAGCCAAUUGGGUACAAAUGGAUCUUUAAGAAGAAAUUAAAACUAGAUGGUACAAUUGACAAAUAUAAGGCUCGUUUGGUAACUAAAGGAUACCAAACCAUUAUGAAGUAAUUUUUCGUUUACCUUAUGGAUGCAUCUAACUUCCUCGUUAGACUGCCUACGUACCCUCAAUAGGGAUCAAGCCAUUCGUAGUUCACUUAUCACAAAAUCAGACGUUUAUUCCACUAAGUUCAAGCAGAAAAGCAUAGCAUUCCUCAAUCAUUUAUUAUAACCUGUCAACAUGUAAUCCCUGGACUCAGGCUACAUAACCAAUCCCCAUGAAAACAUGAUUUCUCUCCCAUCCAACAUAUAAAUCAUUAUGUCUCAUCAUGAUAUCGCAAUUCACAACACACAUCAUAUUUAAGAGCCGACGAAACACAAAACCAUUCUUUAGCCGCAUUAAUUAAUUAAUUUGAUCAAGUAAUAACAGUCAUUCCCAUAUCUUCUAAAUUCAUACCAUAUGAAAUCAUAAUCAAAUCAUAGAAAAUCCCGAAGGAGUCACUCAGACGUCCAACAUCUUUUCUAACUCAAUUCACAAGACUCUCGAAACCAUUGACACAAAUAUAUAUAAAACUAAGGCUAGAGUGACACAGUUAGGCCAAGCCUACUUCUCCAAAUAAUGGGAUUUUAGGCCACUCCACGAAAUUCAACAACCUCGGGUUCCGGACUACUCAACGGAACCAACCCAAAUAUGAUCGCCUAUAAAAUGUACCAGGUACAACCAAUCAUCAUCACCUCUAGAAUGCGCAUGGUCCCCCAUCGCGAAUAUACCAAGCAGAACCAUAGGCAUAAUCUCAUCGUGCAUGCAGUGAUCACCCAUCUCGGAUAUACCAAGCAUGAUCACCCCUGAAUACAUAUGGUCCCCCAUUGCGGAUAUACCAAGCAGAACCAUAGGCAUAAUCUCAUUGCUAUGAUUUACAUCGUAAUCACUUGCACUAUCAACUUCUCAUGACCACUAUCUUAUCAUACAAGCAUAAAAGUUCUACAUAAACUUCUCAUAAGAUUUUGGGUUUACAUCGUCAUAAAAACAAUCAUUCACAUCAUACAUAUCCAACCACAUUUCAUAACAUUUCCAAACUACAGUAGAUUCACAAUUACUAAACAUAGAUCGAUGCUAAAAAUAAAAAUAACAAUUCAAUAGGAAGCAUAUCUAAUCAACAAGUAUAACUCAAUAUGGUGCCACUAAUACAUAUAUCGAGACACACGUCAACUGGGAAUGACACGUCAUCAUGAUGAGCCAACUAAGCUCCAUCAAGCCUCAACAACAUACUAGAGGUAAGCGACCUCAAGAGUAGAGCACGUUGACUAGAACGUCAACCGUCGAUAAGGUAGGUCCAUUAAGGUCAACAACCUAAGGUUAUUUGAUCCAGAAGAUCCACACAUCGGAUUUCCUAUCUAUAAGUUCUCAAAGGUCUAACAACUGAUAACUAGGGUGUUCACAAAAUUGUACGACGAACCAACGAUCGGAUUGUCAUCAAUCACACAAACAAGUGGCUGUCCAAUUUGAUUACCACACCAAACAAUUGAAUUUCGGGAAACCGAGCUAGACAUAGGUUCACAAGGUCACUAGAAGGUAUUUGAUACUUAGACAACACUCGUGGAUGGUCACACGCGGUGGUAGCCAAGGUGGAGGGUUUAGAAACCCCUAAUUUUCAACAUGAACUAAAUGAGCUCAAAUUUAUAUGGUAGCUAGAGCUCAACAAGGGAAACACUUUUCACAACUAGGCCAAUGAUAAAUUCUAACCGGAAACUGUCCAAAUUCACCGAAGAAAACCGGAUUUCUAGGGUUCUAAACACCCAACUCUAAAAUGAAUACGAAAGCACAAACCAAGCAUAUCAACUUGAAGAUUAUGAAGAGUAGAUGAAGUUUCCUACCUCACUCGAAGGAAAUGGUUGCUGGAAUCACAUGAAAAAUGACAAAAUCGCCAGAAACCCACAUAAAUUUUCUGCCUCAAACUAGAAAAAUGGAUAAUAAAAUGGAAAAUUUAACACUACAGAGAUGUAUGGCUCGUCAAGAGCUUUCUAUGGACACCAAGAUCACCCAAAACGGAGCUCGGAUGAAGGAGAUAUGAGUGGGUCAAGUUGGCGGGUUAAAGGGUUGAAAUCGCCCCAAAAAGGGGUCAAAAUCAGACCCCUCCUUUUUUUUUUUUUUUUCAGAAACCUUCCCCCCCCCCCCUUUUAUUUGAUUGGUCCUUCUCCUGCUAGCUAAUUAGUCCUCUUAUUUUUGCUUAAAUCUGAUUAAGCUUCUUCCUCGUGGAAGUUUAAUCGAUUUAAAAUCUAUAGUUUAGUAACACAACUUCAAAUGUCCGUAAUUAUACCAUUAUAAUCCAGGCUCGCAAACGGCUUUCGCCAAUACAUUCGUGGUUUCGAGAUCUAUUCGAAAACGCUACUUGUGACCUCGAAAGGUCAACGAGUAAAUAAUAAUUUUCCAAACUUCACUCUUUGUAACUAGUUUAAUUGAAAUCCAAAUUCAAAUAAAUAAAUAUAAAUUUUCGAAAAAUAAUACAAAAUCUCAAUAAUACAAAUACGUAGAUUAUAACAAUGAAAUCCAGGAACGGGAUUUCACAAAUUGGUUGAGUGAUAUCCAAUUAGAAACAUGCAGCCCUGGAUAAGAACUCCGAACUUGGGGUAGAUUAUGAAAUCCCAUAGAUGUUACUUUAGGGAACCCGAACUCGUGUUGUUUCUGGUCCUUCUUCCUUUGCAACAAUUUCCCCCCGUUAAACCACAAUUCUCAACCUUCAACUUGCUUAGCUACUUAAGAUCUUUGGCCACUGAGGCGGGGAAGACAUUUUUCAAACUUUCACAUGCUUCUAUCUUAACUGAAUUUAGAUUUGUUCAAAUCCAUUCAACUGAGUGGUAGAUGAUGUGUCAUAUACCACUUGUACUAAUUGACAUUGCUAUAUUUUUAAUGUCUCUAGACCAUUCAAUCUUCCCAUGAUACUUGACCCAAAGAUAUUAAUCAGACUGUGGCAUCUACAAACAUCUAUAAUUCUGAUCCUGCCAAAAGAGUCUGGAUCAAGUUGAUUGUGGAAUAUUAUCUUCAACUUAGGUAAGUCCUAUAUGUACAAUCUCUCCAAGCUAGAAAAUCCUACCUGCCACAUAUUUAUUUUAGAACUUAUGGACAAGCCUUUUUUUACUUUCACAAAAGUAGGACUCCAUAACCUUAGACAGAAGAGGAACGUUUGGUUAUAUUCUGUUUUGUCGUUGGUUUCCCUGGGCUGCACUAGUCUCAGUACAACUCGGCGGCUCCUCCUUCUAGUCUACGCUGUCGGCAUCCCGGCUCUGUCCUCUACCCGCCUUCCAUCCUUCCUUGGCAAUUGUAAGUCCUUAUUCACUUGUUCUUUAUCUUCUUUUCCUUUUUCUUGUAAAUUAAUUUAUAAGAUUGUUUUUGAAUUCUGAUAUUGUGAUUUUACAUUUAAGAAUCAAUGUUGAUGGGUUUUUAGUUGAUAGAUUUUUUUAGGGAUUUUAGGAUUUUGAUAAAUGCGCAAUUUCUAAUUUCACAUAAUUCCUUACUUUUUAGGGAUUUAAAGGCUUAGUUGAGUUAAUAGUAAAGACGGGAGAUGCUAUUCAGAAUGCGGGAACAACUUUACAUGGUCAUUUUGGUCACCUGUUUGCUGAUACAUGGCUGAUUAUGCAAGAGUUCAAGCAAUGGAAGAUUUCCUUCGGACCAAGAGAGACGAACAGAGUGGCACAUAGGCUUGCACGGUUGAGUUUAACGCUUGACCAUCCAAUUUCUUGGUUUGAAGAACCCCUGAUAUUAUUUUUGAUUUAUUAUUGGAGGAUAGUCUUUAUAGUUAAAUUGGUGCGGGACACUCUUUUUUCCUUCGAUUGGAUUGAAAACCCUGACAAGGUUUUUAUUGAGAUUCGUGUGAUGUAUGCUCACCACCAUUUAGUGUGGUGUAUGCUCAACACCGUAUUUAUCACCAUUAGAUGAGUUUGAAUUUCGAGAUUCGCACGAAUCUCGAAAUUCAAACUCAUCUAACGGUUGAUAAUGUCACAUUCCGGCCUGGGGCCCCACCACAUCCUAGGCUCGACUCCACCGUAGCACGAUAUUGUCCGCUUUGGACAUCGACCACGCCCUCACGGUUUUGUUUCUUGGAACUCACAUGAGCAGAAUUGUGAAAUCUCGUUCCCGGAUUUCACUGUUAUAAUCUACGUAUUGUACUAUUGAGAUUUUAUAUUAUUUCUCCAGGAUUUAUUUUAAAUUGUUUGAAUUUAGAUUUUAAUUAAACUAGUUACGAAGAGUGAAGUUUGAAAAAUAAUUAUUUAAAAUUCGUUGACCUUUUGAGGUCACAAGUAACGUUUUCGAAUAGGUCUCGAAGCCACGAACGCAUAGGCGAAACCGUUUGCGAGUCCGAAUUAUAACAGUAUAGUUACAGACGUUUGAAGUUGUGAACUAUAGAUUGUGGAAAUUGUUUAAAUUCCACAUGUUGCUAAAGGUUAAGUGAGUCUAAUAAUAUUAAAAGGAGACGAUCAGAUUUUUAAGGGAGGUCUGAUUUUUUUGACCCGUUUUGGGCGUUUUCGACCCAUUAAAACCACAAACUUGAUCCACUUGUAUCUUUUUCAUCCGAUCUUCGUUUUAGGUGAUCUUGGUGUCCAUGAAAAGCUCUUGACGAGCCCUACAACUCUGUAGUGUUAGAGUUUCCAUUUUCUUAUCCAUUUUUCCAGUUCGAGGCAGCAAAGUCCUGUGGGAUUUCAGGCGAUUUUGUCAUUUUUUCGGCGAUUCCGACAACCAUUUCCUUCAAGUGAGGUAUGAAACUUCAUCUACUCUUCAUAAUCUUCAAGUUGGUAUGCUUGGUUUGUGUUUUUGUAGUCGUAUUAGUGUUGGGUGUUUAGAACCCUAGAAAUCCAGUUUUCCCGGUGAAAUUGGAUGGCAUACGGCUUGAAUUUGUCGUUGGCCUAGUUGUGAAAAGUGUUUCCCUUGUUGAGCUCUAGUUACCACAUAAAUUUGAGCUCAUUUAAUUAAUAUUGAAAACUUGGGUUUUCAAACCCUCCACCUUGACUAUCCUGCGUGUGGCGGUGCGUGGGACCGUCCACGAGUGUUGUCUAAGUACCAAAUAGCUUUUAGUGAUCCUAUGAAUCUAUGUCUAGCUCGGUUUCUCGAAAUUCAAUUGUUGGUGUGGUGAUCAAAGUGGACCGCCACUUGUUUGUGUGGUUGAUGACAAUCCGGUCGUUGGAUCGUCGUACAAUUUUGUGAACACCCUAGUUACCAGUUGUUGGACCUUUGAGAACUUACAGAUCGGAAAUCCAAUGUGUGGAUCUUCCGGAUUGAAUAACCUUAGGUUGUUGACCUUAAUGGACCUACCUUAUCGACGGUUGACGUUCUAGUCAACGUGCUCUACUCUUGAGUGUCGCUUAUCUCUUGUUUGUUGUUGAGGCUUGAUGGAGCUUAGUUGGCUCAUCUCGAUGAUGUUUCGUUCCUAGUUAAUGUGUGUCUCGAUUUAUGUAUUAGUGGCACUGUAUUGAGUUAUACUUGUUUAUUAAAUGUGCUUUCUAUUGAAUUGUUAUUUUUAUUUUUAGUAUCGAUCUAUGUUUAUUAAUUGUGAAUCAACUGUAGCUUGGAAACGUUUAUGAAAUGUGGUUAGAUAUGCAUGAUUAGUAUGAUGUGUAUGAUUGUUUUUAUGACGAUGUGAACCCAAAAUCUUAUGAGAAGUUGAUAGUGCAAGUGAUUACAAUGUAAAUCAUAACGGAUGAGAUAAGGGUAAGUGGUUCAUGUGUUGAUCUAACUGCACCAUGUAGACGUGGUACAUGGAUGGUCCUGCUUGGUUAAUCCACGUUGGGGGACCAUACUAUAUAUGGAUCGUGCUUGGUUAAUCCGCAUUGGGUGAUCACUACCUAACAGUUUUGUAGGUGUGACUCUACUUGGUUAAUCCACGUUGGGGGUCACUACCUACAUGAUUAUCUUGACCUUGCUUGGUUAAUCAUCAUUAAGGGAUCACUAGUGAUCCUGCUUGGUUAAUCCGCGUUGGGGGACCAUACUUUAUAUGGGUCGCGCUUGGUUAAUCCGCGUUGGGCGAUCCUUAUGGCCAUGUAUGCUUAGGAAUGAUCAUGCUUGGUUAAUCCGCAUUGGGUGAUCACUUCCUAACAGUUGUAGGAGUGACUCUGCUUGGUUAAUCCGAAUUGGGGGGUCAUUGCCUACUUGGAUACUUUCUCAGGGGUGGCUCUGCGUGGUUAAUCCGCUUUAGGGGGCCACUUCCUGUUUGAUUACUUAUGUAGGCUUCGGCUAAAAUGCAUUCCUCUAGCCCUAGUUUUAGUGCACAUAUGAAUGAUGGUUUUUGAGAAUCUUGGUGGUUUGAAUGGGAAAUGUCGAUGGAUGUUUGGGUGACUCUUUCGGAGUUGCAGCAACUUGAUUAUAAUUUCAUACAACAUGAUUCUACACUCGAUGUUUAUAGAUUGCGAUCGAUGAUCUGUUUUUACUAAAUAUCACAUAAUUGUAUUAUUGUCACUUACCCGAGCCUCGCAGUUUAUUUUAAGUGUCUGAUUGGCCAAAAGUACCAUUUCUAUGAUGUAGGCACUGCUUUUACAUAUGACAGGUCUGAGUAGAUUAUGAGAAACUGCUUGAUAUUUUGGUUCCGUUGAGUGGUCCGGAACCCGGUGUUGUUGGAUUCCGUCUAGUGGUCCGGAAUCUUUGCUCUUGCUCAUCCCCAUAAGAUUAGUCUAGAACCCUAGAUUCGAGUGAAUGAGAAUUACCCACAAUAGACCUUGUGAAUAUAAAAUAGAGUUACCAUGUUAUUGCUCAUAACCCAAGUAGGGAAUUAUGUAGAGUUCCUUAAUUAAAUUCAUGAAAUAAUAUGCUAUCUCAUUGAUUAUUUAAUGUAAUUAAAUAUUAAUAUUAUGCUUUGUGAUUCCUUGGUAUGUUAUAAGCUAUGGACUGAGAUAUAAUGUUGGAAGCAUAGUGAUUGGUAUGAUGUAGUGAAAUGUGAUUUGACUUGUGUAUUGGAAAUGGUUGUGACAUGUGAUUGAAAUGCAUAUUGAAUUGCUUGGGAGAUGUGAGGUCUAGUAAUGGACCGAUAACCUAUUGUGAUGGGGAUUUGUUGCUCAAUAUUGUUUCAUUUCGUUGAGUCUUUGUGAAUUGAGUAACUUGAAUCAUGUCUUGUUCCUUCGAGCCGUUGUUAUGCUUCUUGGACUUCCAUUUAGUUCUGUUGAGUGGUCCGGAACUGAGUUCUACUUGGAUUCCGUUAAGUGAUGGUCCGGAAUCCCUUCUACUCCGCGAUUCUGUUGAGUGAUGGUCCGGAAUCGUAUCCUGAUUGGAUUCCGUUGAGUGAUGGUCCGGAAUCCCCUUUGGUGCCUUGGUUCCAUUGGGUGGUCCAAAGUCCCCUUUUCCAGAGAUGUAGUCUUCGAUUGAACUGUGUCGCUCUAGCCCGCAUUUCAACUUGUUGUAUGUGUUAUUGAUGAUGUGAUGGUUGGCAUUAUUAUUAAUUGAUGUGAUUAUGGAAUAAUGUUGGUUGUGAUUGUUGUCAUUAUGAUUAGACUCGUUGAUCAUUUGGUUAAAGGAUAACAUGGUGAACUACGAAUGGCUUGAUCCCUAAUGAGGGUACGUAGGCAGUCUAACGAGGAGGUUAGAUGCAGCCAUAAAAUAUACGAAAAGAAAAAUUUACUAUGAGAAUAGAUUCUCGAGUUGUGAUUUGCCUUAUUUCAGAUGCGGGGUAUGUUGAGAUACAGGUUUAGGUGACGUCACGUGUCGAUCCUGGACGUAUGUCGGGAUCGGGACGUGACAAGAACUUCCCAGUGGGUCACCCAUCCUGUGAAUGCUCUGACCCCAUUCUUGCUUAACUUCAGAGUUCCUACGUAACCGAAGCCAGUGAGCUCCCAAAAUGCCUCGUGCUAGGUAGAGAUGUGAAUAAAUAUAAGGCUUAUAUAAUCCAUUCCCUUAGGUGAUAUGGGAUGUUACAAUCCACCCCCCAUUAGGGGCCCGACGUCCUCGUCGACACACUUCCGGCUAGGGAUUGGCUCUAAUACCAAAUUGUCACAUCCCGGCCCGAGCCCCCACCACAUCCUGGGCUUGACUUCAUCGUAGCACGAUUGUCUGUUUUGGGCCCCGACCAUGCCCUCAUAGUUUUGUUUCUGGAAACUCACAUGAACAGAACUUCCCAGUGGGUCACCCAUCCUGGGAAUGCUCUGGCCCCAUUCUUGCUUAACUUCGUAGUUCCUACGAAACUGAAGCCAGUGAGCUCCCAAAAGGCCUCGUGCUAGGUAGAGAUGUGAAUAUACAUAUAAGGCUUACAUGAUCCACUCCCUUGGGCGAUGUGGGAUAUUACAAAUCAAUAGGGUAAUGAACAUACAACACACUACAUGGUGGUGAGCAAAAAUGCACUCCACUGUUAGCACCCUAUCCUCAAAUUUGUACAUAUUUCUACAAUUCAAUGAAUAUCGUACUUGCAUAAAAAAAAUAGUAAAGACGGGAGCUUUGAAUAAUUUCACAUAAACGUCUAAUUUCGAACUUCUGAAGUGCUCCAGCCAAAUUGAACUUCCUGAUUGGUACUUCAUUAGAUCUGCAUCCGUGGCAAGGAAAGUCUACUUGAGUGCUGGUCUUGGUGUUGGUGCCUUCAGCAGGAUCUAUGGAGGGAGCAAGAGGAACUGAAGGAAAACAGAGCAGUAUGCAACUCUUUUUGCUUUGUUUUGCUUUUUCUACUAAACUUCUUCUGGACACAACUGCAUAGUGGAAGCAAAAGUCGGGUUAUACAGCACUUGCAAAGUAGAAACUAUGCUACGAAAUAGAUGUUUCUUGAUCAUCAAACAACAAAGACUAAAAAGAUGACGAAUGACUUUCUGAAAACAAUUUUUAUAAUCCAAAAACUUGGUUGGUAUUGAGCUACAUGCAAACAUUUAUGACUGGCUUUGAAUUUCACUUAGACAUUUUAACAAACACAUAUCUGUGCACUUUAAGCCCUGCAGAAAAUGAAAUGAAGAACAAUUCGCUCGUUGAAGACUAACAAGUUUCAUUGAAAAUGUGUCUAGUGCCCAUAUCUAAAAUGUCAAAAACUAGUAAAUUUGUGUUUGAUAGUAAAGGUUUUGUAAUAUACAUUUUAAGAUAGUAACAUGGGGGUGGCGAUGGUGUUUGCAGCUAGAGUGGUGUUGGUAGCAAGGUGGUUGAGGUCAGUGGCGAAGCCAAGUGAGGGCGCGAAGUGGCGGCCGCCACUCCCCUCGCCGGGAAACACCACUGGACCCAGCUCUUCACCACUCCCCUCGCGCGCGCCUCGCCGGAAAACCCUGGUUCAUCUCCUUUGUUUUUUUUGGGCAAUCUGCAAUCUAUUCUGUGCGGAGUGCUGUUAAUUUUUUUUUUAAAACCAGGCCAAAACGAUGUCGUUUUGGGCCUGGUAAAAAAAUUUUAAAAAUUGUAAAACAAAAAGGCACCGUUUUUAUAUUUGAAUUAAAAAAAAUUAUAAAGGGGGACCGCUUCUACGUGUCGCCCCAAAACCCUAUAUGUCCCCCCCCCCCCAUACCCCAUUCCCCUUUACUUUGCUUAUCCUAUGCUGUUUGUUCACCAAUCAACACACAAAGAGAGAGGCCAAGCUGCUCCCCAAAAUCCCAGCAACCAAGCCAAGGCAAGUCCCCUUUAAUUUAUGUUAAGCCUUCACAGUUCACAAGUCAUUAUCCUCUCCACCUUGAGCUUGAGCCGUCGGCUUCCACCAAUCACCAUUUAAAGGUAAAUUUUUUAAUUCUUAAAUGUAUAAUCCCUAACCCUAAUUAAUUAUUUAAUACAAAUUUCAUUUAAUUGGUAUAGAAUCAUAUGGUAAUGCAUUAAUAUGGUUAUUGAUUAUUGAUGUGAAUCAUAUGCUUCUAUGAUUAUUGAUUUGAAAUUAUGAAAUUAUAUUUUAGGGUGAAAUUAUUGAUACGAAUUGGGAAUUAGAAGAAUUGUGCUUUUAAUUUGCUUCUUACUCUUAUCAUAUGUAUGUAUAAUUGUACAUAUAGAUAAAUUGGCAUGUCAAAAGCCAUCUUUAACUAAAAUUAUUGGUAAUAAGCCACCAGGAUGGACGCAAUGAGCCAUCUUUAACUAAUAUUAGUACUUUUGAUUAAUUGAAUUGUUGGUUGGUUGGAUUAGUUAUUAUGCAUACUAUAAUAAUAGUAUAGUCUACUUUAGGAUUAAGAGUCUAAGAAUUUUUAUUUCUUUCCAUUUUACAGUUACGUAAUAGAACGAUACUAUAAGAAACAAUGCUUAAAUCCUCCUUCAAACAUUUCGAGUAGUCAUUCUCCUUCAAAUAUUCCGAGUAGUCCUCCUCCUCCUUCAAAUAUUCCAAGAGGUCCUCCUUCAAAUAUUCCAAGUAGGUCACAACAAAGUGAAGCCACUGAGUUGGAUGAAAUAUUGGCUAAUCUUCCUGCAGACCCUGCACAUAGACGUCGAAUGUUUGAUUAUCCACCUAAUUAUCGUGAAGCAAUUCGUAGACACUAUCUCCAAGUCGAUCCUUGUCAACCUAGAGACCACAUCAUGCCAAGAAAGGUUAGCGACAAUCGAUGUUUUAUCAUUCGUUGCUUUGAUAAGUUUAAGUGGUUGGAGUAUAGUAAAUCAAAAAAUGCUGCAUUUUGCCGUUAUUGUUAUCUUUUCAAAUGUGAUUUUGAUCAAACGGGUAGCACUGAAAGGGAUGUCUUCACUGAGAUAGGGUUUACAAAUUGGAAGAAAGGACCCGAAAAUCUUCGAGUCAAUGAAGGAGGUGUUGGAAGUCUUCAUAAUAAAGCUAUACAACAAGCUAGAGAUUUGAUGACACAAAAACAACACAUUGAAACAUUUGUGAUUAAGCAAACCGAUGAAGCUCGCAUUAAUUAUCGUACUUUAUUGAGUGCCUCACUUGAGUGCACAAGAUGGUUGUUGGGACAAGGUUUUCUUUUUUGUGGCCACGAUGAAUCGUUGAAAUCAAGCAAUAGGGGCAAUUAUUUGGAGCUUAUGCAAUUUCUUUCCAAGCAUAAUGAACAAGUUAGGAAGGUUGUGUUUGAGAAUGCUCCCAAGAAUCUUAAGUAUACUUCUUCUGAUAUUCAAAAAGAUCUUGUCAGUGCUUGUGCCAUUGAAACUGUAGAUGCAAUCACUAAAGAUAUGGAAGGUGCAUUUUUUUUCUCUUUUGGUUGAUGGAGCACGUAAUUCUUCAACUAAAGAGCAAAUGGCAGUGGUAUUGCGUUAUGUGAAUAAAAAAGGAGAAGCAAUUGAAAAGUGUUUGGGUGUUCAACAUGUCUCCUCUACAACUAGUGGCUCGCUUGAAGAGGCCAUUAAGAGAUUGUUUGCUACAACAAAUUUGAGUAUGUCCAAGUUACGAGGACAAGGCUAUGAUGGAGCUAGCAAUAUGAAAGGUGAGUUAAAUGGUCUUAAAACAAAGAUUUUGAACAAAUACCCUUAAACAUUUUAUAUUCAUUGUUUUUCACAUCAACUCCAACUAGCUCUUGUAUUCGUGGCAAAGGAAAAUGAGGAUGUUGCCAAUUUCUUCAUCAAAGCUAGUAGUUUAGUGAAUCUUAUUGGAUCAUCGUGUAAGCGUCAUGAUGCAUUUAGAGAGAAACAACAAGAACAAAUUCAUAAAGCUCUUGAUCUUAGUAAUCUUGAAACGGGUAAAAGGUUAAAUCAAGAAAUGAGUCUCAUGUGUCCAUGUGAUACACGGUGGAACUCGUAUUAUGGUACUAUAGUUAGUAUUAUUGUUAUGUUUGAAGCCGUGGUGGAGGUGGUUGAAUGGAUAAAAAGUGAUCGCAACCAAGAUAAUCUCGGUGAAGCAACUAGGUUUUUCAAAGACAUACAAACUUUUGAUUUUGCAUUUCACCUUUUCUUGAUAAGACUUAUAUUGGGAAUUACAAAUGAGUUAUCACAAACAUUGCAAAAGAAAGAUCAAUAGUAGGGUGGCGGUAGAGGGGUGUUGGUACCAGUAUUGGUGAGAUAUGCACAUUGGGUGGCGGCAAGAGUAGGGUGGUGAGGGGAAAAUAGUGGUAGGUGACGAUGGUGAUGCUGGCGCAGGAGGUGGAGAUUGUGGUGGCUAUGAUAGCAGGGUGACGGCCAUGGAGACAGUGGUGAUGGUGGUGGGAGAUAGUGGUGACUGGCAUUGCCAUAUCUCUGGCAUCUGUAAACAUGAACGUUUAUCAGCCUGGAAAAAGAGUCUAGCAAGUUGGUCGUGCCAUAUUAUUUGUGAUCAACUUAGGCAAAUCGUAGAUGAUUAGUCUCUCCAAGUUAGGAAAUCCGACCUACAUACACACACACACACACACACACACACACACACACACACACACACACAUUAAUCUUUUUUAGUGCGAUAGAUUAAUCGGAAAUAAAUGCAUAAACAAAGAGAAAUGCAUGAGUAAUAAACAUUUUCAUCGAAAAGAAAAUAUUGCACAGCAGUCUCAAGAUUCUCCUUCCAAUCCUUCUCUUCAGUUUCUUUGUGUUUUGUAAUACUUUCACUCUUACCAUCAAAUAUGAAUGCCCUCAGUUUAAGACAAUCUUCAAAGCGGAUCGUUCAAUAUGUGUAACUUCCUGAGCAGAAUCUAGCGGGAGAUGUUGCAGUUGUAGAUGUUUUAGCUUGCAAAACCUGUUAUCCAUAUUUACGUCACCAUAUUAUUCGUUUGCUACAAUCUCUUCCAUUUUUUGACAUUUGGAUUCCUCAAGACGUUUGAGUUGUACAGAACAGCUAGCCAUGGAACAUGAAAACAAGAAUCUUAAACCAUCAAGCUUGUUAAGUUGGGGCAUCAGAACCAGCUGUAUAUAAUGCACAAUAUAAGUGUAAUUAGCAAGAAUGACAAUUUUCAUGGUUAUUAAUUAGUUGUAUUUAUUCCAAAAUGUAUAGACAAGAAAAGAUGAGUAGACAUAAAGUAAAGGUCUAAUAUGAAACAACUAGUAACCCAUUGUUAGUAUGCGUUUUGUUCUUCCUUCUUUGGUUAACCAAACCAUAUAAUCAUACAUUAUCCUUUAAGCAGAUUAUUUUCUCUAUAAGCUGAGCUACCAUUUUGUUAGAGGUUUUUAUCACAAAUAAUCCCAUAAAUUGACCUCACUCUUCACUUUGGUCUCUGAAAUUGAAAAUCGAUCAAUGUUGUCCCUGAAAUUUUGUACCACAAAUCAUUGUCAUCCCUAGUGUCCCAUUCCAUUAAUUUUUCAGUUACCUUCAUGAUUUUAAAUCUCAUCAUUUUAAAAAAAAAAAGUUUAGUCCAUGUGGCACCACACCAUUGGUUGUAUGGGUCUACAUGUUUGACACCUCAUCAAAGUAACAUAAAAUAAAUGGAAUGAGACGGUAUGAAUGACAUUGAUUUGUGGUACCAAAUUUCAAGGAAGACAUUGAUCGAUUUUCAAUUUUAGGGACUAAAGUGAGGAGUGAGGUCAAUUUCAAGAACAAUUUGUGAUAAAAACCCUUUUGUUAACAGAAAUCCAUGUUCAUGAAAAGAAUAGAUCAUACUUCCCCAAUUCAUGAAAACUUUCGUAGCCCUGCAAAUUACAUUCUCCAUAAUGUUUUCUCCGGCUUCUGUAUAUGUAGUUGCUUCUGAGUCCGUGCAGUUACAACAGAGGUGCUGCGGUUGGAGGAGAAACCAAUAAACUUCGGUAGAUUCCACCACAUCAAAGACCGUUGUUUUUAAAAGGCUAAUUUAUGAGAUGACCGCAACAUACACUUUCCAAACUACACAUGGUUGUGAAGAGAGUGACGCCAAGUUUGGAAAGUCAUUAUGAGAAUAUCUCCAUCUACUCAAGUUAAUGAAUAUGUAACUUGAUCAUUGUUUUGGGCAUGGAGAUGCUUCAGUUGUUUAACACCGUCCAUGUCCAAUAAAUGGGAAAUAGUAUUUACACCCCCCUUCCCAUCCAAGUGCAAAUGCUCAGAUCUCUUUAGCAGCAAUUUUAUACCUUGAUCGAAUUGAUUCUUCGUAUUUAGCUUGAGUUUUAGCAUGUUAGAGAAGGUUCAUUAGACAUCAGAAUAUAACCACCAAUCACCAACAAAGAUGGUGUGCCUUUCCAAAUUAUCUGAGAACAAGUUUUUCGGAGAAGGUUAGCAUCCAGAACAUAUAUAUCUAAUGCAGUUAGCUGAGACAAAUGCUUCAGCUCUGAAACACUAACAUUAUGUCUUCCAUCGAUCGGACAUUCACCCUCCCAUUGCUCAAAGCUGUUUAUUCCCAUUCUCAAGUCUGCUAACGUUAGGUGAAAUCAGUCCAAGUUCCGAGCAACCACUCAAAUCUAACAAUCGUAUAUGAGUCAGUUCCCCUAUUUCAUUGGGCAACUCCUUAACCUGGGAGUGUGCAUGGCUAAGAACUUUCCAAGUUUCUUAGCUCUCCAACUAGAGCUAUAUCCCCCAACACGCAUUGAUCUAAGCACAAUGUUUGAGGAAUUGUUAGGUAUUUAGGAGAAGGAGGUAAUGAUGGAAAAUAAAGCACAGUUAAAUCCAACACUUCGAGCUUUUUCAUCUCUUCAAAAAAAUUGCAAGGGAUUGAUUUCUAGCGAGCCAUCACUACUCCCUAAGUAAAAUAUUUUCAGUUCUGAGCAUUCCCAAGGUACUUGGGGAAGCGUGGGUAUGGACAGUGUACAGUAACGGAGAGAGACCCAUAUCAUAGAGGACUCUUUAAACAAAUCCAUAUAUAGCUGUCCAUUCUUUCAACUCCGCAUAUGUUAAACAAUCCGGACAGCAACAUCUCGUACAAGCUCGUGCAUCCUAGCACUGAUCAUCAUAACCGUCUUUGAAUCAACAAAUGAAAUGCAUUUCGUGCCUCUUCCACAGUAUCGAAAUUUUUAACCGACUCUAAACCUAUAAAUAUAAUGAAUUAAAAUGUGUAUAAAAAUAAAUAAUUUUAAUUUUAAUGUAAUGACAUAAAAUAAGAUAUCUAUUAAAUAAACAACAACAACAACAAAGCCUUUUCCCACUAAGUAGGGUCGGCUAUAUGAAUCCUAGAAUGUCAUUGCGCUCGGUUAUGUGUCAUGUCUUCUGUUAGAUCUAAGUACUAUAAAUCUUUUCUUAGAGUCUCUCCCAAAUUCUUCCUAAGUCUUCCUCUACCCCUUCGGUCUUGAACAUCUGUUCCAUAAUCGCAUCUUCUAACCGGAGCGUCAGUAGGCCUUCGUUUCACAUGUCCAAACCACCUUAACCGAUUUUCUCUCAUCAUUCCUUCAAUUUCGGUUACUUUACCUCGGAUAUCCUCAUUCUUAAUCUUAUUAAAUACUAAAACAAAAAUAUAAUAUAAUAUAAACUUGAAUUAAGUACACAUUAGAGGAUCAAAAUCAAUAUCCAAUCUUACACCAUAUUUUUAUUGAAUUUUAAUUUUCUUCAAGGAUUAAAGUUAAAAAACUCCUAAAAGAAAACAAGUGAAGGUAUAAUUCACCUUUUCAGCUAAGAGCUCAAAAUUCUCUGAGUCGAUCUCUCUUUUUUCUUUGUUGAUUGUAAUGUUUUCACUCUUACCAUCAAAGAUGAAUGUCACCAUUUUAGUACAAUCGUCUAGAUACAAAUACUCCAAAGACAAAAAUUCAAUGUAACUUCCUGAGUUGAAUCUAGUGAGGUUCGGAAGAUUUGCCCAAAUACACCUUAAAUGUUAUAAACUUCGUUUAAAAUAAGAGGUAUGCUAUCUACACACUCCAUUUUACUUCUCACACACUCCUUGAUAAUUUCUGUUUGUUGAUCUUUUUCAAUUCAUCCAAUCCGACGACCAAAAAUUAAAAAGGUGUGUGAGAAGUAAAAUGGGGUGUGUGGAUAUCACACCCCUAAAAUAAAUGCAUUACGAAAUGUCUCCAAUCCCUUCGAAUUCCUCAAUUUUUAAAAUUCUUUAAAAUUAGUUCUUAAUUUCAUUCACCAUGAAUGUUAUAAACUUCUUUAAAACCUUAAUUAAAUAUACCCAUAUUUUUAUGAAUGAAUGAGGAUCCUUACAAGAUCCUCUUUGUGAGGAUCUUGAAGAUCAUUAAAUCGUGUCCAUUCAUCGUACAUGCAGUCAAAAAUUAUUUUAAAUAUUUUUAUUUAAAAUUAAACAUGAACAAUACUUGACAAAAACUGAUCACACGAUAUACGAUAAACAAACACGAUUUAAGGAUCCCAAGAUUCUCACAAAGAAAAUCUGAAGAGAAUCCGCAGUUUUUAAGAAUUUUAAUAAACCGUCUUAAAAUUUUGACAUAAAUAUUAAAUGGGGUAAAUUACAUAAUACCCCAUCAGGUUUGAAGUCUAUUACAACCCAAUACAACAUCUUUAAAACAUUUCACUUUCAUACCUCACGUACUAUUUUAUUUCAAAAUAAUACCUCUGUUAGAUUUUCCAUCCAUUUGUCUGUUAAAUGCUGACGUGGUUACCACGUUUGUGCUGAUGUGGCUGCCACAUGGCAAAAAAAAAUUUAUACAUUAAAAAUAUUAUAAUACUAACCCUAUUAAAAAAAUAAAAACAAGAAAAACCCAAACCUAGAAAUCCUUCCCCGCAACCCCACAUCCUACCCUUACCCCCUUACCCAUCUCUUCUUUCCCGUCCGUCCAUCCCCUCCACCCUUCCAUCCAUCCCCUCCACCCGAGCACCCCUCAGCGUGGGUCCCACCUUGACCCCUUUCUUUCUUUCUUUCUUUCUCUCUCUCUCUCUCUCUCUCUCUCUCUCUCUCUCUCUCUCUCUCCUUUGUAAAAUGUGGAAUUUGAGAUGCGGGUGUGGUUUUUGAGGUCUAGUGCCUCUCCUACACCGUCCUCCCAACCACUUCACCUACACCGUCCUCCACCAAGUGACUCGGUCAUUCUCUCUGACGCUCAGCCUGGGCCAAGGCGGCUUCAGGUCUAUGUUCUUCACCAUUAUCCCACACACCCGCCAAAUCUCUCUUUUUAGCCUCCAAGCUCGAUUCUCCGCUUGUCGUCUCGGUGCUCGGAUUCUCCUCCGACCCAAAACAGUGCUCGGAUUCUCCUCCACCGCCACCGCUGCCCACCUCCGAAGCCUCUUCGUCGAAUUUGACUUUUUCGACGGCCUGGGCAUGACUCUCUACGGGUUUGGGGGUUAGGUUAUUAGGGUUUCGGAAUGGGGAUUUUGUAAAUGGGUCGGUUGAUAGGUAGAAUUAGGUAUGGAAGUGCUUCAAUGGGGAUGAACUGCGGGCUGAGCGGUGGAUUUUGUAAAUGGGAGUUGCAGAGAGGUGAGGGGCAAAGAAGGGGAUCUGGGUUCGGGUUUUUCUGGUUUUUUUUUUAAAAAAUAGGGUUAAUAUUAUAAUAUUUUUAAUGUAUAAAAAAAAAAAAAAUUGCCACGUGGCAGCCACAUCAGCACAAAUGUGGCAGCCACGUUAGCAUUUAACAGACCAAUGGAUGGAAAAUCUAACAGAGGUAUUAUUUUGAAAUAAAAUAGUACAUGAGGUAUGAAAGUGAAAUGUUUUAAAAUGUUGUAUGGGGUUGUAAUAGACCUCAAACUGAUGGGGUAUUAUGUAAUUUACCCGUAUUAAAUGCCAUCGAGAAUCUAAUGCUCCCCUUUGAUUUCUUUUUCAACCAGACCAAAGAAGAUGAACGAUCCAUAACCUCAGACAGAAGAGGAACGUUUGGUUAUAUUCUGUUUUGUUGUUGGUUUCCCUUGGCUGCACCAGUGUCAGUACAACUCGGCGGCUCCUCCCUCUAGUCUAUGUUGUCGGCAUCCUGGCUCCGCCCUCCACCCACCUUUUGUGCUUCCUCCGGCAACUGCAAGUUCUUAUUCACUUGUUCUUUUUCUUCUUUUCUUUUUUCUUGUAAAUUAAUUUAGGGUAAAUUACAUAAUACCCCUUCAGGUUUGAGGUCUGUUACAACCCCAUACAACAUCUUUAAAACAUUUCACUUUCAUACAUUUACUUAUCAUUUUAUUUCAAUUUCAUACAACCAUUAAAAAAUAUGUUAAAUUAACCGUUAAGUGAUGACGUGGCAAAUAUGAGUUCCCCAUUUGUGAUGACGUGGCUUCCACAUGUGUGCCACGUGGCUAAACAAUUAAUAAAAAAUCUAAAAUAUUAAAAUAAUUAACUAAAAAAGGUUAUAUUAAAAAAAAAAAAAAAAACUAGAAGUUGCCUUCCCCACCCAUCCCUUCCCCUUCCCUCCAACCCUCCCCACCCCCACCCCCCCAACCCACUCCUCUCCUCCACUCUCUUCAUCUCCGAUCCCUUCUCCUUCCCCACAAACCCCCCCACCCCACCCCACCUAGAUACCCAUAUUUGUUCUUAAAAAAUUAAAAAAUAAAAAAUAAAAAAAACUAGAAGUCGUCUUCCCCACCCAUCCCUUCCCCUUCCCCACAACCCCCCUACCCCUACCCCCCCCAGCCCACCCCUCUCCUCCACUCUCUUCACCUCCCCCAGCCGAUCCCUUCUCCUUCCCCACAACCCCCCCCCACCCCACCCCACCCCACCCCACCCCACCUAUAUACCUAGGGGUGGAAAAAAAUACCGAAAAUCCCAAACCAUACCGAAAAAAUCCCGAAACCGAACCGAAAAAAUCCCAAAAAUUUUGGUACCAAUCCCGACCUUUCGGUACAGGAAUUGGUUUCACAAUCUUAUUUUUUCUAUAUUCCCAAACCAAACCGAAGUUAACAUAUAUAUAGUUUUAGAUAUUAUAAGCCGUUGGAUUGGUUGAGAAUUAAUCUCAGCUGUUCAUUCAAAAUGAUACCCAACCUCACCUUCACCUUUGCUCUCUGACCUCUCCGCCAAACUCUCUGACCUCACCCCACCUCACCUCACCUUCACUUCCUUCCCUCCCUACUCCUAUACUCCUUUCAGUUUAGAGUUCAAACCCACAAAUAUCUCUCUCUCUCUCUCUCUUUCUCUCGACCUCCACUCUUUCACUCUCUAACCCUUACCUUCACACUACAUCCGGACUCCAGCCUUCCAUUUUCUUUUUGCAUUUGGCAACUUCUUCUGCAUUCGAUAAUCAAUAUAGCCACCUCUGCUUCCUUCUACUUCUCUCUUCAUUAAGGUAAUAUUCUUGUCUUCAUCUAGUCAUCUUGAUGUGGUAAAAUAUGUUUGUGGCUUUAAUUCGUUUUUAAUUUGGGCAUUUGAAUUCUAGGGUUUUGGAUUUGGGGGUUUUCAAUUUCGUUUGAAAUUUGGAGUUUUUAAUCAUAUGGUUCUUAUAUAAUUCGUUUAUUUCCUCCUUGAAGCUAGCAGACCUGAGCUCCUUUGCCUCCUCCUCGAACUCUCUCCAUGAAAUAGGGACUUGCAUGUUAUCAAGCCCUGUAGUCGAAGAGAAAAUGUGCAAAUGUUUAUUGUUUCAGAAAUCGUUUUGCACAAGUGUUUGUGUUCUGCAAUCUUCAUUGAAUCUAGCACUCUUCUUCAAUAGUUUGUACUUUAAUGAUAGCAGCUGCAAUUUGUGUUUCUAACAAUAUUGCUAGCAAGGCCAGUUUAAUAAUAAAUUCAUUUUUUUAUCAGUUCACAGUAUUAAUUUUGGGAAUUUUUAACCACGAAGCCUUCAUAAAACAUGGUGGAUUAGAUUUGUUUUAUUAGCAAGAUACCAUCCAUAUUUAAAUUAUGUGUUUCUUACAGUUCCCUCUCUUUCUUUACAGGCAUGAGAGAAUUUAGGCCAAUGAGUUACGAUUGUUUUGACGCAUGAGCCCAAAACUAUUUCGGGAUUGCCGAUUUGUCCCGAAAUCCCAAAACUAUUUCGGGAUUCCCGAAAAUUUGGUUUGGGAUCGGUCUUGAAAUUGGAAUUCCCGAAAACUUCGGUUUGGGAAUCAGGACAAGGUUUUCGGUAUGGGAUCCCAUACUGAACUAGCCCUAUAUAUACCCAUAUUUGUUCUUUAAAAAAAAAACACAAAAAACUAGAAACCCAAAUUUCUUCUUCCUCUUCCUCACCCAUCACCCUUCUCCUAUCCAUCAUCACCCACCCCCAAAAGUCCCACCCGAGCACACCCCCUUCUCCUAUCCCCAUCACCCCCCCCCCCCAAAAAUCCCCCAUCACCCAUUUCAAAAAUCCCACCCGAGCCCACCCCCUCCGUCCAAGCUCUUGCGUUUUCUGUGGGAGUGGAGACCGCCGAUGAAUGUCUCUACGAAUUGAUCGGCGAUAGGAAAAGGAAGAAGAAAAGAGAGGAGUGCAUGAUAUUAGGGUUAGGGUUUGAGGCUUUGCAGAGAAGCUCAUCUUUGAGAGAGAGAUGAGAGAGAGAAGAAGAAAAGCGGAGGAAGAAGCUAUCAGAAAUGGUGAUGAGGAGAGGACUGAGAAGGGGAUUUUUGGGAGGGGUGAUGGGGGAUGGGAGAAGGGGGUGGGCUCGGGUGGGAUUUUUUAGGGUGGGUGAUAGUAGAUGGGAGAGAGAGGUGAUGGGUGGGGAAGACAACUUCUGGUUUUUUUUUCUUUAUUUUUAUUUUUUUAAUAUAACUUUUUUUAGUUAAUUAUUUUAAUAUUUUAAAAAUUUUAUUAAUUAUUUAGCCACGUCAUCACAAAUAGAGACCCCAUAUUUGCCAUAUCACUUAACAGUUAAUUUAACAGAUUUUUUAACGGUUGUAUGAAAUUGAAAUAAAAUGAUAAGUAAAUGUAUGAAAGUGAAAUGUUUUAAAGAUAUUGUAUGGGGUUCUAAUAGACCUCAAACCUGAGGGGGUACUAUGUAAUUUACCCAUUAGUUUAUAGGAAAACUAAUGAAAAUAACUUGAAAACUUUGAGUUUUAACGAUAAGAACAAAAUAAAUGGUAAAGUGAAUAGUACCAGGAUUGACUUUUUAGUGUAAAAAUAUGAUUUUUUGUUAAAGUGAAAAGUACCGAACUUUUCAUUAAAGUUCCCAUAAUUUAUAAGAUUGUUUCUGAAUUCUGAUAUUGUGAUUUUAGAUUUGAGAAUCAAUGUUGAUGGGUUUUUAGUUGAUAGAUUUUUUUAGGGAUUUUGGGAUUUCAAUAAAUGCCCUGUUUCUAAUUUCACAUAAUUCCUAACUUUUGAGGGAUUUAAAGGUUCGGUUGAGUUAAUAGUAAAGAUGGGAGUUUUGAAUAAUUUCACUUAGGGCUGGUUUGGUAUUGCUGUGCUUUGAAAAAAAACUGCUGUGAGAAUAAGCGGCUGUGCUGUGAAAAUAAGCGGCUGUGAAAUAAAUCAGCUGACUGUUUGGUAAACUUUUUUGUAAAAGUGCUUUUAAAAAAAAAAACAGUCUGACAGUGUGUCUUUUUAUUAAAGGAGCACUAUAGCUCCGUGUGCUUUGAAAAAAAAAUCAGUUUUCAAAGCUGAAAAUAGCAGCUUCAGCUUUUUCCUUUGAUUUCAGCUUAUUCUCACAGCAGCUUCCAAAAUAAGCCAUUUUUUUUCAGUUUACAAAACAUCUAAAACCUUCACAGCUUUUUUUCAUAGGUGUUUUUUUUUUUAAGCACCUCGCUCUCAAACCAUCCUUAAACGUCUAAUUUCAAAUUUCUGAAGCGCUCCGGCCGAAUUGAGCUUCCUGCCUGGACCGACAUUGUGAAGACGGCCACAUUCAAGGAGCUUGCAGCAUAUGAGCCUGAUUGGUACUACAUUAGAUCUGCAUCCAUGGCAAGGAAAAUCUACUUGAGGGGUGGUCUUGGUGUUGGUGCCUUCCGCAGGAUCUAU